GACGCAGAGAAAACGAGAUUGGUGGGUUUGGGGGCAUUUAAUCUUCCCCAGCAGAUCAUCCGCUGAUGAAUAGAGUUUUGGAUUUAGAUAUUAUGGAAGGAGUGUCUCGUCCCGAAGCUUCCUGGCUUUCAGAGGAGAAUUCAAGCUCUUCCGAGGUAUGAUUUUCUACAGACUGGAACAGCAAGUGUUUAGUUGUAAUGUAAGCAAUCUGACUUGGUAUUAGUAAACAUUAUUCGCACUUGAAAAGAAAAUAUGUAUCUAUUGUUUGAUUUUCUUAUUAUUUUUCCUUGACAAUUAAAAUGAGAAAAGUUAAUAAGCUUUCAGCUAGAGAAUUUUGAAUGUAAAACCAACAAAACCCUUGGGGAUUCAAACUUCAUCGAGAGGAUCUAUUUUCUUGUGUAAUAAAAUCAAAAUACAAAGGGAUUCAACGACGAGAGAGUGUAUCAAAUGCUUUGGCGAGGGCAGACAAACAAGUUCUAGUUUCUUCUCAACUAGAGCUUUCUGUUUUCUGUUUUUUGUUUAGACAUCUUAAAGGAAUGACUAGAAUUAUAUGACAGAACAUGAAUAUGAGUAAGAAAAAUUAAAAAUAGAGUUGAGAUAUUUUCUUCAUGAUGAAGUAAGGCACCAUUCAUAGCUGUUCCUAUACUUGUACUCCCAAGGUUCUUAAGAAUCAGAUGAGACUUGAUAAGCAAAUCAUUCUCCUAAUCACACCUCAGUCUACCUUCUUGCAGAGGCGUGCUCACCCUUAUAACAAAGAGGCAACCGCCUUAGGCCCCUCAUUUUCAACUGAAAUUUAAGGCCCCAAUUUUAUAAAAUUCAUUAGGUUAUGGACUUAUGAGAAUGAUUAACUUAUGUUUUAUGUAUUUAUGGAGUUAAGUCGUUUUAUGUAUAAUUGUAUAACUUUUUUUCUACCAUAAUUUUCAAACCAAAAAAAAUAUUCUUAAACUCUUUUCUAAUCAUUUUAUUACCUCCAUUCAUAUUAUAUGUAUUUCAGUUCUUAACUUAUUGUUAUUAAACUCAAUAAUAAUUAUUAUAGUAUAACAUCCAAAUUCUAAAGAAUUUAUAAGUAUGCUCAAACAAAUCUGAAAAUUCGUAAUAAAACAAACAAUGCAUGGUAUGGUGUUUAAUAAACUUUCUUUUUUGGAUCAAAGUUAAUAAACUUUAUGUUCUAGUAUUUAAACAUCUAGAAGAUCAGAAAUAAGCUUAUUCUUGCUUUAAGAUGAAUCUUUACUGCUCCUAAUUCAGCUUAAAAAAUAUUUUCUAGAAAAUAUAUAUUAGAAAAGUAUAUUUUUGCCUCAGGCCCCUCAAAGCUUAAGCACGGCUCUGCCUUCUUGUUCUCACACAAUGCACUGCAACAAUCGAAAACAAAAACUGAUAACACACUAUAAAAAAAGUAACUUAUUACCUGCACGCCUUUGACUUGCAUUUGUUGAAUAAACUCUGUAAACACCUGUUGCAAAAAAAAAAAAAAAACAACUUUUUGAAACACACGAACUAUACUCCAGAACUUUCAAAGUUUGAUAUAAUCUUCACAGAAAUACCCAUUCAGAUAUUUCCAAACUUACUCACAGCUAAUAACCCUAGAAUUUUCAAGAUAAAUCCAUCAUGUUUAGUAUAGUACCAAAACCAUACAAAUUGCGAAGCUUUUUAAUAAAACAAUAAAAAUCAUCUAUAUAUUAAUCCUGAAGCAUUGAUUAAAUGACAGCUUUGAAGAGCAAGUUUACGUGUCAAAUUGGAAGCGCUUCUCAGUAUUCUUUUUUAAUUGGACUGACUUUAUUAAGAUUGUUAAAAGAUUGACAUUAAAUGGACCAUUCAAUAUUUUACUAUAUAUCAUCAACUUAGAAUAUGAAAAUAAAUAAAUAUUAAACCCUUUCCUUUGAUGUUUGCUCAUUUAAUGUAUUAAAAAUAAAAACAUAAUUAUUUUUAAGGAAAGGAAGAGUGAAAAAUGAAGAUGAAGACAAAUGGAUUCCUACAAAUUUUACAUAUUUGUAUGUACAACUAGGGUUGGCCCGUAGUAGGGCGGGAUAUACUUUCCUUGUGCUUUAUGUUAGUAUUUUUGUAUGAUUUUUAUUGUUUGUGUUUUAGGUUUGCAUCUGCAAGAGAUGUGUAUGAUAAUAAUUUUUGUCACUUAAAAAGUUUUAAUUGAGAGAUUAUAUGUGAUAAGAUAUAUUUUGCUUGUUUACAAUAGUUGUUUCUAUAUGAAAGAGUUGUGGCUUCGUUAUGUUGUGAGGGCUUCAAAUGGUGUUCAUGUUGUUUCUUUUUACAAAAAUUUGAUCUCAUAUUCGGUUCGUUGUUUGUGGUUUGUAAAGGAGAACCUAUACAUAUAUUUCCUUUUAUACAUAUGCUUUAAAUUAUUAAGUUAUACAAUGCGAAAAUAGAUUAUUUAUUAUAAUAAAAAUUACUUAAAAUAGGUAGGUAAAAGAAAACCUCUACAAUUUGUAACUUUUAUAAAUAAAUAAAAAUAAUAAUUAGGGUUUCAAAAUAAAUGAUACUGAUUAAUUUUAAAUUUUGAUUUGACAUUGAAUUUAUUAUAAUUUUUUUUUACUUAGCUAUAUCUUAUUAGUAAAUAACUAUUUUUUUUAUUUUAUUAAAUAAAAAAACUAUUUAUUUUAUUUAUUAGAUAUUAUAAAUUAAUUUAAAAUAAUUACUUUAUAUAAAAAUAUUUAAAAAUUACUCUACAUUUAGAUUGAAUAACAUUUAAUGAAUAGAAGUUCUAAAUUUAGUACAAAUAUAUUAAUAUAACUAAAUUUAUUAAUUCUGUUAGUUUAGAUAAAUUAUAAUGUAUUUUUAGCGAUGUACAAUGUUAAAGGAUUUUUGUAUUCUUUUUAUAUUAUUCACAUGUACGUAAUUUUUAGAAACGAUAAAAAUAUUUUAUAUUUAUUUUAAAUUAAUUUUAAUAUAUAUUUAAAUUAUUAAAAAUGAUAAGAUAAGAUAGGAUAAGAUAAUACGAUAUCUAUAUACAUUCUAUGUGUUAUCGAAAUUAUCUUCUUCCUAUGAUGUUAAAAUAUUAAAUAUAUGUAUUAAUAUAACCUGAUUUAUAAAUUUUAUUUUUUAAAAUUUUGUUAAAAUUUCAUUCAUGAUUUUCAAAAUUAAUUUUCUUGUAUUCAAUUGACAAAAAGUAUCUUGUGUUCACAAUGUACCAUUCGAUAUAAAAUUAUCAGAUAUAUUUUGUGUUCAAAAUGUACCAUUUAAUAAAUAUUUAUGGAAUAAUUAUAUAAAAUUGUAUUAAAAUAGUUGGUUAGAUGUUAAUUAAACAAAAGUUAUGGAAGAUUUUAUAAUUCUCUAAAUAAUUUGCUGACAUGUCGGUUUUUCCAUCAUCUAUUAGAAAUAAUUGUGUACUCAUUGUUCAAUGUUUCAAACGAAUAUUCAGUUUCAAACAUAUUACACCACAUUCAAAAAAAGUUUCAAACCCACGUUGUAUUAAGGAAAAUUGCCACAAAUACCACAUUUAUAAUACCACUUUUCAUGUUUACACUAAUCACUUUUACCCUCACUUUUAAUGAAAGGUAAAAUACACUUAUACCCUUAAGGUUAACUAAUCUAGACUUAGGGUUUAGAGUUGAGGGGUGGAGUAGGGUUUUUGGAAUGGGAAAUUUAGGAUUCUAAUAAAUAUAUAAAUAAAUACUUAAAAGUAUAUAAAAAAAAUUAAAAAAUAGUUUCAAACAUAAUUUUCGAUUUUCAAAAAAAAAUUUGAAAUAAAAAUAAAAAAAAUUAUAAAAAAAAAUUAUAAAAAAGUUCAAAAUUGAAAAAGUAUAAUUCAAAAACAUAAAAAAAAUUAUUUUUUUAUUUUUUUUAUUUUUUUAUUUUUUUAUUUUUACUUAAAUAAUGAUUUAUUAUGUAUAUAAAUAACAAAGAUAUAAUAGUCUUUUGCCACUUAAUGAAAAAUGUAUUUUUGAAAAUGUUCUUGUAGUGGUGGUAAAAAUGAAAAGUGGUAAAGAUGUAAUUUACCCGUGUAAUUUAUUGAUCAAAGAUGAUCACAUCACAUGUUUACAACAAUAACAGAGAAGAGUAAACAACUUGCACUAAAAGUCUUAAACAAACACAUAUUGAACUCAAGUUGAAUUAAAUACAAAAAGGAACCAAAAUACACUCAGCUAUUUCACGUGGAGUAGACGUACGUGUUUCAAGUGCUACUUUCAGUUCCCGCAAAUUUACAGAAACAACUAUUGCAUUGCACACGGUCAUCUUCUUUUUGGAUAAAAGAAUGCCCAUACUUUUGCUCUAUGAGCAAUUAAUUACCUUGGUUUUGUUGGAAGAACAGAGCUUGUUGGUCUUUCAGUUUUUUUUCUUCUAUUUCCAGAAAGAGAAGGUUCUGAAGCUACUUCUCCUUGAAUCUCAUCGUUAAGCAUUGUUUUGAUUAUAAGAAGAUCCAUCUGCAAAAACGAAAACAGGCACAAUCAGUUAUUUAUAAACACUUAAAUCACUGCAAAACUUAAUCUCUUAUCUAUAAAGAGUCUUUGUGCAUAUAUAUAGGACAGACUUUAGAGAGAAAAAAAAAUAGAAAUAAAAUUAACGCGAUGGAAUAUAAAACAGAUAAGCAUGAUCCGGGUCACGAAAGAUCAAAGCGUCCAUCUAAAACAUGAUCAUCUUGGAUAGAGAAAUAUUUUCAUAGUGAUUUAGGGGAGGAAAUCAGUCAACAGAGGAAGCCAAUUAAGGUCUGUCUCUAAGAAUCAUCUGGUAACUUGGAGCAGUCAGACUGCAACGACCCAAAGAAAACUUCAUGAAAAGUGAAAGCCAAAAGGUUUCCAAAGAAGAAGUAUGAUAUGUAACGUACGUUUCCUGAGGCUGUAAGCAAGCUAAAGUGGAAAUAAUUCACUGGUGAGAACGUGGAUGGAGCUGAAGAGGAAACCAAUCGGCUUCGGUGCAACAUUAGAACGAUGUCUUGAUGAUGGAAGAUAAGCGACUGCAUCGACAGAAUUUUUUGGAAAAGCCGAUAGCUUUAUGCCUCGUGAAAUGGAGCUCAAAAUCUCUGAUAGAAACCUGACUUGUGAGGAUUAGGAAGUUUGUGGUAGAUGGAGCGAUUAGAGAAGUAUGAUAAGAGAUAUAGAGAAGAUGGUUUGGAGAGGAGGAAUAGGUACCUAUUUAUAGUCUUAGCUAGACUGACUCGCCGAUGGAUGAUCGCAUUCAAGGCUAGAUUGUGGGUGUUUGAAUUAAUGAGGAUUAAACACGACGAACAAAUAUCUGGGUGCGUUAAUCAGAUGAAGAUCAAAAGCAGCCUUAAAACAAAGAGGAGAGACGAAGAAGCUUCUUCGCGUAAUUAGAAUUAGGGUUAGAGACGCACCCUGUUUCUUCCGGCCGCUUACAACAUAAAAAAAACUAAAGCCCAAAACCCUUUGAGAAAGGCUCACCCCUCACAGAUUGCUUAACAACUAAAGAGCACAUCACGUCCUGGAUCCAUAACGACUAAAGCCAACAAUACCUCUGAAUAAAUGAUGCGCUUCGUUUCAUACAAAAUGGACGUGUGUCAGGGAGUGAGUUUCCACGUGGAUAACCUAGAAGUGAGACCAACAAUUUUUUAUAUAUAUAGAUGUUACAGAAUAGUUUGAGCAAAACUUGGUUGCAUAACCUAUAAAAUGUAGAUGUCACAUUUUCUCGCUAAACUUUUAAAAUAUAUUUUCCAGUCAAAACCCGAAAAUCGCAAUUUUCUAUCAAAACUGGAAAAUCGCAGUUUCCCAUCAAACCUAAAAACAAAUUUCUGGUCAAAACUAAAAAAAAUCUUGUUAUCCCGCAAAACUAGAAAUCACAUUUUUCCACCAUACUAGAAAAUCUCAAUUUCCCGUAAAAAUUAAAAAAUUGCAAUUUCCGUUAAAAAUUGGAAAAUAGCAUUUUCAUGUCAAAACCGAAAGUCGUGUUUUCCAGUUAAAGCUAAAAAUCGUGUUUUCAUGGCAAAACUAUAAAAUCACAUUUUCUUCUAAAACCGGAAAUCACAUUUUUGCACCAAAACUAAAAAAAUUGUGUUUUCCAGCAAAACCAUGUAAUCACAUGUUCCACUAAAACAAUAAAAUCGAAAUUUUCCGCCAAAACCAUAAAAUCACGUUUUCUCGGCAAAAUUGUACAAUCAUAUUUUUUUUUGUCAAAACCGCAAAUGUGUGUUUUCCGUCAAAAUCAAAUUUUUCAUCAAACCCUGCAAAAUUGUGUUUUCCGCAAAAAGUAAAAUUAAUUUUAGAUAUAUUAUUUGAAUAUUAUAAUUAAUACAUUACUAAGAAUAAAUACUAUGCAUUUUUAGUCUUUUUAACUAAUAGUAUUCAAAUGCUAUUAUAAAAUCAAAAACUAACAACUUAGCAUAUAACAAUCCUCUUGCAUCUGCCUCCAAACUCGUUCCAACUCCAUUAAUUACAAUGUCAUGCAACUGUCUAUACUAACAUGAAAUUUGAUUUAUAUUCUAUUUGUUACAAACUAUAGGAUAUACUAUAUUACUUCACAACCAGUGUUCAUCUUCUCUGAUACGCUACAUGUUUAUAAAUGUUAUCUUCCUUCAUGAUCUCCACUGCUUCUUCUUUGUAUUCUUCUUUUUCUUAUUCUUAACAAUGAUUUGCUUUAGAUUUUGUAUAACUGAAACAAACUUUUUCUAUGCUCAUCUUUGGCGUCAUACUCCGAUGAACUUUUCGCUAAUUCUUAAAUGUGACACCACUGAUCAAACAUUCGUGAAUCAAAGCGUUUGGGUGUGAGAAACAUGACCAAGGUAUUUCCAUCCGUUUUACUUGUAAUAUAUAACAUACCCUACUAUGUGCUCCUCAUGUGUAUUUGGUGAAUCAUAAUUUUUUGUGUUAUAAAUGUAGGAACCAUAGAGAAACUGAUGUGUAAAAAUAAUAAGAACAUAAUUCUAAAUUACAACACCGAAAUAAACUGAUAAAGAAGAAUUGCAUAGUCGAGAUGAUAAAUUUGUUUCCUUAAAUCUUUAAACACCAUAUAGUACGACGGUUUUAUAGUGCUCAUAUUCCCAUGAUACAAUUGCAGUGUUUCUAUCUUCCAACACCAAAGAUAGAAUCUAUCAAACCUUUUUAUGUGUUGUAACCUCAUACACAGAUUAAAAGAAUAUCAUAUGGAGGAUUUGAUAUGAGUUGACAACUUAAUUUUUUCAGAAUGAAAAGAGGGUGCCUUUUUUAUAGUCCAUAUGGUCAACAAGAAGCAUAAAGUGGAGAUUUUAAAAUUGAUUCUCACAUUAAUUAUUUUGAAAAAUAUUAAAACACAUAUUACAAGGAAAUCAUAACUGAUUUUUUGUAUGCUUAAUUGUCUAUAAUAAUGAUAUUAAUAUCAUAAACUAAAAUUAAUAUUAUUUUUACUUUGUCAACAAAAUUUAAAGUAGAAUUUGUAACAAAAGAAUAAUCUUUUGACGAGUAUGUCCAUUUACCAAAUUCUGAAACUCAAAAUUCGGGUUCGGUCCAAUAUCUCUUUUUUAUAUUACAAUGUGUGACAUCUUAGAAAUGUCAUUUUAAACUUUACAAGUAACCCACUUUAAACUUACAUUUCUCAUUCAACCAUCUUCGAUUUUUAUAUGUGGUUACACUAGUUUAUAGCCGGUUAUUCCGAUGAACGUGUUCGCUCAGAAACUUAUCGAAAAAUGAUCUUAAACCAUUUUGUCAAAAACGAGUUCCAUAAAGUGUGAUUCCCCUCCUUUAAUCUACUUUUUUUUUCUUGUUUCAUGAAGAUUGAUUUUCUACGUUUCCUAGAAAGCAAUUAUUCGUAACAAAAACCAGUAAUUUGUAUAACAAGGGUCUGACACAAGAGUGUAGCUUAAAAGGAGAGUUUAAUGAAAAUAUGAAUUACAAAAAAUGAAAACACAAUACAAUACCUUACCAAAUGACAAAUCGAAUACCUAAGAAACAGAAUUAUAGCCUGAGCCUAAACUUGCAGCUACUACUUUGAAUCUUAAUAACAUUAUUUGCAGCCAAACUAUCCACAAAUACACCACAUCGAACCAGGAAUCUCACCUCCAUCAGCUUCAACUUCCCGAAUUUGAUUCGAACCGGCUGGUCAACUCUUAAUCUCAAUGGUAUAUUCCCGGUUGUUUGUUGCUGCUCUUCUAAUGUUGACAUUAUACCCGUUGCAUCCUGAGUUUGGCCAGACAUUUGUACGUCUAUAACUGUGGUAUUUUCAUGUCCCUGAUAGAAUUUUGGCAACGAUCCUACAAACGAAACAGACAAAAUGGAUAAAUCAGUUUGUAUAUUUCUUUAAAACAUUAAAUCGUUUGUAUAAAGUUUUGAAACCAAAAAAAAAGAGAGAAAAGUUUUGAAACCAUCCAAGUGCCAAACCAACCCAAAGGAAAGCGAACCGGAACGAACCGGAUUAUACUGAUAUUUUGAAAUUUUGAAGAGGAAGCAACGUAAUCUAAAAUAUAUUAAACCGGAAUAAACCAAAUGCGCACUUACCCUCGCUGAGUUUGGUUUCGUUGUACCACACGGUAAUCUCGCUCCCAUCUUCAUAGUAAAUCCCGAUCUUCUCGUUCGGAUUCUUAGCGGUUAUAGUCACGUUAAAAGCCGUGGACAAACUCGAGUCUUGGUUAAGUGCAAACUGGGUGAGCUGCAGCCGGUCAAUAGAGUAAUCCGGUAGCUUCGGUUUAAGUACAAGGUAGAGUAUACCAAUCGUCGCGCCUACUGCAACAACAAGGAGAAAGAGAAGGCAGAGUGUGUAACACACGCACCUGCAGCAACAGCUUCUUCCUCUCUUCCUCGGCGGAGCCAACGGUGCGUAUGUGGACCGUUGGGUCAAUGUUCUUUUGGCCGGGUCUCCUUGUUCUGAUCUAGAGGCAGCACGUGGUACCAGAGGAGCCGAUGGUCGCGCUGAUGAGGCGUCCGGAUGUAUUUUCGGGUGACGAGACAUUUUGGAGAAUUCUUGAUCACACAAAUGUUGUGUUUGUAGAUCUUGUUUAGGGGUUAGGGUAAUAUAAGGAAGGAGAUGUGACUUUGAAAUAUGGGGAUUUAAGGUCAACACGGUAAGAGUAUUUCAAUGGAAAGACAAUCUUUUAAGAUUUUAUUUAGUUACAAGUUUAUAUUAUAACCUAUUUUGUUCGAAAGGAAAUGAAUCUAUGGUUUUUGUCUACCUAUAUAAUUUUAUGUUUCCAUACAAUAUCUCACACGUGUUUAUGAAUUUGUUUUUGUGUUUCAGAUAGCGGCCAUAUAUGGGAUUUAAUUUGAACUCAUAAAAAAUAUCUAAGUUUUAGUAGGGUAGGUAGCAAAUAUUUUAUGUAAUUUAUAUAUGUGAACUUGCAAUAGAUGGCAAAAAAUAUGACUAUUUAGGGAAGCAACCAUACCUUAUCACACAAUUUAAUUAAACUUUAUCUAUUUGAUAUCAUUCCUUUCUAAAUGAUGUUUUUUUCUUUCCUUUUGAUAUUUUCUCUUUAGUCUUUUACUCUUUAUUUCUUAAAUCUUUUCUUCUAAUCUUUUUUUUUCUUCGUCUUAUCUCUUCUCAAAUACUUCUUUUUUUUAAAUUUCCUUUACUUGUUUCUAAACUGUAAAAAAAAAUUGAACACAUGUACACAUCAAAUCAAUAUUUUCAGAAUAGCACAUAAUUUUAAACUAGAAAUAAAAUUGAGCACGUUUUCGAUUAUGUUGAUGUCUCGAGUUUUAUUUUGUUGAUGCUAGUGACGAUAUAUUGUGGUUGCCUAGCAUCAUUAUAAAAUAAUAAUUUAUGGAUACUUUGAUUCGGAGGUAUACAAAUAAAGUCAAAAUACAUUUGUUGACCUAAUCUCCUUAGACUUUAGGGAUCAGUGUUCUCAUGCAUUCCGUCAUGGCUCAAUUUUUUAUAUAUCUUCUUAAAAUGCAACUGGAUUUUGUUUUCAUUAAAUUACAAUUCGCAACAUAUUCGACAUAAACAACUAUUAAUGAUUUUUUUUUUGUGUGUGUUGACGUAUUAUAUUUAUAUAUCAUCGUCGGAACGUUAAACAAACCUUUCUAUAAGACUAUUUUCUGUUCUUUAAGUGGUCUUUUUCGCAUUUGAGAAAUGAUAACUGAUACUCCUGUUUCAAAUAGUUGAAUUUAAAAUUUUUCAAAACCGAUUAAAAAUUUUCUAACUUUUAUUCAGUUUAUUAUAAGUAAAGUUAAUUCAACUAAUAAAAAAAUUAUACUCCAAAAUAUAAAUAGUAACCAACAUCAAAUUAUGCAUAAAAAGUUGAAAAAAAAUCACUUAAAAUAAAAAACAAAAAAUAUUUUUUUUUUUAUCAACACAAAAAAUAUUCUAAAACAUCACUUAAAAAUGAAAUGAAGAGAGUAGUAAAUUUCCUCAUAAGUUUUGUAUUCGCUUACAGGAUUGGAAUCAAAAGCUUACUAAAACAUGAUUAAUAAAUAAAAGAUCAUAACACUAGAAUAUCGCAAAAGAAAGCUUGCGUUUGCGGUUUGGGAUACACAAAACAGAUAGAUAGCAAGACAAACUAAUUCAAAUUGUUCACAAUCUUGUCUUUGUUCAGGCUUUGUCGUACAUCAUUACUAUUUUCAAUCAAUGCACGACGGGUUUCAAAGGAUGAGCUCUUAGUUUCGAAAAGUCCAGACUAGCAUCGAGCUCUUCGUCUAGCUCCCCAAUAACACCUCUGAUCAAACAUAACAAUUGUAGCGUUAGAUAAUCAAUCAAUCAAUCGAUGAUGGGUCAACAUGGAAAUGUGAGGAUGAGAUUUUACAUGUUGUCGCCUCUGAUAAUGUACAAACCCAACACAAGUUGUUGUACUCCUUCCUGGUAUAUCAAGACACGUAAAACACCAACACAUCAAAAAAUGAAAACCAAAGUAAGAUGUCUCAAUGCUCAAUCAUUAACUUAGAAGUGACUUUGUUAAUGUUUGAAACCAUACACCUUUUUUCCUAACAUGGUUUAGACAGAAACAACACGGAAUGGAAAGAUGUAUCUCCUAGUAUCCAUCAUUUUGAUAAAAGCAUCUCUUGAUGCAAACAAGGAAACAGACACAAAGCAAAGCCUUUAAGCCUCUUCAAGAAAACAAAAGGAAGUGUUCAUUCAUAUAUACACACUGUGGAUAAAGAUUUGACUUACCUAGACUAGGUAAAGCUUGUCAAAAAUGAACUCCCAAUAUUUUCCAAUCAAUUAUGACAUUGAUUAAUAGCAUUAAAUCGGUUUCUGUGCAAGCUCCAUUUCAACACAUAUUGUAGCUGCCCACACUUAUCUAAUUUUAUGUCCUUCCAUUCAGACAAAGUAUUGCAGGAACCAGCCUAUCUUAAAUGUACAUUCCUUAAUAUUCUGUUGAAAAGAUGGCAGUACAGCAAAUAAAUCAAGCAAUGUGCAUUAUUGGAAAAGACGUACGACCAACUAAUGACAUAAUAUCAGACAAAGAAAGGUGCUCUGACAAGUAACAAAGGUUAAAACUAGAAUCCAAGUGAGCUUGCCCCUCUAUCUUUCCAGUCUUAUCAGUUCACUACUCAAAGAAUUUGGAGCGCUAACACAUCACAGAAACGUGACGAAAAUGACUCCAUGGCUAGACCACUCAAGAAGAAUAGCCAUCAGGUCAUAGACCGGCUAAUAAUAGUAGAGAAUAGUGUUUGCACCCAUUUGAUUGUGUGAUAAGGGGAAAAAGUUCAGAUGAAAUACUCAAAAAAGAGAAGCUUACCUUUGUGGAAAAGACGCGUUCAUGAGAUUCAUCCAGAAUUAUAUUAGUCGCCUGGUCAAAACCUUUGAGAACUCCCUGAUAAUUUUUUAACAGAAAAAUCAAGUUCUCUUUGCUAAGUUAUUUGCUUUUGAAAUCAAUAAAACAAAAAGAAGUUAAUAAUAAUAACAUUACCACAAUGUUGCGUCCAUCGUUUGUAAUAACCGAAAUGAUCUCUGCAACACAACCCAAAAGAUGAGAUUUUCAGACAACCCAUGGGACAGAACAUCAAGAGUGGUGAUUAGUGAGAAGAAAAAAGACAACUUACGAUCGACAAGAGACUCAAGUCCAGUAGUUGUUGCCAUGCGAACAGUUGAAAAGACCUGAAAGGGAUACUUAAAUGUUUCAGCGAGAAAUUCAUCGAACAGUUGGUGGGCAGUACGGAUCUCAACAGAGUCUAUAACAAACCGGAUAUGAUCUUUCUGUUACGUUUACGUGAACCUAGAAUUACAAGAAAAUCAAAAGAUACUUCCAUCUUAAUUCGACCCAAAUCGAGAAAAAAUUCACGAAGGGAAACAAAUAUAAAAAUUGGAUAUGGCUCCUGGAAUUAUCAAAUCAAAUAGGAGGGCUUUAAUGGAUUCAUGAAAUCGAGAGAGAAAGACUCUACCUUUGCUGCUUCCGAAUGUAAACCCCUUUUGCUUCUGAGUGUUAAAGCCCUAAACCCCAAAUCCCCUCCCCCCUCGUCACUGUUUUCUGAAAACUCGGCCGUGUUUUGCUUUGUGUUUUUGAACCCAAACCAGCAACCAAACCGGAAAAAUUCGGGAUCAUGGAUCAAUAUGGUUUGACCGGGUUUAAUUUAGUUCAACCAAAUUCAAUUUUAUGAUAUAAGUAAUAUAUAUAUAUUCUUUAUAAAAAUAUCAUAUUAAAUAAAAUGUUUCAAUAACCAAAAUAUUUUAAAAUUACCAAAACACAACUGAAAAUGUAAUAUAAGUUAUAAAAUAAGUUCAAAUAUAGAAUUAAUACGAAAAACAUAUUUAAACUUCAGUUUUCAAGUCACCAUCACUCUAAGUCUUCUUUAACUUCGAAACAAAUCGUGUAAAGUAAGUUUUUAUAUUCUAGUGUAAUGAGAAACAAGAAUAAGUACAAUGCUUUGCUUUUUAUACAAAUUUAGAAUUUCAUGAAUGUUAAUGCUUAAAUUAUUAAAGUCCUUAGCACAAAUGAACUUGUAAUAAUAUUUAAACAAAGUGAGAAGUAGCAUAAACAAUAGUUUGACGUGAAGAUUUAAAAUUUGUGAAUUUUGUGAUUUGUGAGUUACAGAGCCGACAAAAGAAAAAAAAUAAAUUACAGCAUUGUUUUAUUAAUUUUUUACAACUUUAUUUUUAAUUUUGAAAAAAAACAAGAAAAGUUAACUAUUUUGUUAACAAAUUAAUGGUUCACAUAUGGACCCUGUUUUGGCCUGUUCAUUGGUCCCCUGUUUCCGGAUUUUUAACGAUUUAGUAUGGAUUUUUAACCGGUUUAAUUUUAGCUGGGUUUUGCUAUUAAUCCAACACAGACUGGUCUUCGGUUCUUGGUUUAACCCAAUCAUACCGUUGGUCGGUCCGGUUUUAAAAACACUGCUUUAGAUAUGAUCAAGUUAAACAACUCAAAUAAUUUUUAAUAAAACAUGUUAAAAAAAUUUAAUUCUCACCAAUAUUUAGAACAAACCUAAAAUUAGUUUUUUUCCAAAAUAACAUAGAAGAAAUAAAAAAAAUGACCAAAUGAGGUUUCAUUAAAAGAUAAAAGAAAAUAUUAUACAUAUUUUAUAGACAUAUAAAUAUUAAUAAACAUUUAAAUAAAUAGUAAAGAAAUUUACCUUUUAAUUUUCGUAAAACUUUUUUUUUUCAAUUCGAACUUUUUGAUUUUUUUCUAAUUUCUUUUUAAAAUUUUCUUUUCUGAAAAUUUUGUUUUGAAAUCCGAAAAUUCUUUUUGAAACUAUUUUAAAAAUUAUAUAUUUUUUUUAAAAGUCCUAAACCUUCAAAACUCCAAUCCUUACAUCUAAACUCUAAAAUCUAAAUUAGUUAACCCUAGAAAUAUUAAUGUUUUUUACCUUUUUAAUUAAAUAUUAUUUAACUAUUUUAACCUUUAUGUGCUGUAUUUAUAAUAUAUAUAUAUAUGUUUAUAUAUAUGUGUGAAAUCAGCAACGGAUUUUCCCCAUAGAACCUGGCCAAUUUCUAGACAGUUGGAGUUGGUAGAUCUCUUUUGGGCAUGGCACUCAUCCUCAUCUGUUUCUUUCGCUUAUGUAUUUGAAUGUUUGUAUGAACGUAUCAUUUCGCAAGUUGGGUUUUAAAAACUUUACAUAUGUAUGGACGCACUCUGUUCUAUAAACAUUAUGAUCCUUUCUUAGCUAGCUAAUGCUAACCGUCUUGUUGUAACUAUAAUCUUCUUUUGUUGUGUGAUGAGACAGUUUAGGAUCGCACCAUGGAUCAAAGACAUGUGUUCACAUAAUCAACUGUGUACAAAGCUAAGGAGAAAAAUUAUACGCAGAGUAUGGGAGGUUGAAAUUGCACCUUGUGUUACCCAAAAAGCAAAACAAAGUCUACACAAAUCUAAACCAGGACAAUUCAGGUACGAAUCUGACAUAAAACAAGCUACAAUCAAAAUGAAAAAUAGAAAAAGGACUAGAAGAAACCGAGAUAGCAUAAUAGCUGUUACUAUUUGAAUUAGUGGAAUGUGAAAGAAGGCUCUAAGGAAUCGUAAUUGCUUAGGGAGGAUUACAGAGCGGAGAGCCUUUGUGUAAUCGUAAUUGCUAGGCAAUGGAUGCUUCUGCUUACCACACCUUGACCCAGGUGUGCCUUUUAAAACACAGCUAAGAUUUCCUAAUUGUUUAUCCUCAUUCAAAAACCUCAAGCUUAAAGUUCUUUCACAUACAAAAGAAGACAACUAAACUAAUCAAUAAGAAAACAAAAAAUAGAUACCGUUUUGAUGAAAACAAAGUCUACAUGAUCAGACCAUUGUAACUUCAGCUCCUAAACGAGCAACAUGGGUAUACAUGAACAAACCAUAAAGUAUCAGGUCUUAAACGAGACACAUUGGUGUCAAGAUAAUAGAUGCAGACAAAUUAUAAACAUGCACUACACAAAUCGUAAAGCACUGAUAGUUCAGUAUAUUAGCUUUAGAUAAAUCCAUACAAGACUCGAUUUUACUAACAGGCAACAUAGAUUGACGAUAAUAUGCAGAAACUGAAUUCACAAAAGGAUCCAUUUUUUUUACUGUUUGGGUAAUAAGAUAACAACAACAACCUAUAGAAUUAAGCAGCUUCCUUCACAGGAGCUGGAUCUGGGAUCUUGACGUACCCCAACUUCUUCAAGCUAGCCGCAUCAGAUUCCUCGUUCUCGUAAUCAUCUUCCUCGAAAUCGUAUCCGUGGCGGUUCACGACGAUAGCCCAAACGAGGUACAUGGUAGCUGCGGUUAGGGCACCGCAUCCGACGCCGAAUAAGAGACCCACCACGACGCUGAGGAUGUCCCUGAUGUUAUCGGAGAAGGGUAAUUGAGGGCGAUCCUCUCGGAUCUGAGGCUUCUCGGCGGCGGAAGGGAGGAAUCCGUGACGGCGGUUGACGAAGAUAGGGUGGGGAUAAAGACGGCGGAUCGUGAAGACGGUGACGAAUUGAGGGGAGGGGAGAUGGGAUUGGGAUUCGAGGUUAGGGUUUUCUGGGGUUAUUGAGAGGGAAUAGGAGGAGAUGAGGAAGGUUUUGCAAGGACGAGCGGCGAUGAUUGAAAGGGAGGAGACGAUGAUCGCGAGGAGGAGGAGGAGGAGGGAAGAGGAUGAUGACGAUGCCAUUGUUGUGUGUUUGACUUCUUCCUUGCUUUGAAACAAAAGACGAUCUACCUGGAGAUUUCGUGAACAAGAUUAUUACGAUGUUUUGUACUUCUAUUUUAUUACAAAAAGCCCAUUUAUUAUUAUGUUUGACUUUGACCAUUAACGUCCUCUUAAUAAUGUUAUCUUCGAGAUAUCUCGUAAAUGCGAAUCAUUCUUCUCAAUCUAAAACUAUCUUUACCAACUAAGGAAAAUUCGUUGCAAAAAUAACUUUAAAUUGUUGUAGAUUUUUCGUACACUCCAUUGUCCAUUUGUCCAUAUAAAAAUUUUCAUCUCCGAAUAAAGUGGCAACUGACUCGCUUUUGUAUUCGUCGUUCCCAUUAAACUAAUAACACAUUUCAGUAUGCUAUACCAUAUUUAUCCCAAAAAUACAUCCUGAUUUUUCCAUGAUCCAUCUGUAAAACAUCGUCGACCUAAAAUAGCCAGUAUUAUCGCCUCUACUGAUGAACGGGUUUGGUUGAUUUUUCGUGUAAGUGAAUUCUGCCUAAAGUAAAAACUCUCUUUCCAUUAAUUUAAAAGUUUCUUUAGUCGUCCUUUCCAUAUCAAUGCUUGAUCAUAUAACCACAAAAGCCAAUGUUACUAUUCUUCAAAGCUCAUUUUCUUUUUGUGAGAAUUUCUUCUCCACUUAGAGCCAUGAAUAAUUUUAUAUUACAAAAUCAGUCCACGAUUUUAAGUGGUAAGACCCACAAUAAAGGAGAAACAUUUUUGACUCAACCAAAUUAAAUCUAAAAGAACAAUUUAGUAAAGAAUUAUUUUUUAGACCACACGCUCAUUUAUCAAAGGGUUAAUUUGCUAAAUGAUUAUACUGAGGAAAAUAUUAGUUUUGUAGUAAUAGAAUAAAGAGAAAUAUGAAGAGAAAGGAGGAAGAGAAGAUUAUAUGGUUAGUUGGUAAAAUAUAGUUUUUUGUUAUAAGAUCUUAAUGUCUUUUUUGGGUUAAAGGUUAAAACUUAUUAUAUAAUCUUUUGUGAAAAUUUUCCUAUUAAAUUUAACUUAAAUACAUAAUAGAAAUUGAAGAAAAAGUAAAGUUUAGGAAUCAUCGGAAAAUCAUUUAGGUGAAUAUAUAAAUAUUAGCAGAUAACUGGAGAUGUAUGUAGUAUUUGAAAGUAUUUGCAAAGUUGGUUAUUUAGUGUGUAUGGUUUGCUAAAUUAACCCUCAGACGGUAGAUCCACCGCACGAGAGUGUUGGCGAAGUACGUAGCAACCUUCCUCAUGGCUCCGGCUUGGGACACAGCUAAGAACCCAAUCUGCUUAACCAGAGCUUCGGCUAUAGUAAACUUGCUGUUCUUUAUGGCUUCAGCACAGGCCAUAAGCGAGUGGACUAGAUGUACACCGUUGUUUUGCGUAUCGACUAGGAUUACAGGUCUUGACGCACUAGCAGUUGUUGUCGUUAUUGUUGUUCUUAUGACUCCGCCAAUCUGCUAAGCCGGCGAUGGAGAUGUAACCACUGAAAUGGGAGAAAGAAUAACUGGGUCCAAACCAUUAGACCCAGACGUACCGGUGAAUUAAUCUCCGUGAGCAUAUUAUCAGGCCAUGAGGUUCCACUGGUAGUGAACAGUAUCCAUCGCGAAGUGAGCUAAACCAUCUUGUUGAACAUUACCCAUCAUCGCCUCUAACUGCUUGAGUUUCAAAGCAACCUCUUGUGAUCUCGAUGACCUUACCUUGUAACCUAACACACCGAGAUGCUCGUCGUCUUCUUCUUUCUUCACCAUCAUUAUCUUGUUUUUAUCAAAGAAAAUGUCUGUGAAUUGAAAAGAAGAAGCAAGAACUCGUAAAGUUUUUGUGGCCAAAAAAUAAAAGAUUUUUUUAGUUAUUUUUUAAUUCAUCAUCCAUUUUGUAAAAAUACAUUUGGAAUUUACGAAAGUGGUACAGUAGAUUUCCAUAUAGCUAAUUAAAGUUUCUUUUUAGGUUAUGUAGUGCAAAUUCUCAUCAAAUAAAUCUGUGACUUAUUAUUCAUAGCAAAAACUUUAUAACCUGUAUUCUUAUUUUAAAGCGAGGUUUAUUUGCAAAAAAGAAAAAAAAAAGAUUACAGUAGUUGUUCUUGAACCUUCUUUUUUUUACGUGGCUGCCCAGAUAUCAGAGUUAUCAAAAAAAAAAAAAAAAACCUUUUUUNNNNNNNNNNNNNNNNNNAGUUAUCAAAAAAAAAAAAAAAACCUUCUUUUUUUUGCACAUGACAUCAGAGAAGCUGAUAGUUUCUGCAAGCAAAAGUUAACAAUUCCGGCAGCUAAGUUUGAGCAAAUCGUGGAUUUGCUAGCGAAGCUGUGUCAGCGAUUCCUCGUCUUCAGGGUGGCGCGUCUCAAGCGUGUGGUUUGGUAACGCGUGUCCUACUUUGUUCUUCUGAUGCGAAAUUGUAAAUGAGCGGGGGAAUGGAUCUGUAACUUUCGAUUGUACGUUACCCAUUGGGCUUUAUAAUGAAAAAUGAGUUGACAAAAAUAAAAUUAAAAGGAAGGAAAUAUAUUUGCCGACAUACAUCUGCCGACUCAAAAAAAUUCAUUUCGUAUUUUGCAAUCCAUUCCUUGACGAACGAGUUUCAAAAAGCUCAUCGCUGAAAGCAUCCAUGGCCCUCACCGAGUUCCUACCUAACGAGUACGGAUAUGUGGCUCUCGUCCUCGUCUUCUACUGCUUCCUCAACCUCUGGAUGGGAGCUCAAGUCGGCAUGGCCCGCAAAAGGUUUGCCUUAUAUUUGAUUCGGACGCGAUCUAUUUUUUUUUUUCGUAAUCUGAAUUUUUAGAUCCUUUGUUUUUUCUGUAGUCGCCUCAAUUCUUUUCCAUUUUAGAAGUAUGUUGUUGUUUGUCAUCCUGAUACAGGUACAACGUGCCGUAUCCAACUCUCUACGCUAUAGAAUCAGAAAACAAAGAUGCUAAACUCUUCAACUGCGUUCAGGUUUUUAUUUUUUUUUAUGAAGAAUUUUUAUUUUAUUUUUCACUUAAUAAUUUUUCUACUUAUUAUUGAGAGUUUUGGUUGCAGAGGGGUCAUCAGAACUCUCUGGAGAUGAUGCCAAUGUAUUUCGUACUGAUGAUCCUUGGUGGAAUGAAACACCCUUGCAUCUGCGCUGGUUUGGGUUUGCUCUAUAAUAUCACUCGAUUCUUCUACUUUAAAGGCUACUCUACUGGAGAUCCAAUGAAACGCCUCACCAUCGGGUUUGUGUUUUUUUUUCUUUGUUCUUCUUCCCCUUGUUGAUUUGACAUAUGUUUUUUCUUUCUUUCAUUUUUGUGGUCUUGUAAUCUUUAUGUUUUUUUGCAGGAAAUACGGUUUCUUGGGAUUGCUUGGUCUCAUGAUCUGCACCAUCUCAUUUGGAGUUAGUCUGAUCCGUGGUUAAGCCAGUCUUUUGUGAGUUUGAUGUUCUUUGUGUUUGUUCAUGAACUUUGGAUCCAGUUCUUGUAAGUUGUCUACAGACUUGUGUAAUAAUCAUUGUAAGUUGUCUACAGAGCUGUGUAAUAAUCUUAGAGUUGUUGCUAUACUUUUUUUUGAAGUUUUUCAUUCAGUUCUUUAUGUAGAACAAUAAAACUUCACAUCCCUAAGCAAAUAUUGCAAGUCUUUACCUCCUCUUCGGUGGGGGUGUGCAUUUCGGUUUAGUUUUGGUUUUAUAUCGUAUCUUUUUGGUUUGAUAGAUUCAGAGGGUGAAUUCUGAAAAUUAGGAAUUUCUGGAAAAUUUUUGUCGUUAAACUUUUUUUUUUUAUAUAUGUUAUCAAAACAUUAAAUCCUACUUUCUAAGCGGACUACUAGAAUUAAGGGCGAUUAAACAUAAAACACCCUUUUGAAUAAUUUGACUUGAAACACAGACCACAAUGGCUGGAUGUGUCACCAAUGGCUGGACAAGACACAUCUGGUGCUACAGGAAGCAACAUAAACAUUAAUAAUUCCAAGGAUGAAUGAAAUAGCUUAACCCGAGUGGCACACCAUUCAUCCAGACCCCGCUCGAUUCAGAUGGAAAUCCGAUUGCCCAGCAGCCUGGAACACAUCAGUUUGGCCAAGAUGGACUUUUGUUUUGCCCAUUCCGCCAUCCCAAAUGGCGGAACUACCGCCAGUACUGACUGUCGAUACAACGGCUCUGAUAAACCAGGUACCAAAAAAAUUUACGACAUGUUUUUCUGUUCUACUUCAAUGCACGUUAACAUGAUACAUCAGAACAACAAGCCAUGCAUCGUCUGGAGCAAAUCAUGCAAACCAAGGUGGGACAACAAGCUCAGAUCAACGACUUACUAGCCUCAUCAUCGAGAACUCCAUGAAAUGUAGUCCUAGGGAAGACAUACACUCCAGCAUGACUCAACAGAUCCGACAGCAACCAUUCCAGACUGGAUUAUGAAACAAUGAACACAUAAGUGAGCUUGGUAAAAAAAAAAGGGUGAGAUUGGUGACCUCAAACGAAACUUAGCCCAUACCCAUGCCGACCUCCCGAUUGAUGCAAUCCCAGUUCCAUCGAGUCAUCAGCUCAGCUCCUGAAGUAGACAAAUUCAUAUAAGAGACACAAAGGACACCAUUCACAACUCACAUCACAAGACUCCUGAUCCCAAACAUCAAACUUAAGAUUCCCCCCUCCUAUACAAUGGAAAAUAGACCCCCCGAGCUCACAUGAGCGCCUUUUGCAUGCAAUGAAGGGUACUCACUUCAACGAUGGAUAACAAGAUGUCGGUUACUGCAAGUUCUUCGUCGAGAAUCUGGUAGGACCGGCUCUCAACUCUAUUUCUCGUGUAUAGACCAACACAUCAACAACUUUAACCAGCUGUCGAUUGUGUUUGUGAAGCACUACUCUAUGUGUAUAGAGAAAAGAGCUUAUGACACCGAUCUGUGAACAGUGUCCCAGAGAUAAGGAGAGCCGCUUCGAUCUUUCAUUAGAAGGUUAAAAACGAUCCCCUCUAACAUUGUUGUGAGUGACUGUGCAUGCAUAUCUCCACUGCUAAAUGACUUAUGGCAUGAAUUACGCAUUUAUGAAGAAUUCUUGCUUAGCAAACCAUCCACACUGGAAGACUCUCUCCACAGAGCUUCAAAAUACAUGGAAAUGGAAGAAGAAAAGAAGGUGUUUGCUGAAAAACAUGCGACGAUAGGCAAAGACGACGAGGAGGAUUGAGAAGAGACGGAAAUUCACAAGAUCGGAGCUGUAAGGUCAGCGAAUGAAGCAAAACCGAUGACAAUCAAAUAAGGAAACUUCAAAACCUCGAUCAAACAAACCCAGACCCGAGUCAUGGAAUAUAGGAGAUGGGGAGAAAGACAAAUCCAAAAUUUUUUGCAGCUUCCACAACAGAGGAGGACAUACCACUCAGCAGUGUUUCGGUUUCCAAAACUUCGUUUACUCCAAGUUUCACGAAGAAGGGUUAGCACAGAUCGAGGUCUCACUCCCAAUUAACAACAACAACACAAGUGCACCCAAGAGAAAUCGGGAAGCUAAGAGCACUGAAGCACCGGGCCCACUGACCUCAAGAAAAAGAACCAAUAUGAUAAUGAGAGGAAAUCCCUUCUCUGAUGAUUCAGUACGGGCAAUAAAGGACUAUGGCAAUAGAGUAAUCUCUGUGUCCACAAGAGCUAGAGAUAUGAUAAAAGAUGACGCAAUCAUAAAGUUUAUAGAGUAAGAAAUGGAAAACUUAGACUGGCUACACAACGACACACUAGUUAUAAAGAUAAUGCUAGCAGACUGGAUCGUUAAUCGAUACCGGAUGUUACGUCGCAUAAUGUAUUUCAAAUAUAAGCGCAUGCGCUUACACAUGGAUGUAUAAGAUCAAAAUUAUGUUCAAAUUGUCUCAUCUAACAAUUACCAUUGUAGCAUGAUUUUAUUUUUAUUUUAUUUUUUGCUUUCUUAUGAGUGUACAACAAAUUCAUCCAUGACAUAAUUAUAUUAAUGUUAUAUAGGUAAAAAAACUCGGAUGAGAAACUUUUCCUUUAUAUUAUUUUCCAAACACGCUUUUUGUACUCUUUUUUAUUCAGUUAUAUAUAUAUUUAGAAAUUGCAAUCAUUUCGAUUUAGUCUUUAUUUUAGUUGUUCAACCCUACAAAAUCAAAUAUCACAAUCUAUUGAUUUCAUUGCAUUGGCUAGUACGCAAAAUGCGACUCGAUAUCGUAAAAGAUGUUCAAUUAGUAAAAAUCAAAUAUUCAUUUUAUAUUGCAAAUAAAGAGAUUCAAGCCACUUGUGACUGGUCCCACAUUGUCCAUUGUCUUGUAUUUUCUCACCAAACAACACUAUAGGCAUAGGCCAUAUUCUCUUAUGGACAACUUGACCCCCCCAUGGUGGCCACCAUCACGUGAUAAUUGAUUCCUUUUAAUAUAGAGAAGAUUUUAUAACCAUUUUUUAGUUUUCUAAAUAGUUUGAAUCUCUUUAUUUGGUGAUUUUAUAGUCACUUUUUGGUUUUCUAAAUAGCUUCAAAAAUCAAAGUGAGCAAAAUACGUAUCAUUAAAUGGUGAAAUGACAAUUCUAUACUCAUUUAUAAUUAUAAUUAAUUACUUAUUAAAUAAAAAUAAAUAAAUAUUAAAAAUCAAAAUAAUAAAAUUGAAAAAAAUUGAAACUAUUUUAAAAAAUUUCUUUCCAUUUUUUUUUCUGGAAAAACAUUUUUUCUUUAAAAAAAUUAGGAAGAAUUUUAUGAACAUGUAUUAUAUCUUCAUGAAUUUAUAAAAAUUCUCAAAUUCAUGAAUGUCUUCAAAAAUGUAUAAAUAGACUUAUCAAAUAUAACUUGUAUAUAUAUUUGGGAAGUUCUUCUAAAAUAUGAAUGUUAUAUUCCUGAAUUUGAUUUAUAUGCAUAUUUAGAAAAAUAUGAAUCAUUAUAUUACAAUUUUUAAAAAUUUACGAAGAUGCUUUUAAAUAUGUAUAGCAUCCUUAUACAAUUUAGAUAUCAAAUACAUGACGAUAUUCCGAAAACUUUAAGAAGGUGUUAUAAAAAUUUAAUAAUAUUAAACUUUCAAAAAAUAUUAUAAAUACUUAAUAAAAUUAAAAAAUUUAGUUUAUUUCUCAAAAUAGAAAUAGUGUAGAACCAAAAUAAAACAACCAUCAUAAGAAGUUCUCUAUAAAAAGAUUUUGUAGUUCUAGGAAUAGAAUCAAAAAUUGCAUUUUAUCUCUAAAAGAUAUAAAACUUCUUGAAUGUUUGGAAUGAUCUUCGAAAAGUUGUUAUUUUUUUAGCUUUAUUGACAAGUUUGGCAAUGGCUGAAGUUUUGAAAUUAUAGUGAUCAAAUUAAUCCAGAUUGAAUAUCCAUUUAAAUACCUUUAUUUACAAUACAGAAAUGCAAAACUUAAAUAAAUAUAUAUGCAAUGCAGUGACAUCGACAUCAAUAGUUGUAACUUGAUGAUGAGCUGUUUUCUACAGUAAUCACACAUUAAAAAAAAAAGAGCCAGGAAGUAUCUAAAAUGGAAGGAACAUGCUGGACCAGAGAAUAAAACCAAACAAAAAUCAAAAGGGCAAAAACGUCAUUCACACUUUGAUGAUUGGAAAAAAAAUCUGUAAUAGUCGGCACCUGCAGCAGUAUAAAAGGCUUUACCUAUCUGGAUUUCACGAAAAGCCACCUCGUCGAUACCGAAGCAUAUUCUUCGUUGUUGUUUUUUUAUCUUUCUUCUUAGGGAAUUCAUGUUUCUCGUCUUCUAAAACAAAAGAGAAGAAGAAAAAAAUGCAGCGAUCACGAAAUUGCAAGAUCUGUGGGAACGAAGCCAUACACGCUUGCCGUCUGUCGAUUUCUAAUCUCAAAGUUUUAUUCGUUUUUGAAUCGUCGCUAUUGAAUAAUUCGAUCUCCCGUUUUUGCGAUGAGCUGGUCCGAUAAGCUUCUUCUUCUUCGCUGCUCCUCCUUCUCCGAUCUCUGCAGAUUUUCAAAUUUCCUCUUUAAUCGGAUCGUUUAGUUGAUUUUUUUUCACGAAUUUUGGGAAAUCUCUCUGUUUCUUCAAUGGAUAAGAAGGUUUCGUUUACCGAUGAGCUUCCUGAUGGUAAUUGAGAUUAUGCAUUGCGGUUUAUAUAUAGAUUUAAGAUUCAUUGUAGAAUGAUUCAUUGUAACAUGUGUUUCGUGCAGUUACAAUCUCAGCGCUUCUACAGAAGCAGAACAAUGUGGUGCAGCCUUGUGUGAUCGUGAUAGGCAGUGGCAUAUCAGGUCUGGCUGCUGCUAGGAGCCUCUCUGAAGCUUCUUUUAACGUGACUGUUCUCGAAUCACGUGAUAGGAUUGGUGGUCGCAUCCAUACCGAUUACUCCUUUGGUUGUCCUGUUGAUAUGGGAGCUUCUUGGUGAGUUUCUUUUUUAUUUUAUUUUUAUGAUUUGUAGUAUUUGUUGGUGUGGAAUGGAUAAUUGUGAUGUCUACGUUUUGAACAGCCUCUAUUCGUUUAAAACCCUUUGUCAAACGUUGUGUAGGUUACAUGGAGUCUCCAACGACAACCCCUUGGCUCCUAUUAUACGCCGUCUAGGGCUCACUCUAUACCGAACUAGCGGGGAUGACUCCAUCUUGUAUGACCAUGAUCUCGAAAGGUAACCUUUUCCUGCCUUUACGCUGUACUUGUGUUUGGAGAAACUUUUUAAACAUUAAGGAACAUUAUUCGGAGCCUUGGAGUUAGCUAAUUAUUGAUAUUAUAUAUAUUUUACAUUUAUAUAAGAUAAUUUAUUUUUUAGAUUUAAUUAUAAACUUAUUUUGAUGAAUUAUCAAAAUUAGAUACACAAUAUAAAUAAGUUAGAAAAAUUUGUGGAUUUGUACUAAUAUUAUUAGUUAAUUCAACAGAUUUAAGCUAAUUUAGACCAAACUAAACCGAUUUAGAAUGUUUUAAACCGAUUCAAAAAGGUUUAAACCGGUUUGAGUCGUAUAAAUCGAACUAAAAAAAACGUUUCGGCUUAGUCGAUUUGCCGACUAAGCAUUGCCAUUGCCAUUGCCAGACUGAUUUUUAGAACCAUGGUACAUACUAUGACUAGAUGGGUUUCUGUCUGAAACCUGUUAUAACCCAAUUUCUCUGUUUAGCGAGUUAGUUUAUAUCAACUUUUGUAAGUAUAAAUCUGGUUUUCCUAUCUCAGUUAUGGACUUUAUGACAUGCACGGGAAUAAAAUUCCGCCGCAGUUGGUCACUCAAGUUGGAGAUGCAUUCAAGAGAAUUCUCGAAGAGGUAAGCUUUGCAUUUGCUUGAUUAAAUUUUUGAAUUAGCAUCCUUUGUCGUAACAGUAGAAGCUGACCCAUGCUUGCUUCCCUUGUUGAUUUCUAGACGGAGAAAAUAAGGGAUGAAACUGCCAAUGACAUGUCAGUUCUUCAAGGAAUAUCCAUCGUCUUGGAUAGACAUCCAGAACUAAGGCAAGAAGGAAUUGCCUACGAAGUUUUGCAAUGGUACAUAUGUAGGAUGGAAGCAUGGUUUGCUGUAGAUGCGAAUUUGAUAUCGCUCAAAUGUUGGGAUCAGGCAAGCCAACCAAUUCUAUUGUCCAUUUAUAAACACAUUCUGCCAACUGUAACUUCAUGUAGUAGUUCUAAGGAUGGUCUAUAUAUGAAGAGUUUUAAUUUGUUUAUUAGUGGAAGCAAUACACUAAAGAAAAAGGCUCAUCAAAGCUUAUAAUUGUUGUGCAGGAUGAAUGUCUUUCCGGUGGCCAUGGUCUAAUGGUACAGGGUUAUGAGCCAGUGAUCAGAACAAUUGCUAAAGACAUUGAUAUCCGCUUGAACCACAGGUAACUCAUCAUAAUUCAUAAGAGCUUAUACAUGUAUCGUACUUAAAACAGUUAAACCUUAUCACGUGUGUUUUGUAAUUUAAUUAACUCAGGGUUACUAAAGUGUCAAGAACAUCUAAUAACAAGGUUAUAGUGGAAGUUGAAGGAGGAACCAACUUCGUUGCUGAUGCUGUUAUCAUCACUGUGCCCAUCGGUGUGCUCAAGGCAAACCUGAUUCAGUUUGAGCCGGAGCUCCCACAAUGGAAGACCUCUGCGAUAUCUGAUCUUGGAGUAGGCAACGAGAAUAAGAUUGCCCUGAGAUUUGAAAACGUGUUUUGGCCCAACGUGGAGUUCCUGGGGAUGGUUGCACCAACUUCUUACUCGUGUGGCUAUUUUCUGAAUCUUCACAAAGCAACAGGCCAUCCUGUGCUUGUUUAUAUGGCUGCAGGAAACCUCGCUAAGGACCUUGAAAAGCUAUCCGAUGAGGCUACUGCAAAUUUCGUAAUGCUACAACUUAAGAAAAUGUUUCCCGACGCACCUGACCCGGUAAGAACUCAUCAUCUUAUUGCACAAUCUGUAUCUCAUAUGUUGUUUUAAGUACUUACAAACAAACGAAAACAGGCUCAGUAUCUUGUGACACGGUGGGGAACGGAUCCAAACACAUUGGGGUGUUACGCAUAUGACGUAGUUGGGAUGCCGGAAGAUCUAUACGCGAGGCUAGGAGAGCCGGUUGAUAACAUAUUCUUUGGAGGAGAAGCUGUGAACGUCGAGCAUCAAGGGUCUGCUCACGGAGCCUUCUUAGCAGGAGUCUCGGCCUCUCAGAAUUGUCAGAGGUAUAUCUUCGAGAGACUCGGAGCUUGGGAGAAGCUCAAACUUGUUUCUCUUAUGAGGAAUAGUGAUUUACUUGAAACUGGAACUGUUCCUCUCCAGAUUUCCAGGAUGUAAUUGUUCUACCUCUAUCUUUCUUUUACUUUCAUUUAGUUUUCUGCUUAAAACACAAGCAAUGGUCCUUUUUUUUUCCUAUCUGAAAACAAAAACAAAUAAACAUUUCGACUUCUGCAUGGUGAAGUACUUUGAGAACCCGUAAGCACAUGGGUAUAUGUUUUUUCUUUCUUUUUUUUAUCAAAGGGUAUAUUUUUGAUUAAGCAGCUUUUAGAAGAAAAAAAACUAAAAUUUAAAUAUAAAGUAAAAGAUAAUUAUAAGAAUGUUAAUAUUUUAGCACUAAGAUGGGUAUAUGUACCGUUGGAGUUGUUCUUAUUUUUGUUAAAGAAUUUUCAUUAAUAAAGAUUAAAAGUCACAAGGAAGCAAACACCAACCGAAAUAAUACCUGUGAAAAGAAAGGAGGGGAAUGAAACAGCAGAGGAUGAUCUACGCACAACAGCCAAUAUAGAAGUAAAGUGGGACUAAAAUCUAUGGUGAAUCAAACCAAAAAAGUAGCCAGGGUAAGACUUCGUGAAAGACCCUGAGAAGUCAUAGCGGAGCAUUUGUCACGCAGUCAAGAAAAGGUGAUCCUAAGAAGGCACGAAGGGGGCCAAGGAAAACCAUCAUGAAGGCGUCUCUUACGUUUUCUCUAAAGCUCAUAAACACACAGUUUGCCAAACCUGAAGAAUAGCAAGCUUAAUUAUUUUAUCCACAUGAGCAAUGGGCAACCAGUUUAAAACAUCCCCAACCAAGCUGAAGGCCAAGAUGGAAUGUGAAAUCAGCUUAUAACCAAGUUCCAAACAACUGAAGAGAAAUAGCAGCUAAAAGAACCCUGCUUUCAUUACUAUGUCCACACAACAAACAGACUGCCUCAGAGUCCGGAUUCCAAGCUGCAAUGCGAUCAAAGGUAGGGUUACGAUUAAGAAUGAAUAGUAGCCAUGAGGUAGUAGCAAAGUUUUUGAUCUCAGGCCAAGGAUUUUUUUUGAACAUCCAAAAAUAGCUAUAUUUUUCAUCUUUUAACGCCCAAAAAAAGAAGAGAUGUUUUAUAAUUUAUCUCUUAUCCGUGCCACCCAAAGAGAGCCUGAUGAUCAUCCCUAGAAGCUUUAAAAUACAGGCUCAUUCCAGUGAAAAAUAUUGCGCAUUCCCAAACCCCCCUCGGCCUUUGGGGCUGACAGUUCUUCUCAAGAUACCUUUGCGCCCGUAGAUGCCAAUAGUACCAUGCCAAAGAAAUGAGCUACAUAGGCUAUUAAUUUUCCUCAUUACACACUUUGGCUAAAGGAAAGCAGACAUCCAGAAGCAUGUUAUACCUACAAUUACCGAAGAAAUGAGAGUACGGCGACAAGCCAUUGAUAACGCCUUUGAAGUCCAAGAGCCCAACUUUUUUUAUAGCGGUUUUAUUGGGCUAGAAGAGGCUUGUGAGUAUUAAUUUUCAACGUCACAUGUAACUGUGACUAAUUCUUAGCUGUCUAACUUUGUCGUGAAGACAUUAUCGAUGUUUUCAAGCUUGUUUUUGAGUUCACUAUCAUCGUCUUUAGAAGAUCUAUAUGGUUUCAUUACUUUUGAUGUUGUUUAUUAUGCUUUGUGUCAAAGACGACGUACAAUUUCUUUUUACUGUAACCAAUCAGUUUGAAUGAAUGAAAAAUAAGUGGUGUUCCAAAAAUAAAAAAUAAAGCUUCCCUAACUAUUAAAUAGUGUACUUUUGAGUAAAAUAUUUAAUAAAAUAGUGCCUUGCUUUUAAGAGCAGAAGUAAAAAUAAAAAGUAUUAUUCUCUUGAGGACUUUAAAACAUGAUAUGAUAUAUGUUGUGAUGUAUGCAUAAUUAAGGUAUUUUUGGUAGCGAUCCUGAAACAAAGAGAAGAGAAAUACAUGGAUGGAUAUGGCUUUAAAGCCUAGAACUAACAUGAUCAACACCGCGUCGUUGAACUUUCUUGGAACCCACACCGUCCUCAUCGACUACAAAAGCCUUAGCGAUGUCUCUCAGUUUAGACUUGAGGAUCUUUCCGUUGCUGUUCUUUGGCAGCUCUUGAAGGAACACAACCUUCCUUGGACACAUAAAAUGUGGCAUACUAUCACGGCAAUAUGCAAUCAAGUCUCUUUCGCUGGUCACGAAUUCCUCUUCACGGGGUCCUUGUCUAGUCUCAACAACUUUUAGAACAAUAAAUGCACAGGGAGUUUCACCCCAAAGAGGGUGAGGCAUGGCCACCACAGCAGCCUCGACCACUUUCUGAUUCUCGUAAAGGACUUUCUCGACCUCUAUACUGCUGAUGUUCUCACCUCCCGAGAUGAUGAUGUCUUUGGAUCGAUCUUUGAUCUCUAAGUGCCCAUCAGGAUGAAUCACACCUAUAUCUCCAGUGUUGAACCAUCCGUCUUUAAACGCUUCAGAUGUUGCUUUAGGGUUCUUUAGAUAGCCUUUCAUUACACUGUUUCCUUUGAUGACGAUCUCUCCUGUUGUCUUGCCGUCGCGUGGGACACUCUCCUGAGUUGUCGUGUUCUUUACGUCAACGUCUGCUAGCGUUAUGUUUCUUAUCCCUUGCCUUGCUUUCAGCUGCAUCUGUCGAUGCUCUGGUAGUCUGUUCAAAAUUGUGUAGAAGAAUUGUCUUAUCAAACGUUAUAAUUUUCAACAUCACUGUUAAGGAAAUUUCUUUAACAUGGUUAUAUUAUAUAUUUACCUGUUCCAUUCGUCUUGCCACUCACAAAAGAGAACGGGUCCGCUGGUCUCCGUAAGCCCAUAGCCAUGCAUUAUUCGGAACCCCAACUGCUCUACCUUCUUAAGAAGUGCAGUGGGUGGGGAUGAACCUCCGGUCAAAAUGUGAACAGGCCGUGACCUGUGUGACCGGUCACUCUGCUCUCCUUCUAUAAGAAAUCUCAAGACUGUAGGAACACAAGACAUGUGCGUAACGCCAUGAGAACUUAUGUUCUUAUAGAUCUCUGGGGCAGUCACGUGCCUUAAGCAUACAUUGGUGCCUCCACGCGCAGCCACAGACCAUGUGUGCGACCAUCCAUUGGCAUGAAACAUUGGCAAGGUCCAGAGGUAGACCGGUGAAAUCCCCAUCUCCCAGUCCAUAAUCGUGCUCAAAGCGCUCAAGUACGCCCCUCGGUGGCUAACCACCACACCUUUUGGGUCGGCUGUUGUACCAGACGUGUAGUUCAAAGAAAUAGGGUCAUGCUCAUUGCGGACACAGAACGUACUUGUGGAAAGAAAUUGCGAAGGAUCUCCUGUACGGAUGAGACCCUCGUACUCCAACUCCCCAGGGGAAUGUUUUGUAGUGGAAUCCAUAUCAUUAAUGAAUAUGAUUAGUGGCUUAGGUAUUGAGUCGUCAAACGGUAGGAGAUGGAGGACUUCUUGGGUCAAAGGAGCAAACUCAUGGUCGACGAAUAAGAUCUUUGGCUGGGCGUGGCGUAGGAUGAUGGCUAUGGUUUUGGCGUCCAGGCGAGUGUUAAUAGGAUUCAGUACGGCCCCGGUCAUUGGAAUGGCAAAAUGCAUCUCGUACAUGGCGGGUACGUUUGGGGCCAAAAUCGAGACCUAAACAGAUAUAGAUAAAUAUUCAGUAUGUAAGGCAUCGAUAAAGAUAAAACAAAGAGAAAGGAAAAGUUAUGCGAUUCAUAUGCUAUAUAUGUCAUCAUAUUAUCGUUAGAAUGGCUAACGAGGAAUCCAUACAAUUAUUAGCCUUGCAUAGGAAAAGAGAAAGUAAAAGGGAUAAGCAUACGAUGUUGUUUCGGGUGAUAUUAAGAGAGAGAAGAGCGGCGGCCAGUCGACAGCAACGGUCAUAGGUCUGGGGCCAAGUGAAACGAGUUUGUCUGUAGAUUAUGGAGGUUCGAUUGGGGUAACAUUCCGAAGCUCGUUUCAAGAACGUUAUGGGUGUUAGAGGAACAUUGUUUGCUUCACAUAUCGUCAGAAUAUCCAUCUUGUAUGAGUGAAUAUGUGUGGGGCAAUAAGGAUAUGCAAAUCCACAUUAUAUAGAGAAAAUUGUAGAAUAGUGACAUGCAGGUCGUGCCUAAUAUUAGUACUAAUUGGUUAAUGACAUGCAGCCAUGCAGGUUGCCUAAAGUUUUGGUAGCGACCAAACUAGAUAAUGCGAUCACUUUGCUUUUUUUUUUUGGUUAUAAAGGUUGUAUAAUGUGAUAAUUUCACAUGUUGAGUGUCACUUGAUGAUCAUUCUAUAUACUGAAUCUGCCUAGGGUACAUUAUAACAUACGCAUUCAAAACUCCACUCAAGUUAAAAGGAUUAUCUGUGUGCAAGUCAACAUAUCUGACAUUCAUAUUUUUUACCUUGAGUAAUUUUCGAAUAAGGAAACUGCAUAAAAGGUUAAAUCAACAUAUGCUGCUAUUACGUCGAAAACUAAACCGAGUUUGACUGAUUUUGAAAUGCCUUUAUUGCCUCUAAAUAUUAAUAGGUUUAGAGUUAUGCUGAAUAAUAAGUGAGAAAAAUAGAUGGCUAAAUUUUUAAACUAAACGAAUUAAUUAGAAUAUGCAAUUCAAAACCAGAAAAAUCAUCAAAUGAGGUGAGUUCACAUCCAAACAGAUGGCCGAAUUUUGAAAGAAUCGACAUAAACUAAGUCAUUGAGAAGGACAUACCCGUUUAUGAUAUAAUAGUUGCUUAAAACAUUAGGCACGAAAUACCUGACAUAUCGCAGUGUGACCAUCCAUUUGCAUUAUUGCUUUUUAUUGUUCACAUGCGUUUGUAAUCUUAUAAUAGAAAACAGGUCGUUGUCGACAGAGAUCUGUUGCGACCUAAAAUUUUUGUUUUUGAUAUAGAGAACUAAGUACCUCUCUUUUUUUUUUUGUUCUUUCUUUUUAUAGAUCAGAAAUUGAUAUCUUAAUAUAAGAUUACAUCAAUGUUUAAGAAAAGUUUAAAAUCUGUGGAACAAAAUUACACCAUUCUUGAGAAAUCGAAGAUGGCUCGUAUAAAACAGUCACUACAAAAAAAUAGUUGUUUAGUAUCAUUUAUUUUAUAUAUUUACAUUACUUAUAAAUGAUGUAAGAUAAUUUUACAUUAGUUAAUUAAAUGACUCUGAAAGUAGUGAUGCAAAUAAUUUGCUAUCAUUCCUUUUACAAUUGAUGUAAAAAUGUUAAAUAUUUGUAUCAGUUAUACCAAAUGAUUUCAAAAUGUAUCAAUUGUACGAAAAUGAUAUUAAAAUCUACAUCAGUUUUUAAAUGAUGUUAGUUUUGUGUCAAUUAAAGCAAAUGAUUUUAAUUAUUUCUAUAAUUUAACAAUCACUGAUAUAAACUAAUUUUAAUUUUUUAAAUUAAUAUUUUAAUAAUUGUGUAAUUUAUAAUUGUCGAGUAAAUGUACUUUACCAUUUGAACGUUUGGCUUAGAAAGGAAAAUGCUUUUCCAAAAACUAUUUUUCAUUGACGAUAAUCUGAAGAACAAGAAAAAAAAUACAUAGACUCCACAAAAAGCAUGAAGAUGAAAGAACUUGAAUUCAUGUAGAGAAAAGGAUUGUAAAUUAAAAAGAAUUCUUCUUUUUUUAUCUUCAUCUUCGGUCUCCAUUUGUAGCCUGAAACUCAAUUGAUUUAUUGAAGAAUUUUCCAUCAUAUGUUUUUUUCCGAGACUUCUACUCCUUUAAAUAUGCAAGUGAUUCUUCAUUUGCCACAGAAAAGAAUGAAUUCUAACAAAGAAAAUACUCAAGUCAUAAACAGAAGGAAACAAAUUAUAAUUUUCCAAAGAAGAGAAGAAGAAGAACAAAAGAAAAAUAAUAUACCUUUUCAGAUUUUUUUUAUCAGAUUCGUCCAGUUAGCAGAUUCUUCUUUACUUUUUUACUUUCAAACCCUGCAUAAGAAAAAAUAUAAUCAUUAUCAUCAUGACCCAUAAAAAAUGCUUGACUACUAGAGAAGUAAUUCAUCGCAGGUAUUAUACAUAUGUGUGAAUUUUUCUUAUCAAGUAGCCUAGAACAAUAAAUUUGGAACUUAUAAAAAAGUUGAGGAAACUGAGAAGCAACACGAACAGAUGAGUGAGAAUAUUGACAGAUAAUGUGAUUUUUUUGAGAUCAUGAAGCAGUUAUAGAAGAACAUGGGUCAAUCUAAUCUAUUAAAACCAUUAAAAAAAAUAACAAAAUCGCAGAAAUCGUAACUAAUUUCACGUAAGUUUGGCUGAUAUUUCUUUAAAUGUUUUAUAAUAGAACAAAUAUUUUAAAUGAUGCAAACUAUGCAAAAACAUAACUCAACUUCCAAAAACUGUUCAUCACCUUAUCCUCUCCUCCCUAUUUCUCCCUUCAACCGUUCAUCUCUGCAACUCCGAUGACCGGCGCGUGGCGGUUCCGUUAGCGCCACCGCCGGUCCCUUCAGCUUUAUUUUCAACGUCUUUAGUAGAUCUCGUAUUUAGAUUAUGUUAGGGUGUGUUUCUAGUUAGGCGGAAGGCUUUGGUUCGAGGAGCUUGUGUCGGGUCACGGUCUUCUUGGAGGUCGUGUGGCUAGUUGGUUGGGUCAGCCGCCGGUUCAUGGUGGUCCCUUAUCGAGUCGUGUCUCGGAUUCCUUCGUGCUUGUUUGGGUUGGUAUAUCGGAUGGUCUUGUAGCGUUAUGGUCUUGGCGGUGGUUUUGGAGUUGAUCGCUGGUGUUGGUCUUUCCGGUUGGUGUCUGUUGUGUCUUUAGCAACGGGUUUGUUUUGGCGGGCCAGAUGUUCCGGCUUUAGUUUCUAUAACAGAUUCCUAGUUGGUUUGGCCUGGUCUUGUUCACGUGCUCGGCUUUUCUUCUUAUCCGUAUCAAGGUUGCUAUGCUAGGAGUUGGUUCAAGUCUGGUUUGUGGUUCGUCUUUUGGUUGUGGUCUUGUUGCGGGAGCAUCUACUCUCUCUUCCUAGAAGCUGUGUGUUUCUAGUGGGGUUACUAGCGUCGCAGUGGUUCCGUCCUUCAGUUCUUCUCUUGCGAGGAGGUGGCCGUUCUUCAGUCGGUAGAUGGCUGAGUUUGGGAUGCGAGGGUCCGCGUGUAAGAAUUGGAGGUCUUGGAAGGCAUUUUCCCGAUCAGAGUUCAAGGUUUUUAUCUUGUGCUUGAGCUUGUUUUCGGUUUUGGCUUCUCUUGAUAAUGGUCGUGGUGAAGUUUCUGCCUUUGCUCUUUGUUAUGUUGCAACUAUCUCGGCCAUUUAGAGUCUGGUGGGGUUCUUGGUGUUCACUCUCCGCUUUGUAGCAGUGUGGUUCUACUCGAGCUCUUGUCUUUCAGCUCUGUUGGCGAUGUGAAAAUAGUAUGUUUGAGUAUUAUGGAUUUGGAGACCUUCUAGUGAUUAGUCUCUCUUUUGUCUCAAGUUGGUACGAUAGUGUUGUUCCUAUAAAUCUAUUGGGUGUAGGUUUCCGUAAAUCAUUCGGGCUUUGUUUGUCUGAGUAUUGGCAUUAUGUUUAUAAGUUUCAUUUCAUCUGUUUAAUCAAAUUCUAAUUGAGUAAAAAAAAAUGAUGCAAACUAAGGUAAAAUAACAAAAAGAAAAUCUAUUUUGUUUGUAUUAGUUAUUUAUUGACGUAAGUUUUGUAACAUUCUAACAAAUGACGUUAGCCAAAAAUAAACACAUGUAUCAGUUAUUUAAGCGAUUUAAAAUAUUAAAAUAAUAUCAGUUCCGUUAAAAUGAUACAAAUUAGUAAGAAUUAUAUCAUUUAAUUAAACUGAUGUUAAAUCAAUUCAUAAUAACGUCAAUUGUUAUAACUGAUUUUAAAUUAUGGAUAUUUAUUUCAUUUGAGAAUAAGUAAUGUAAAAUAGUAUCACUUAUUUUUAUGAUACAACUUAAGUGAUUCAGUUCACUAUUUUUUUUUGUAGUGAGUGUUCAUGUUAUUGAUUUAUAAACGUAACAGUUAUAUAUAUAUAAAAAAUAAAAAAAUUAGGAAAAUAGAAACUUGGAAGUGCAUGUUUGAACUACUUUGAUUUGAUGUAGGCUACAACACCAACAUAAAAAGCGAUAAUGUUCAUAAUGUUGUAAAUGGUGAGGUGAUCAAGGAUACGAAGAAGAAGUAAGUGUUAUGAACGAACGCGAACUAACUUUAAAAAAUGAAAAAAAAAACAAAACGAUCUGAGAUAAAUACCCGUUUACGUUUGUAUAUUCAUUGUGAAAUAAAUAAUUUAAAAAUUUUUUGACCUAUAUUUAUAGUAGCCACAAUUCUCAAUUUCUUUUUCCCUUUAUGAAAAUAUACUUAUCCUAGAAAAUGUAAUUUUAGAAAAUGUAAUUUUCCUGAUCCUAAAAAGCGUAUCUGGCAAGAAGGUAUAAGACUUUUUCCUUGUACACGGAUAUUUAAGACAUUUUCAUAAUUAACAAGAAGGUUGACAUCUUGAGCCAGAACAUUCAUGUUGAGUCUUCGCUAACCAAUCAUUUGACUUACGAAAAAAUCAACAAAUCGGUCUUUGAAGUAAUUUUGUUUUAAACUUUUCUUUUGAUCUUUUCUUUUAACACGGUCGGCUCACUUUCAAUCAGAUAGAUAGAUAAGAAUGAAUUGAAUUUUGAAAUGAGAAUGAAAACUAAACCAAAUGGUACAGAUAUUUAGAGUGGUGCUCUAAUGCAACCUGAUAAAACCUUGCCCAGGACUCGGCCACCCUGAUUUUGGUUGGAGCGGAAAGAUAGUAUGAGCUGAGUAGCUACUAGCUUAUUUCGGGUGAUAAAUGGACUAAAUGAGUUAUAUUAGGGCGCCAAAGACCCUGGAUUCACCCACUCUCUUGUCUAUGGAUAUAACUCACCAAGUCAACAUGAUAAGUUGUUGGUUGCUUCAGGUUCACACACCUCACAACCAAGUUGUACGUCAAGAACAAAUGAACCACCAAAUUGUAAAAAGGAUUUUGAUUGAAACAUGAUGGUUAAUUUCAAAAGAAACACCUUCAAAGGUUUAUGUAGGAAAGAAAAAGCGUGAACACAUAAUAAGAAUGUAGAAAAACUAGAAAGACUUGAAAGGAAAAAUGUCAAGCCUUAAACUCAGGAAAACGAGAUGUUGAAUAGCAAAGCUGUCCCAUUGACUCGACCAAAAGAUGAUUCUUCAUUUUCAAUAGACUGGGGCAGGUGUCCAAUUCCUCUUUAAGUUGUUUGGUUUUAUAUCUUCUCAAUGUUCUCAUAGACCCAGUCAGAAAACAAAUGGGAUCAUCAUGGUCAACAAUUAUUUCUUAGGCCGAGAAGGCCUUAACUCGACCAUCAUCAUUUUGGUCUCGAUCCACUUCAUUUCUAGCUUGAUCAAAAUGUUUCUUAUGUCCCACAUGAUCGUUAAGAAGACCCACCAAUUUCCAAAUUGAGAUCAGGUCCAUCUUGAUUCAUUUGAGCCCUCUUCUCGACCCAUCCAUCAGACACGUCCUCGCCAUCGUCCGGUCAAUCGGCUAGUCCAUCAUUGACAUAUGUCAUAUCAGCAGACUGCCAAGUAUGAUUGCCAUGAUUUAAAAUCACGGAAAAUGGCACAAAUUCUCCACAGACAACUUCUCAACAAGCUUAAAGAAAAUUUUAGGCUCCAAAGGCACUUUCAAUCAUUAUCCAUUUCCUACACGAGUACCUCGUGUCGUCAAUUCCACUGCAAAUUUUUAAGCACAGACUGCAAGAUCUUUUGAUAAAGUUUUGCUUUUAUGGGUUGGUAUAUUCCAAUUUAAUUUUGCAAAACAUCUCAAAUUUCAAAUUUGAGUAAGAAAAUAGUGUUUUGAUGUCAAAGAAAAAAUAUAAUAGUCAUAAAACCUUUUUUAUAAAAAAAAACCUCCUCAUAUUAUUAGUGAAAACAUAGUUGCAUCCUUACAUUACUUAUAAAAAACUCUUUUAAUUUAUAUUUUAUUGACGAUUUAAACUCUUAAACAAGAGCUUUUUACAGAGCGAUUUCUCUUUAAAAUAUAGCAAACUUUUCUUCCAAUUCUUCCACGCUUUCCAUUUUUUAUUGUUUGAUUCCUUUAUUCUUUGUUCUUCUUUUCCCCCACUUUCUUACUUUUUUUUUUUAAUUAAGAAACGUAUCUAUUCCAAUUGUAUCAUUGAUCUCUACCAUCCAAUCCUUCGUAUCUUCAACAACGCCCUUUUGAAUAUUGGUUAACAUGACGUGAAGCUUCGUAGACAAUGCAUUUUCUCCUGUUAUGUAUAUUAUCCUGCGGUUACAGAUGGUAUGAGCCAAAUCAGACAUUAAGUAACCACAGAUUGAAGAUCAAAUCUUUAGAGUUCUAGUAUAUUAAAAAAAACUAAUCACUUUGUCUCAUAAAAGGUCACACUUUCAACAGCUCUAACGACCACUGCAGUUCCUUUACAGAAUACUUCUUCCGCCUCUAAUAGCUCAUCCACAGAAACAUCACGUUCUUGAACCUGUAUACAUUUGAAUAAUAAUUUACGGAUCUUGAAAAUGUCUACUUACAAAAGGUAUUUAUUAUAUAAAAGCUCGAACCUGGUAGCCAAUAUCACGGGCAAGUUCGCUUAUGCUUUUCCUUGUGAUUCCUGGUAAAAUAGUUCCUGAAAUUGGUGGAGUAGACAGAAUAUUUUCCUAUAAAAUGAAUGAAUACAAUUAGUUUAUACUAGGUUACUGCAAAGGAUCUAAUGGUUUAAACUUUUUAUUAAUGUAAUUGUUGACCUUGACAACGAAGAUGUUACAAGUAGAAACCUCUUCGAUGUUUCUGCCAGUUGCCGCAUCCAGAAACAAAACAUCAGAGAAACCCGCUGACUUUGCUUCACGCAACGAUUUCACAACCUUCAAGAGAAACAAUAAAUAGAUAUACAGAGAAAAAAGAAACUAAAGAAACAUUCCAUUAAAUUUGGUUUUUUUAUAAUUAAUAUUCCAAUAAACUUGUUGCCAUGGAUAUCUUUAUGGUAUUUCUAGUGACUUUGCUUACUGGAGAAUAGUUUGUGCAGCUCUUUACACCGCCAGUUCCACCGGUAUGGGCAGUCGAUACGUAUGAUCAACUUUGAGGUUUAAGCCUGAGCUGACCUAUAAAGUUAAUAUAUAAUCUCAAUUUGUAAGUGCUACGGUGCAUAUGAUUCAACAAAACAAUUUAAUAUAUCGAUAUUUUAGAUUCUACAUAAAAAAAAAAAGAUUACAUACAAAUCGAAUCAACAUUUCAAAGAUUAAAUAGCUUCUAUAAUAUUUUUAGUACUAUUAAGACGGCCAUGUAAGGACCGAGAGUACUUUAUUAUUUCUAUGACAAACACCCUUACCUUAUGAUAAUUUCCAACGGGAGAUACGUAAACAACGAACAUAUAUUCAGGUGCUGAAGCUAUUCCAAGGACCGCACCACUCCCUAUGAGCAGAGGCCUAAUGUACAAAGUUCCUUUACCCGGAGGAGGAACCUAAAAAAAAACAAAGUUCCAUAAAAAUCUUUAGCUACUUAUAAUGGUUAAUAAGUGGUUGGACAAAGAGACACAGUAGUCCAUAGGCCAUACCCAUUUCUUGUUGGCAAUCACAGUUUGCUUAACUGCCUCGACGAACUGGUCAACGGAAGGAGGUGUCAUACAAAGCCUAUCCGCACCCAUUUGCAUACGAAGAGCGUUUUGUUCAGGGCGAAAGAGGGUGAUCCGUCCCAUUUGUGUCCUGUAAGCCUUGAGACCUUCAAAUAGUCCCUACAAACCAAAGGCAAUCUGAAAUUGAUCUCUUACAUGAACUGUAACAUUACAAGCUUUUUCUUAAAAAUAUUUAAUCUAAAAUAUCUACAUAUCCGAUUCUGGAUAAACAUAAGAAAUCGGUAUUUUGUUAACUAGGUGAAUUCCAGACUAAUCUUCUAAAAGCAUUUCCAGCUCAUUGCUAUUUUUCUUCUCUUAAUGCUAAGAUAGAGGAAAAUAAACUCCAGCCCAUCUUUACAUUUAGAAGAAAAUAUAACAUUACCUUUUUAUUUUCAAAAUGGUUCUUUAACUUUGAAAUUUUAUAGUUAUGAGAAAAAUACAGUAAUAACUCUAUCUCUUAAAGAAAUAAUGUUUAUAUAAAUAAAUUCACACUUUUAUUUACAUAAUACUCUUUUAAAGAAACUUUUGUUUAAUAAUGUCAUAAUUUUAUAAAAAUGUUGCAAAAUUUUGAAAAACUUUCGUGAAUAAAUGUACUAAUUGUAUUAGAAAUAUAUAUACUAAAGAAAUUUCUAUUAUAAGAGGAAGAAAUAAAAGAAUACAUUGUAGAAAAAUAUAUAUCUAUUGAAGAUGGUCUAAUUAAUAUGGUAGGAAUUAAUAAGUUUUUCCUUGCCAGUAGUAACCAAUCAUAAUUGCAAUCUUAAUAGAGGAGUCAACUCUAGUAUCCAACUAGCAGAGGUCUUGAAUUAGUAGACAACCCAUGAGUGAGUUUUUAUAUGAUAGAUAGAUGGUUUAAUAUUUAUAACAGAAAGCGAAUCGGGAAGGGAAAAUUGAAUCGUAACCGUAUCAAGCUUAUCUAAAUAAGAUCGAAAGAAAAACCAACACUAUAGACAAAGACCUAGCCAUAGUUGAGAAUCCCAGCACUAGGGCUUAUUGAAAUGUCCCCGUAAGGAACAAUCUUCCCUUCUGAAAAGCUCUCUCCUUGUUUGCAUUUCGCUACAUACAUAUAAUCUGUUGGAAUCAGAGUGAAUCCAAGCUCUUCCCAGUUUACAUUUGCGUACUUUUCAUCUGCUUCACUGUUUUAAAUACAACGCAUUACAAUACCAAAAAGAACCCCAAAUGAUUAAAAUGAUUUUGAAUAAAUAGAAAACUGGCGAAUAGGGCAAAUCAACACGAUAAAGCCAUAUCAGCAUACAUAUUACGAGAAAUAAAUGUUUAUUUUCAUUUGACGUUUCAAUUUUUUUAUAAUAAGAUGGUAUUUUUAACCUUGUAAGACAAGAUGAUGAUGAAGGGUGCACAGUCGGAACCAUUGGAUAGAGUAAAACAAAGAAAUAAAGAAAGAAAAUGGUUUGAACUUUGGACAGAUGAUGUGUUUUGAAGAAGGCUUAUCUCGCCUCCUUUUAUAAGGAUAAUAACAACAAACUAACCCUUCGAAUUCAAUCGGUCACAACAGGUCUUACGUAUUAUUAUGUAAAUUAAAUAACUUUGGAAUCUCCACCUAAUUUAGCAUUUGAAAACACUAAAAGCUUAGUUGAUAUAAAAACGUUAAGGUAUAAUAUUUAAUUAUGUAUAAAUGUAUCGUAUAUUAGAGGAUUGGUAAAUUUAAAAUGAGCAAGGUUAAUAUUCAUAUACUUUCCCACAAUGAUUGAGUUGCCACCACAAACGAUCGGACUACAUACCUUUUUUUGUCACAGGAUCGGACGUGCCUUUUUAUUUAUUUUGAGCGUAUUCCAAGAAAAUUAAAAUAAGAGUGUAUAUAUAUAUAUGUAAUUACAAUCGUCCCCGAUCAUAGUGUUGGUGAUAACUGUGGCAUGUUGGAAAAUCAAUGGUACUUAAAUAAUGUCCAAUUCUAUUAAAAUACAACCAUGUUUUAGUUUAUAUAUAUAUUAUAUUCGAAGAAUCAUCGGUCCACAUCGUAUGCAACACGUGGAGAUUUUAAAACUGAAUUCUCGCCAAACUACUUUGUUAAAAACUAAAUAUUAUAUAUGUUGAUGGAACACCACCUAACUUUUAACUAUUUCUUAAGAGCUAACGAUAAACUUGCGGAGAUUAGUUUUAAUUUCUUGUUGCUUUCGCCAGGGCUUUCGCACAUUAAGCUUAGGAAUACAUUUAUUUGUUAAUAUACUUCGUAAAAGUCUUCGUCAGUUAAAUACAGAGUGAUUAUUUACAUGUUAAGAAGUCAGGAAUAUUGAGAUGUUUAAAAAAAAAAAAGGAGAAUUAAUAUAUAUGGUAAUUUUGGAGCCUUUUGAAUGUAGAGCUGCACAGACGCGUCAAAUUUUUAACCAUGAAUGGAGAUCUUUCCACCGUUAGAUUGAACCCAUCUUUUAACACACGAUAUAUCUUUGAGUUAGUUUUCCAAUGCCACCGGUUUGAAGUCAAUCAGUAUCCUGUUGCAGAAGUUAUGUCCGUUUUAUUGAAGAGUUGUCAGUCUGCCUCGCAAGAGGAAGCUGUCGAGGAGAUGAAGGACUGUUGAUCGACGACAAAGCAUUGGUAUCGAUCGACAAUGAUUCCAGAACGUGGGCCAAGCAUAUAUCAAGACCGUUUGAAGCUCAAAAGCCACAAAAAGUUAGCAAAAUACCCAUAGACGACCAAAAACCCUAUUUAUGUAUGUCUAAGUCAUUGUUGAUGGUAACAAGCUUUCUAUUAUCAUAUUCUAUUGUUUUCUCUUAGGUUUGGAGAGAAUAUCAAUUCUCCUUCAGAGAUUGAUUGGAACUCCAUUGGUUUUAUCAUUGAUUUCUUAUCUAUUAUAUUAUUCAUACUAUGAUUUAUGUUAUUGCUCGCAUGUCUGAGUAAAUCAUCUUGGUAGGUUUAGGGAUUUCAUGAGCUUAAUGUCAAAUGAUAAUCAAUUAGAAUUGCUAGAUUAUCUAUAGAUCUCUACACCAGGGUGAUUUGUAAUACUAGGAUCUGGAAUAGUUAGAAUAGCACGACAGUGUGAUUAAUUGUUUGAACCUAGAAUCAUAAGAUAGUUGAGAGGCACGGAAAUGCAAUCAAUUAACGGAACCCGAACUCUGCUGAAUUAGAUACAUUGGCGCAUACGAGAGUUAGUCUAGGAAUCUAGUUGAACUAAAUCGAUUAGAUCGUUAAAACUUGUCUAAGGAAGCAUCGAUCGACGCUCAGGCCAUAACAUCGAUCGACGCUCGCUCCAAGUCUAUAAGCGACAACUGAGACUAUACUCAGACAUCUGAUUAGCAAUUACAUGCGAAAGCUGGAUUACUUACUUAUUAAAAUCGAGUUCUAGAAUUGAAUCUAUAAACCAUUAGCAUCCUUGAAUUGAAGUUUUGAAUCUCUUGAUUGAUAAAUCCCUAGGUCUAGCUAUUUCUCCUAAUUGUUUACAACCUCAAUCAACCAAUCGAACAACUACUUUGUUCAUCUUACUUUCAUUGAUUUACUGCUUUAUAAACUGUUUGCCUAACUUAAUCUUGAUUUCUAUAGUAUAUUGUGUUCCCUAGCUCUCUGUGGAUUCGAUUCCUAAGUACUACAACUGAACUUCUUAUUUGAGAGAGUAAAGUCACUCCUUAGUAUAAUUUGAGUGAUAUCAACUACGUCCAAAAUUAUAUUUACACAUGUUGAUAUCUUGCAUAUUUGCAUCGUUUUAUCCAUUCAUCCAUGAGCAUUUUCAUCAUAUAGAUUAGGAUUUAGCCAUGUCUAGGUUGCAUUUUGCAUUCAUUGUCCUUAUUAGGUGUUGGAGUGCCACAUGGAGUUCUUGGGGACAUUUGGAUGCAUUUGGAGCUUAAAGGACGUGAAAUAGGUGAUCAUUGGACGAGCAGAGCAUGGGAGCGAGGUUCCGCAGCGACGUCAUGAGGUCGCUCCAAAGCACCCCCCAGAGCGACUUGCCCAGAGCGACGCCCAGAGGUCGCUCGCAUCUCACACCCCUCUCAAAGCGACCUCUCAAAGCGACACCCCGAGAUCGCUCGCGUCUCUAUGGCGAGACGACACGAAGCGAAGCCUGGAGCGACCUCUCAGAGUGACCCACUAAGGUCGCUCCCGAAGGCCGGAGCGACUUGUCGGAGCGACAUGCCGAGGUCGCUCUGCGUCUAUUAUCUGCUCGAUUUCUAUUUUACUUAAGGGCCUUUUGGUCAUUUCAUUAUGCACGUUUUACAUUUCUAAAACCUAUGUUUUAAACAUCUUUGGUAGCCACCAGGAAGAUUAUCUUUUGAUCGAUUGAGAAAUACACAAAAACUCUCUUGAGAAGUUCAUCUCUUGGAUUUUGAUUGUUAUGUUCUUGUGUUAUUGUUGAUUUCUUAUCUAUUUCUCUACAUGAUUAAUCUGAAAUCCAAUAUGGGUUUAAGAGGAAUCAUGGAGAUUAGUGAGUAAUCACCUUUUGAAUUCAUGGGUUAGGGAGAUUAAGGGUGAUUAGGUUAGAGCUAGGAUGUUUUAGUGUAGAUCAUUCAUAUUUCCUUGCUAGUAGAGUAAUCAUAAUGCAUCUUCUGAGUUGGCCACUCAGUUGUUGAUCCUUAGGCAUUUCUCACCCGAAAGGUGUUCGAUGAAAUGCCCGAGACAACUCUCCUAGGCUUUUAGUAUACUUUGCCAAAGACAUUUGUUGUUAAAGAUGCUAAGAUAGCUAAUAGACUUGUUAGUAAUGAUUGAUUUCAUAUUAUUCAACCAAAGACAUUUGAUGUUUGAGAUAUGUUAGCAAAUGAGCAUUCAUCUAGACAUAGAGCUUGCUUAGAAUUGUGUCUAGGCUUAAGGUCGAUAGUUUGAUUGUUCAUUUGCCAUCCUUAGUUCGAUGCUUGAUCACCCAAGGUCUAAUCCCUAUGCCCAUGAGUUCUCUUUUCCCUUAGUCAAGAAAGUAUCAUUCUGUUAUUGCUUUUUAGUUUUAGUCAUAGCUUAAAACCCAUCUAAAUUAUUGGUUGCACUUAGAUUAAGUGAGUACUUGCAUUCUCGGUGCUUUGAUAUCCCUCAGAACUGGUUCGACAAUCUUUUAUACUACAACAUUUGUCUUAGGAGCCUUGAAAACUCCUAACACCACAUGUCAUAUGACCCGAUAAUCUUUUGAGACCGUUAACCAAAAAUUUUAUAUUUUUACGACAUUAAAUUGUUAUCCAUUAGGUACACGUCAGGAAUUCAUGAUGGAAGUCAAUUUUUUCUUGGUUUUCGUUCUCGACAUAUUUGUAAUGGAUGUCAAAAAAAUUUGUCUUCGUCGGGAGUCUACCAAAAAUUUCUGAUGGAUUCUUGAUAGAAGUCAAAUAUUUGAUCUCCGUCAGGAAUUCUUUAGGAAUUUUCGAUAACUUUCUCCAUAUGACAUUCCGUCGGACCUUUGUCGGACUUUCUUCGAGAAUUCCUGAUGAAUUUUUUUGUUGGAGAAAUUUGUUUUCUUGUAGUGACCACUUCUAUUUAAGAUCAGCUUCACGUUUCUCACAUAACAGAUCGACUGAAAUAUACAUUCGCCGUACAUAAUAUACUACGAAAAAUAUAAGAACGAAAGCACAUUCUUUGAUCAUUGAGAACUACGUACAAAGAAUGAACUUUUCAUAGCAUGCAUUAUAACAUAAUCUCUCGAAUUGCCUCAAAUUUGGUUCCGGCCAAGAACUCCUUUGAUCGUUCAAUCCUUCUUCUCAAAUUUCUCUCUCUAGAACUUUGUUCUUGCUUUGACUUCUCUCUAAGACUCGUUUUUGAGUUGUGGAAAGAAUUAGAGAUGUAUGUUCUUUUUUAUAGUAUUACAUGGCCUUCCUUUCCUAGUCGGGUAUUUGAUGUUGUUUCUUUAUUUGGUGUAUUCACAUCUCGCCAUCAAUGUUCUGACUCAUUCUCUACAAUAGUUUUCUUAACUAAUUUCUGCAACUAGAGCUAGUCAAACUUACUUUACUUUACCCAUAUUAUAUGAUAGUAAAAUUUUCCUUAAUCAGCUUUUUGGUAUUGUUCUUUCUUUACUUAUACCUGAUCGUUGCAUGAUCAUUUCACCGUCACUUAUCCCAAGCCAAUUAGGUUUCAGUGUUUAUGGAACAUCUGACACUUAGUCAAACUCUAGCAUCUUCUCUCCAACUUUUUUUACGAGAACAAGUGUUUAAACACUUAUAAGGAUCUAUUCAACUAGUGAGUUGUAUUAAAAUGACAAAUCCACUUUUAUUGAAAUGUGAUUUUUUAAAAAAAGCUUUAAAAUCAGCUGCUAAUGAACUUGUCAUUUCAUAAAGUACUUUAAAUUCUUUGUUACUGAACAAAAUUUAAGUUGUAUAUUUUAGAGUGCUUUAAGUGUUCCUAGAAUGUUUCAGAGGAGUUUCUUAGCUAUAAACUAAAAAUUCAAAUCUCAUGGUUUUAGAUAAAAGUCUAUAGCGAUUUAACAAAAAUCACACAAAAUUCUCAAAAUUACCUAAAAUCAUCUAAAAGCUCAUUAAAAUCAAAUCACUUCAAAUUUCAGAUUGAAUACACUCAUUUAGAGAGAGAGAAAUAUUUUGCAACUUUUUAUUAUCAAUCAUUUCAACUUUAGGUGUUCAACCAUUACAACUCGUUCAACCAUUGCAACAACUAGUAUUCACAUUUGUAAUUAUUGGCUAAUCAUUACAACUCUUGGUGUUAACUAUUACAACUCCUGAAUGAAUCAAGCACUUUUGGCUUUAACCAACCACUUUUGGCUAAACAUGCCGGGAAACUAUUGAAUGAACCAGACAGCUGUUUGGAAGAGUCUACAAAGGGUGCUACUAUGCAACAAAAGACUUCCUAGACUGUGGAAAGGUUACAGACCAUCAUAUGCAUGGUGCAGCAUACUCUUUGGCCGUGAGCUCUUGAAGAAAGGACUGAUCAAAUCAGUAGGUGAUGGCCAAAACACUCGAGUUUGGUCUGAAAAAUGGAUUUUAGAUCCUCUGCCUAGACGCCCUGUUAACAAACAAAGUCUCAUUGAUUUAAAGUUGAGACUUUCUCAGCUGAUAGACAAUGUUGGGACUGAAGAUAUGAAUUGCUUGAAGACUUAUUUCCGGUGAAUGAAGUGGCUAGAAUUCUGAUGCUAUUGGAAGAACACCAGACAGACAAAUAUGGGCCUUCAUAAGACAUGGAUCCUAUACGGUAAAGAGUGGGUACUGGUUGGUAUUAAAUCAUACAGUCACCGAAACCCAACAAUCUAACCGGAAUGAUGUUGUUACCAAUGGUCGUAAGUCGCGAAUUUGGAAGAUUCAGCCUCUUCUAAAAAUUAAAAUGUUUCUUUGGCGGGCUCUCUCUCUGAGGCGCUGGCAGUUGCAGAUCGCCUGAAUACGUGGGAUAUGAAUGUGGUGAGUAUAUGCUGAUUAUGCCAAGCAAGAGAUGAAACAAUUAGCCACGCCCUAUUUCGUUGUCCUAUGGCACAAGAAGUAAUUGCAAUUGUUGGCAUUAACCAAUAUAAAAAUGUUGGUAUUAACCAAUAUAACCUUUAGCAUAAGGAGUUGUGGACAAUAACAAAGGAGAACAAAAAAAAACUAUUUUUUAAUAUCGUAUCUUAGUUCAUAACAAAAGUGAGAGUCUUCUCGUAGACCACCGCAUUGGUGUCCUAAAUUAAUCCUAAAUUAAUCUAAUCCAGAUUAAUCUAAUCCAGAUAAAAAAUCUCGUAGACCACCGCAUUUUUGAACUAUCCUCAUGGAGAUAAAAAAUCUCGUAGACCAGCUGCCUUUGUACUGUUGUGGCAGCUUGAUGGAGUUAUGUCUGAUAUUUCAAUUCCUUGGGUCUUGUUUGUCGAUAUUUACUGCUCUCUUUCCUCCUCUAUGGAGUGUGUUCCCCUUCUAAUUUCAUCAUCUACUUUAAGUGGUUUUGUUUCAGGAAGUAAAACGUUUAAGAUUAGAGAUACUUCAGAUAUUGAAGUUCUAAUCAAAGGCUCAUCAAAAUGGUGUUCAAUCGCCUAUGUGUGUGUAGCCAUUUCAAGGAUUGUCAAUUGUGCACUUGUUGCUGUUUCAAUCUCAGGAAUUAUAUCACUGAAUGUGGUUUUUAAUUCUCGAGGCUUACUUUCACUUUGCAGCUUGGUUGUUGAGACUAGAGGACCUCUCCACGCCAAUAGUUGUUUAAGUGUUUUGUAUGCUUCUAUCCUUCUUUGCUUCAUUGUAAUUGUUGUUUGUUUGGCCAGGAUGGCUUUGUUAUCAUGCUCUGUAAACACUUUCUCUUUAAAUGGAGAGUAAGAAUCUAUAAAAUUUGAGGUUUGUCCAAAAAAAAAAAAAACAAAAGUGAGAGUUUGAUUAUCUUAUCCUAUAGAAAAAUAAUAGGAUCAAAUAUUAUUUUAAGUAAAGUGCUCGCAUAUCUGACUCAGUCAUUUCAAAUUAAUAGUUCAGAUCUUUCGGGUUAUUAACCUCACAGGUUAUGAAGCACCUCAAUAAAGCGUCUCCCUGAAAGUCUCAGCUUCAUUUGGAGGUUCAUCAUAAUGAAUUAGUGUGGUUUAUUCUGUGGUUAUUUGAGGAUCUUCUAGUAUGGAUAAAGUCAAAUAUAUUCCAAUAUAUGUUCACAUAAAAAUCAAAUUUUAAAAGGUUGAUUACCGAGAGGUCAUAUUGGUUACUAACAAAGGAAGAAAAACUACAUUACAUGAUGUAAAGUAGCACAUAAUAUGUAGAUUUCAGACGGUGUAGAAAAAUGAAAAAGUAAAAAAGAAAGCAAAGGAGAGGAAAGCCCUCCUAGACAUAUAGUCCGUAGUACAAUAGAAAAAGUGCAAAUCCAUAUUGAACUUCACAUUAAAUAUAAGACAUAUGGUUGAAACAGUUAAGGUAACAGCAACAGAAAGCCCCAACUUCUUCAACAUAAAACUAUCUUGAACGCUGAAAACUUUUUCAUCAACUAUGUUUUUCUCGUUCUUCUUCUUCCAAAUAUUUUUCUCACUACAGCAUUUCGUAUUUAGUAUUUUUCCCCGAUCGUUACAAUCUCCUUCACUGCGUUGGUUUUCAUUAGAGUUACCUCCUUGAUUAGCACAGUAUAUUAAUAAGAGGAUAUGAACGAAACCAAUAAAUACGCAAAUCUUCUCCACGGUCCAAGAAUUUUGGAGACAAAGCUGUCAAUUCGCGGAUUAAUCUGCUUAACGACAUGAACCUCCUCCGUUAGUUUCUUCUCAUGUCCACAGUUUACGGUACCCGUUGGAUUUAUGUAAACAAUUACGGUUUGAGAUGGUACAAUCUGUUGAAAGCAUGUAUUGGUUACCUGACGAGUUGUAACAGACAAUCCAUGGCUAACCUCAACUUUGUUAACCAUCUCAAAACGAGGUGAACUCGUUGCGUCAUGAUCAUCGUUGUUUAUCUUGUCCGAAUUAUUGGCGUUGAGUUCGUUUUCGGAGAACUCAAGUGUGUAAACAUCAUCCACAUCUCCAUUGUUGUUAACUCCCUCACCAUCUCCAAUUAAAAAAUAUAUAAAAUUUAUUAGUAAGACAAAUUCAAUAGCUCUAUACCUAACUGCAUGGAGCUCUACAGCUAUAAGAGGGGGCUUUCCAUGGAAAAUGCAACUCAAAGUUACGAGGCGAGUCUGGUUCUAGGGGAGAAACUAAAUUAACUUGGUAUGGUCCCAAGCCAAAGGAGACUGAGUAACUCAAAACAGCAAAAGUCAAAUUGGAACAUAUUUUAUGAGCAGAAGUUACCUUGAUGUUCAUGACUAUCCGUACGAUAACUCCAAAUAUCUUCUAUAGGAACUACUGUGGAGUGUUCUUCAAUGAAGCUCUGGAAAUUGGAGUACAAGAUAAAAUUUAGAUAACGCACCCUAUCAUGUUUUUAUUAAGAGUUUUAUUCAAGAAUUAAUAAGUUAGAAAAAGGAAAAAUAUAUAUUAUGUAUAAAGUAUUUUGCAAGUAUUAGAAUACCUAUGAGCACCACUACCUUUUCUAGUUCCUUGUUUGAUACUCCUACCCAUCUCAAGUUCUCGACAAUUCUCUCUUCCUUAAACCUCCCAUCAUGCGCUUGCAUAUCAACAGCCUUCAUGUUCGCCUCUACCCAUGAACCUGAGGCUUUUUCUCCGGGAUAGCAAACGUCUCCCUGAAAGUUUCCGGAAGCAGAAGCAAAUUCCCAUGAGCCUAGACUGUUGUGUGGCUCGUGAGAAGCUUGAGCUAAUGCUAUGAUCUUGCUCAACAUUUGAUCCGUGUCAUUAGCUACAUUGGUUCCCAAAUGUUCGCUAUGUGCGAGAUCUUCAACGUGGAGUGGUGGUGCUGGCGGCAACAUACGAUUUUUUAGUCUUGCACACUCGAACGCUAUCUCGGCCUAUUUUGUGCAGAGAAUUAGAUCAAUUAAAGAUUAGUUUGAAACGAAUUAAAAUUUACGUUAGAUUUCACAUUCUUUAAGAUAAUAUAAGUAAAUGAUCUUGUUACCUUUGAGGGAGGAUAUGUGAUUGUUCCAUAUUGAGAACAAAACUGUGACUGUGCUGGGAAGUUAUAAGACGUGUCAUGCGACAUAGAAUGACUCCAUUUGUUCUCUAUCGUUUCCAUAUCGGACGAAGAAAUGUUACCCAGUUGAGUUAAUCCGUGAUCGGGUGAGACCGGAUAUCCCGAGUUUUCUAGAUUUUCAUACAUUCCAUCAGAAUACAAACAAGUACUAGAAGUAGAUUUUUCACUAUUAGUCGUUGCUUUCUUCCUCUUCAUUCCAUGAUGUUGUUCUUCUAACUUGUUGGCUAAAGCACUCUUCUUGAAUACUCGACAAAGUGCAUACGCAUCCUGAAAUGUUUAUUCAUUCAUUUAAAUUAUAAUAAAAUUGUAAGAGAAUAUCAUCUUUAUGAUGUUUUGUUAUCUACCUGUAUGCCGGACUUGGAGUCGCAUUCUUGCUCUUCAAGACGGUACUCAUGCAUGACCCAAUCGGUACGAGAGCCGUGAGGCGCUCGUCCUCGAUAAUAAACUAGCGUUUUCUUUGUUCCGACAGUCCGCGAAUGGGAAGUAACUUUACGAUCUUUUCCUGUGGCUUUCCAGUAACCUGCUUUUGUCGCCCGGUUAGUUCUGGAUCCAUUGGGAUAUUUCCGGUCUCUGGGACUGAAGAAAAACCAUUCUAGGUCUUUACUUGGGAGCAAGGACUUCCCUGCAAAUUUUACAAAUCAUAUUAAGAGAACAUAUGAAUUAGGUCUAUUCAACAAUAACUUUGAAUACACUUAAGGUUCUUAAUAUGAGAAUCAAAAAGACUAAAUAAAAGACGAAAGGAGAACACUUUUUUAUAAAACAAAAGUUGAGGGUGAAUGAGAAGCUUCCGAAACCCUAAAGCAUGCCAAAUCUUAAUUGUGUUACUUUUUUUCCUUUUUUGUAUCUUCUAACCUUUUUGACUCGGUCUUCCGAAUUUGUCUCACUAUCCACCGCAUCUCUCGGUUUUUUACAAUCCUCUUAAAGAAUAAAUGUAAGGGUGGGUCCAUUUAAGUUUUAUUCCAAUAUAAAGUUGGCAUUGUUUUAUUUUAUGAACUAUAAAGUAGGCAUUGUUUAUUAUUUUUAGUUAAUAAAGCCUUCAAGUUCGAUGCGUGUCUGGAGAUACAUAACUUGGUACGUAAACAAUUUUUAAAAACUAGAAACUAGUGUUGGAAAAGAAAAAAAAAACAUAUAUAUAUAUAAACUAGAAACGAGUGUUGGAAAAAAAAAAAAAAACAUAUAUAUAUAUAUAUAUAUAUAUAUAUAACGUAACGAAAUGUCUCUUCUGAUCCUAGGGCUAUUCUUAUCAAUAGAUAUGUUCACACAGUCACACUAUGUAGUUUUUAUAAAAUGAAGUUAUUCUGAAGUCCAAAAAUCGAUCUUGCAAUGAUUAUCAAUUAGAUGAUUAAUGAUAUAUAUGAAAAGCAACGAGACAGAGUUUUUUUUCUUUUGCUAUGCUAUAUUGCCUCAAAUAGUCAAAUAUUAAUUCCUUUUUAGAAUGAGAUAAACAUGUCCAUGUAUAAACGAUGUAGACUUUUAAAUUGGUAUUUUUCUUGAUCCAGACGAUAACAGUGAUUUGCAUCUUAAGAGAACAAUAAUAAGGGGAAGAGAGAUUAAUAGUACCGGGUAAAUCCCAGGGCUCGCAUUUGUAAAGAUCAAUCUCGGGAAUUAUCUCUAAUUCGAUCGUCCGGCCAUUAAUCUUUCGUUUGAGGUAGUAGAUGACAAGCUCUUCGUCUGUUGGAUGAAACCGGAAACCAGGAGGCAUUGAAACAGGAGCCAUAUCUACUUCCUCGCUAGAAGCUAAUGAUAAAGAAAUAUAUUAAAGAGAUAAAUGUGAACAUAUAUAGAACUUGCGAGUUGAGAGAGCAAAGGAGAAGGAGAGUUGGGAUUAUAAAGAGAGUUAUAUAAGAAAAAGAAGCGUAAUAUAAGGGUUUGAAUUCGAUCGAUCAACGAUGGAACUGUAAGAAAGACAAAAAGAGAUUAAAACUAUGUAAAGAAGCUGAAAAAGCAUUUUGAGUCGGUUGCCAAUUGCAAACCCCACAACAUCUUUUGCACUUUAUCUUUUCUUUUACUUUAAUGUGUUUAUUUUAUCUAUUAUUUUAUAUAUUUUCCGCGUAAAUUUGAUUCUCAUUAAGCUUUUUCAGUUAGAUGUUAAACAUAUUAGAAAAACACGUUAACAUAAGUUUCAAAAUAAAAAAACGUUAACAUAUAAAUAGUUUUUUCUUUGUUUAUACAUGCGUUAACUUUGCGGGCAUGAACAUUUUGUAAUUACUUAUUAAAGUUAAUACAUUAUUUACUAACUAAAAGACUAUUAUAAUACAUUAUUAUAUAUAAUUUAUUUUUGUCAACCAAUUAUUAUUUAUAUUUGAAUUUGAACAUUUUUAUGUAUAUUUUUUUAAAAAAUUAUUCGUACAUUAUAUUUAUUAUUAAUAGGUCAAUCUUAAAAAUCAUUCAAUAUUCCCUUUUCAAUUAUAUAAAAUUAAUACUUCAUUAAGAUUUAGUAAUAUGUGUUUUUUAUUUUUUUAACAAUUAUUAAUGAUAUUUUCCAGAUAACAUAGUAUAUAUAUAAAUUAUCUUUUUUAUUUUAAAAUAUAUAUUUGGAUUUUAGAUAAUAAUAAUUAUUAUUAGUUUUAAUCACUUGUCUAAUCAAAAUAAUUUAAAUUCUUUUUUUAUUUUGUAGGUAAUUUAUAUAUUUUAUUCAUUAAGGGAAUAAACUAUAUUAACCACUCUAACUUUUAACGUGAGAGCUCGGAUUCGAAAAAUCACUUCGCAAAUAAUAUAGAUAUGUAAGUAAUACAAGUAGAAAAUAUUUUUUAACACAAUAUAAUUUAAUAAAAAUAUAAUUUUAUUGCUUCAUAAUUAUAUUAAAUAUAAAAAUAUAUAUAUUAAAUUCUAUUCCAGUUUAUUUUUUUUAAUCUGUAUUAUGAAUUUCCGUAAUGAACUGUUAUAAAUAUUUGCAUUUAUUUAAAAUAAUUCUGAUAUAUAAAACUGUUAUUGUUAAAUUUAUUUAAUGUAAAUUGAUUGAUUUUAAGAUCUUAUAUAUUUUAGAAUUUAAUCUGUUAAUUGAUUUAUUUUAUAUUAAUAAAAAUAUUUUACAAUUUAAACCUUCAAAUAGUUAAUUUUUAACCUAGGAGAAUAGGGAGAUGGUGUUUUACAUAUAGGUCUUGGAAAGAUAAAGAAAUUUUUUUCUGGUCAUGGUUGGUAUACUACACUUGAAUGUUUUGAUGGAUUGAUGGAGGCCGGAAACAUAAGAAAUAGUAUAUCUGCACUUCACACGAAAUUUGAAGCCUUUAUAUAUAUGGCCAAUGGAAUGUAUGCGAAAUCUACGAUAAUUUCACCUAACGUUUGCGGCAGAUUGUUUGCAACGGGUGAAAAGGGUUUUGGAACUAGAAGAAUGACCGCUGUUGCAUCCUAUCUCGAAGAAAUACAACAGAUGAAGGUAAGUUUCAUAACAUUCAUGAUCGCGCAUGUACCCGAACUCAAAACAAAAAGGCGGAUAGUCUUGCACGUGGUGCUUGUAUCCAACCGUCUCAAAUUGUCUACAUUGACACGGAGUCCCAUGUUUGGUUAUAAGAGUCUUAAUCGAAUCUGUUUAUUCUGAUGACAAAAAGAUACAAUUUUAACUAUUAUAUUGUUUAGAAACAUGAAUAGUAGUAUUUAAAACAUGAACAUAUGAUCGUAAGGUACUUUGGAUAAAAUCACUUGUUCAACAUGUUGUCUUUGUAACAAUGGUGCAGAGUCGACAAAUCAUAUGUUCUUCCAGUGCGAUUCUCUAGAAAGAUUUGGAGUAAUCUCACGAAAGGCAUGCUCGGACACCACCACACCUCUGAGUAGUUGAAUACUGUCUAGGAACUUGCAAAAAAUGACUUGGACUGCCAACGGUUUUUCCUUAUACACUAUGCAUUUCAGAUCACAAUUCACUCUGUCUGGAUGGAAAGAAAUAUGCAUAACCAUGGAGACCCCCCCCCCUCCUUCCACGUUUUCCUCGAUCCACAAGACAGUUGACAAGAACAUUCACAAUCGCCUCUCUCUACUGGUGAACUCCCGAGAGAAGAAGUACGAGGGAAUACAUCGUCUUUGGUUAAACACAUGUGUUUAAGAAAUGAGUUUUUGUAAAUAUUAAGAUUUUUUCACCAUCGUUGCACUCAUUGUAAAACAGAGCUUUUGAUGAAUACAAUUAAACAUUCGUUCCAAAAAAAAAACAUAACAUUUAAAUACUCAUAAUAUGUGAUUUGAUUUUUCCGAGAAGUGGGUGACGUGCUCUAAUCAUGGAGAAGUUUGCGAGCUGAUCCAAGUUCGAGGAAUGGAUGACGUGUUCCAAAGGAGAUGAAGUAUACGACAUGCUUCGAGCGGGUGAAGAUCACUGAGAGAGAAGAAAUGGGCGAUGUGAUCCAAGCCCUAUGAAUGGGCAUCGUGGUUCAAAUGAGAGGAAAUGGGCGAUGUAGUCCAGAAAGAGAACUCAGUCUCAUCGUCUUUUCCGUUAUGCAUUGAUGGUUAGUUGUUUUGUUUUCCGAUAUAUUUUUAUAUAAAAACUUUCCAAAAUUAGUUUUGCAAAAGUAAAAUGAACAUAUUAUUUUUAAAAUCCAACAUUAUUGUAAUAAUAUAAUUUGAUAUUGUGAUUAAACAUAUUCUACCAAGAAAAUUCAGGAGAAAUACAUUUUUAAAUGCACAAUUUCGUAUCUACAUCAUACACCCCUCAUUCCAUUCCAGAACAACUGGGCAGUAUAUCCAAGAAAUGAAAGAAGGGACAAACCUGGAAUAAAGUAAUAAUAAUGGGGUCCAAAAAUAAAUUUCCGAAAUCCUAAAAAAGGAGAAGCAUAAAUAGAACCUCCCUCUCCCCUGCACACCCCUUUUCACCUACUCCACUCACCACCAUCGACCAUCUCUGUCUCCCGCCGGAACCACUUCUCUCGUUUGCAGAUCGCCGAAGACUAGAACGUCCAAUCCGAUCGUCUGGAUCCGUAAAUCUAACGAAAAAACAUGGCCUUUGAGAAGAUCAAGGUUGCUAAUCCCAUCGUCGAGAUGGAUGGUGAGAUGAGAUUUUUCUCUCUCUCUCUCUCUCUAGAUUUUCUUAGUUCAGAUCUUUUCGAUGCGAAAAUGAAAAAAACAUAUUACAUUUCACUUGCCUCGUUUUUAUCGAAGUUCCGUUCUUUCGUUCUGAUCUGAUAGCUUAAGUACAAGCAUGUGUUACUUCCAUGCUAGAUUUGGUUUUUGUGUUUUUUUCGAACGUGUCUUACGUUGUCAUCAGGAGAUUUAUAUGUAUUGCUGAACUAUUUGGUCUACAUCGAAAUAGCAUCGAUGUUUGUUUAGAACACUCUCAGAAAAUUAGACCGGUGUGUUCAUUGUUCUGUCUCUUUUCGUAAUAAUUUCAGAUCAAAGAAUGCUGAUUUUUCAGCUAUUGUUUUUUUUUUCUUUUUUAAAUUUAGCUAUUGGCUUGUUGACGCUUCGUAUGCCAGUUGCUUAUUAGUCCUUUGAUUAAAAACGUUUUGUAUAUUUUACUCACACACACUUUAUGCUUCUCCUUGGUCUUGUGUAAUAAUUAGGUGAUGAAAUGACCCGAGUUAUCUGGAAGUCCAUCAAGGAUAAGGUACAAGAGCUUUCUCUACCCACGCCUUCAUUUUAUUUUCGCAUUUUUUUUUUUAAAUUUCGUUUGCUUGUAUGUUUUUCAGCUUAUUACCCCUUUCGUGGAGUUGGAUAUCAAGUACUUCGACCUUGGCCUUCCUCACCGUGAUGCCACUGAUGACAAAGUUACUAUCGAAAGCGCUGAAGCCACUAAGAAGUAUGUGUUUCUUACUCUACCUUAUGUUGCAUCUCUUCUGCUAUACUCUGUGGAAUAUUUUAUUAAUCUUUGAUGCUUGUAAUUUCGUUUUAGGUAUAAUGUUGCAAUCAAGUGUGCCACCAUCACUCCAGGUCUGCUUUUAUUUUGCUGUUGAGUUUCUUUGACAAUGGUUUCGUUUUACUAAUUAUUGAUCUUUUCCACCGCAGAUGAAGGCCGUGUCACUGAAUUUGGCUUGAAGCAGAUGUGGAGAAGUCCAAAUGGGACCAUCAGGAAUAUUCUGAAUGGUAAGAAAUUCACAGUUAUAUGUUUACCCUGUCCAGUAUCAUUCUUCGUUGCCUUACACUUCGUUUGUCUCUCACAGGGACUGUAUUUAGAGAACCAAUUAUCUGCAAAAAUGUUCCCAAGCUUGUCCCAGGUAAUUUAUUGACAAUGGUCUACUUCCAUUUACAUUUUAUAUUGCCCAACGGGUUCUGAGAAUGUGUCUUUGUUUUCUCCAGGCUGGACGAAGCCCAUCUGCAUUGGAAGGCAUGCUUUUGGUGAUCAGUACCGUGCCACUGAUGCUGUUAUCAAGGGUCCAGGAAAACUGACUAUGACUUUUGGUAAAACUUACUACCUUCACUGGUCAUCUCAUCUUAUUUUGUUUCUUCUUUCCAAUAAAAGCUAUAAUGUCUUUGAUUUACAGAGGGAAAAGAUGGGAAAACUGAAACUGAAGUCUUCACAUUUACCGGUGAAGGCGGUGUUGCUAUGGCCAUGUACAACACUGAUGAGGUAUAUAAGUAAACACUUACACUCUCCUCCAACUACAGUCAAACUUGUUCUUUUGGAGAUUGACCUCUCAGAUCAAAUUAUAUAUUUAUGUUUCCUUUUAAAUACAGUCCAUCCGUGCUUUCGCUGAGGCAUCGAUGAACACUGCUUAUGAGAAAAAGUGGCCACUUUAUCUCAGCACAAAGAACACCAUUCUUAAGAAAUACGAUGGCAGGUAUGUGGACAGUUAGUUUCCGUUAUUUUUUUACCAUAUAUACUUUUUGCUCUACCCAUAUCGAUAUUUGAUGUUGGUUGCAUUUGUGCUUUACUAUGAAGAUUCAAAGACAUCUUCCAGGAGGUGUAUGAAGCCAGCUGGAAAUCAAAGUAUGAGGCUGCUGGAAUAUGGUGAGUCGACUCUUAGUUUUUUUCUUCAUCCUUUUCUUGUGUAUGUUGGCUUUUGAUCAAGGAGGAUCUAAAUGAUUGAACUGGUUAGGUAUGAACACCGUCUCAUUGAUGAUAUGGUGGCUUACGCUCUGAAGAGUGAGGGAGGCUAUGUGUGGGCAUGCAAGAACUACGAUGGUGAUGUCCAAAGUGAUUUCCUGGCACAAGGUUUGUGUGAUGCUGAUAAAUGAAUAUGCCUUAAGCUGUAUUUUUUUGGUAUUCACAUAGAUAUUGUUAGCUUAAUAAUUUCUUAAAAUGUGUGUAGGAUUCGGGUCACUUGGAUUGAUGACAUCUGUUCUGGUAAAUAACAUGACACAUGUUCCCUUUGAGUUGCUGAUUCUAAGUUUGUGCUCUUACCACGGUUGUGUUAUCUUGAUUAGGUCUGCCCAGAUGGAAAGACGAUUGAAGCUGAAGCAGCUCAUGGAACGGUAACUCGUCACUACAGGGUACACCAGAAAGGUGGGGAGACCAGCACAAACAGCAUAGCCUCCAUCUUUGCUUGGACACGUGGACUUGCACACAGGUAGCGAGAAAAGCAUCCUUAAGGAAGAUGAUGAUUAAAUAUAAAACGAAUGAAAAUAUCUGCUGUUUGAACAGGGCAAAGUUAGAUGACAACUCAAAACUCUUGGAAUUUACCGAGAAGCUUGAAGCUGCUUGUGUGGGUACGGUGGAGUCUGGAAAAAUGACAAAAGAUCUUGCACUCAUCAUUCACGGCUCGAAGUAAGUCACAAUGACUUGUUCAUUCCACGUUUAUGAUCAAGAUUGGUUCAGUUGAUUUAUGAUUUGUGUUCUGUGUUUUUCCAGGCUCUCAAGGGACACUUACUUGAACACAGAGGAGUUCAUCGAUGCAGUUGCAGAUGAGCUCAAGACAAGACUUGGCGUCAAAGCUUAAGAAGUUUGGGUCAGUUACUCAGUCAUAAGUGUCUUAUUUGGUGGGUUUGUGAGAGUGGAAGAAAGAAAUAAAAGAGAGAACGUUUACUUAAUGGGAAUAAUGAGAACGAUUUGUUUCAUCUCCUACAAUAUUUUCCAAACAUUGUGACAUGCUUCCUUUUUUUACUUUUGAAAUUGAUUUUCGAGACUCUUUUCAUUGAUUCGAGUUGAUGUUAUUCCUAAGUGCAUUGCUAUAUAUUGCUGUAUGUCGUGAUAAGAAGUUAACGGCGGUGGUCUUUCUGAUAAUAAGAAACAUAAUCUGGCCUGGAAGGAAUUGCAUGAGAUAAAAUUACAAAUCCUUGGAAAACGAGAAGACGAGACCUCAGAUUUAGCUUUGCUUUCAAAACAGAGCUGGAGGAUUCCUAUAUAUCCGCAUCUUGCAUCUUGCAUCUUGCUGGAGUUAAGUGCUUUUAUAAUCUUUCCAUAAACCAAUUAAAAAAAAAAAAAGACAACAUGAACCCAUACUCUAUUAUUAAGCUGGAUACCAGAGAAGUGUAACCAACUCCUUGAGGUUAGAAAGGACUUGUGUUAUGAUGUGAAUAUAUUUAUCAGUGGAUGAUUUCAAGGAUUUUAGUGUCAAAACAAAUAUCCAUUAUUUUUAAGGUGAAGAAAUGCAAUAAUAGUCUUUGGUGUUUAGUGAGUUUUAAAGUUACAUAGAUUUGAGCUUUUCUCCUUCAAAGUUCAAGUUGGUUUGUAAGAUAUUGUGGAUGCAAUUUUGGGAAGAAUAUUUAUGUUAAUUUUUUAGAGUUUUCAAUGAGUGACUAGAAUGUAAAACUGAGUUUUCAAUGAAUGGCGAGAAUGUAAAACUCAACUUAAUAACACACAAAAACAUGACUACACGAUAAUGCAUAUGUAGAGCAUCAUAUGGUGUCAUGACACCAACUCUUCUUACUUGGCGAGUGUAGCGGACAAGUAGACUGACAAGUAAUAAAAAGCAUGAUACCAACCAUUCUAUCAAAAAACUAGGCUAGCCUAACUUGUAGGUAGGUUUAAGGUAUAUGUCCAUCUCAUAUAGUCUCGACCAGAAUUGCAAAUAUUUGGUAUGCAUCCUUCAAAUUUAUGAAUUACUCAAUUUUUUUUUAUAAAUUAUACGAACAAUGACAGCAAGAAGAGCCAAUAGUUUAAUAUUAAAUAAGCAACUUAAACCGCUUUAUUAUUAUGCCUAAUUUAUCGUCACAAAUCAGGCCAGAGAUACACUCUUUACUACUAUCACAUGCAGCGGUUCUUCAUACACACAAACGAUAAGAGUUUCUUAGAGAGCCUUGAGGAUAUCAUCGGCGCUGGAAACUGUGAACUCGCCGCCAGAUUCAACGUUUGCAACAGUGACCUUGAGGUUAUCAAUCAACAGAGCAAAUCUCCUUGACCUAACGCCAAGACCCUUGUCCUUGAGGUCGAGCUCGAGUCCAAGAAGCUUCGUGUAUUCUCCUGAACCGUCUGCCACAAACUUCACAUGCUUGUUCUCUGGGUACGUCUUCCCCCAUGCCUUCAUCACAAACGGAUCAUUCACUGCAACAAAUCAAUGCAAAAUGGUAUCGUUGUUACAAUCAGACCAAACAUCAUAUACUUUUGAAUAUGAUAAGAAUACACACACUAUUUUAUCAACACUCACCACUAAAGCAAAUGAUCUCGUCAACACCCUUUGACUUCAGCUCCUCUGCUUUCUCGAUGAAUCCAGGCACAUGCUGCAUACUAAUCCAGAGAAAAAUAAAACACAAGUCAACAAGAUUCAUCAGCUUAUAUAGAUCUCCACUGACAUACACAACUCAUAUAGAUCUGAAAACCCUAAUCUCAGAGACAAGAUCUGAAAAUCGAAUAAGUCUCCCAGAUCUAUUACAAGGAAAAGGUAGUGUGUGGAGGAGUUUACCUGCAGGUGGGGGUGAAAGCACCAGGGACACCGAAGAGGAUGACCUUCUUACCGGCGGCGAGGGAGUGAACGGAGACAGUCUGGAGCUGAUCGUUCUCGUCGAAGAAGGAGAUAGAUCCGUCAGGUACAACAUCACCAACAGCAAUCGGAGCCAUGGAGGAGGUCGGCGGAAAGGGAGUGCGGAAAGGUAUAAAGAGUUUUGUCGGAAGUGAUAAUGAAACGCUGUCUGAAGAGUUGGACUUGAGAGGAAAUUAGUUAUAUAGGAGUUUGGGUAAUUAAUCCGCCCAUCCGUAAUUAAAUUUAACCAUUGACUGUCACGUAAAAUUAUAUUUGACCAGUACUCAAAAUUAAAUACUAUUCCAAAAAUUCGACAAUAAGUUCUUGGUAGUCUUUUUCUGAAACAAAAAGUUCUUGGUAGUCAAACCUAGGUCUCCUCAUUUCGGGUAUUAGUUCGAAUCGGAUAUUUUGGAUAUUGGAUAUUAUAUUGGAUAGUCAGAUAGAGGACUAAAGAAUCCAUUUACCACCUCGUCUAUUUUCAGUUCCGGUUUGGUUCGAGUAGUACACUAUGAACCGGAAAAUAGCCAGAAAAAAACAGUUUUCAUUUGGUUUCGGUUCGAUUAUAUCAUGUAGUUUGGAUAAUUCGGGUUAAAUAUUGGGUAAUUUGGGUAAAUAUCGAAUAAUUAGGAUGAUUCAGAUAAAAAUCUCAAAUAUUUCGGAUUACUUUAGAUAUUUCGUAUAAAAAUAUCCAGUUACUUUGAGAAACUUUCGGGUAGUUUUGAUAUUUUAUAAUAAUUUAGUUUUCUUCAAAUAUUUUUGAUAGAUUUUUAAAUUAUAAAUAUAUAUUUAGUUAUGUUAUGUGUAUAUAUAAUUAAUAUUUUAUAUAUUCAUGUAUCCAUUCGAUUCUCGGUUCGGUUUGAUUAUUUUCAGAUAUAUAAAUGUAUGAAUCAUUUGGGUAUCUGAGAGUUUUGGUCAAAUUCCGGUUUCAGAUAUUUUGGUUCGGUUUCAGUUUGGACCUUUGGUUCCGUUUUUUUUUUGCCAAAGCCUAGUCAAACCUUUACAAAAGUUACCUUCUUAAUUUUUGGGAUAACCUGAGAAGAAAAACUGGACAGUUGUGAAGUAAAUUUAUUGGUAUCAGAAGAAUCCCCAACUGGUUAUAUGCGAUUAUGAUUCUAAUUAUGCUGGAGAUAUGGACAGCAAAAAAAUCUAUGAAAGGUUAUUUGUUCACCUUGGGUGAUUAUGUAGUAAGCUGGAAGGCAACUCUAUAGUUGGCAGUGAAUUUGUCCACUAUUGAGGUAAAGUAUAUGGUGUUACAGAAGCUGCAAGGGAAGGAAAAAUGGCUGAGGCAAUUGAUUAAUGAUCUCGGUUUACAUCACGAUCAAGCUUUGCGACAGUGUGAGUGAUAUAUGCUUAGCCAAAGAUCAUAUUCAUCAUAAGAAAACCAAGCAUAUUGAUGUGAGAUAUCCCUUCUUUCAAAAUAAGAAGGGACCUAAAGUGAAGAAAGUGAGAACUGCAUAUAAUCCUACUCACAUUUUCACUAAGUUUGUUCCUCAAAGGAAGUUUAAUAAUUGCUUGGACAUGUUGAACAUCUCGACAUGUUAGUCUGGCACGAAGGGCCAUAUGGUAUGAAAGGAUAUCUUACCUGAAGAGGCAUCUGGUCCGAAAGGAGAUUCGUUGAUGUGCUUUGAAUCUAGUUAAUGGAUUGCAUCAAGUACUCUUCAUCAAAGUGUAUUGCAUAAGUUGUUGGAAGUUGCAUGAUAUUAUUGGACUUAAAAUCUACAAGUCUAAUGUGCGGUUUGUAUUCUUGUAACCCUAAUAUGAGUUAUACAUAGCCUCUAAAUAAUAAAAUUUCUCCUUGCAUUGCAUGUGGGGGUAUGCAACUUAGCGAACCACAUUAAUCACUGUGUUUUUCAUUUCUCGCCUUUAUACUUAUAUUUACGCAUAUGUUCCUUCACAGAGACCUAGCGAGCUAUCUCGGCUCACCCCAUUACUCCAAUUCGGAUUAGCGUAUUGUUGACGGUGGGGAGACCUAGCGAGCAAUCUCGCGCAUCCCAUCAAUCCAAUUCAGAUUUGCGUAAUGGUGACAGUGUUCCAUAAUGUCAGCAGAGAUGAGAGACUACAAGCUGCAUACAAUUCCCAUAAAGUGCCUACCUCCAAGAACAAUGGUAUAUAAGUGGGAAGCUAUGAAGACUCUGUAACAACAGACCCUCUAUAUAAGUGGGAAGCUAUGAUAGAGAGAACCAUGAGCAAAGAUAAGACAUUUGUAUUACCAUUACACGAGAAUUGAUUAAAGUAUUAGCUUUUUAACCAACAGAAAAGAAACAAAACAUGACUCUUUAGAGAAUGUCUCCAGACCAAACAGACCAAAACCCAUAAAGCAAGACUUCUUUGUUCCAACUAUAUAUAUCCCAGAAUUAAGAAACUUUUGCUCUUCUUCCCGAGAGAUAAUGAUGAAACAGACGCCAGGCAAUCGAAACUGUAUUCCCUCACAAUCACAAAGCUCUUGUAAUCUACAUGAAGUCAAAAUCGUCCAUGGCAUCAUAAGGACCAGCUACUAGAUCGUCAUCGGCCUUAUCUACAAUAAGCUGUUUCUUCUUGCCACCUGAUGAAGUAAAUCAAAAACCCCAUUUAAUGAUCACAAAAAGUUUAUCCACACUAACUAAUUCAAACCAAAUAUAAACUGCUAUAGUGCUAUCAAGAGUGAGUUUAGAAAGUGGUCGUCAGUGCACGUACCCGUCUUCUUUCUACCAGCAGCAGCUUCUUUCUCAGCCUUAAGCUUUUCAUUUGCAAUUGCUGUAACGGACGAAGCAACAUCUUUAACAUCUGCUGCCUUCAUGUUGGUCACCGAAAGUCUCAUGACAGCUUUCAGCAAUGCGAUAUAGUGAUAACUUUUCUGCAAUACAAAGUAUAUGAUUCUAAGAUGCCACUCGCCCAAAAGCCGAGAGAAGAGAGAAGAAACACGGAAUGCAACCAUACCUCAUAUGGUGUAAGCCUAUGAGAAAUCAUUUCAGCAUAUUCCAAAAAAUCAGAUUCAGACUUGGGGAUGAACAUGUCAAGGCUUUUCUCUUCACCCUUCGUUCCAAAGAGUUCGGCAGUUGCCCUGUAGUCCGCUUCUUCAACAAGCCUGUCAAAGUAAAAUAACAUAAUGCAUAAGAAGAACACGUCACAGCCUUUGGUCAUCUGUCUCUUAAUUUUACAUUACCUCUGCAUGCGAAGUUUCUCAGAGAGAGGAUCUAAAGGUUCUUCUUUUGGAGCCUCAGCCGCUUUGCCCUUUUUCUCAACAGCUUUCUUCGGAGGAGCAGGCUUUACCGGAGGCGGCUACACGAAAGUAAAUUCAAGUUUCAGAAACUUUAAAGGAACAAGAACAAACCAGAGAUGAGAAUGAAGAGUUUAAAUACAGGAGCAGGUUGUUCGUCAUCAUCAUCCUCCCAUGAGUCCUUAAUCUCAUUCUCAUCUACAUCUUCAUCAUCCCAGUUGCUUUUAAGCACAACUUUUGCUGGAAGUGGUGCAAUUUGUUCAUCCUCUGAAAUAAAAUAAAAAGAACAACUCAUUAAAUUCCAACAAAACCAACUCAGAAACAUAUAAAAGACAGGACAGUUAAGUCUUACCCCAGUCAUCCAUAUUUGGUUGUAGUAAAAAAGACAAAGCUGCUAUCACAAAUCCAACAGCAGAAUCAGACAAAUAGUAACAAUCAAAUCCAUAACAUUUAAUGGUAAUUUCUGUAACGCAAUUAACAGGAGAUUCUUUGAAUUUUAGGAAUACAAGUGGAGUAAUGAUGUAAUCAUGCAGAGGGAAUUCGAGAAACCCAACCAGAGAACAAUCAGUUAGAAAGAAGAAACGUUGAGAUCUAGGAGCGUUGCGAAAGCAGAAACAUACCUUUCAGCCAAAAUCGAGAGAAAAGAAAGGAGGAGGAGGAAGAUGAAGACGCGUUUUCGUUGGGAUCAAAUCUCCGUUGAUGAAACGAUGGGUCAAAGGAAAGGCUGGUGGUCUCCGCGUCGUUUUGUUGGAUUUAGAGUGUUUCCUUUUUUUCCCCUUAGAUUUACUUACUACCUAUUUUUAAUUUCUUUAUUCGAUAUUCACCCUCCCUUUUCUGUCAAGUUUUUUUUUUCUUUUAACUUAUUGACAAUUUCUAUUAAAUUAUCUUUAACUCAACCCCAAAAUUUUAUUUUAGUGUAAUUUUGAUAUAAAACAUCUCCGAUUCAACAUGAUUAUUUGAAAAAAUUGACUAUUUUCAAGUUUUUAUCACAAAAAUAGCCUUCAAUAAAAAAAAGACCAAAAUAACCCAUUUUUUAUUUUGAAAAUUUUAAUUUUAAUUUUACUUUUUUAUUUUUUAAAAUCUGAAACUCUUUCCUCAAAACCUCACCCCUUAACUCUAAACUAUAAGUCUAGAUUAGUUAACCCUAGGGUAUAAAUACAUUUACUCUUAAAUAAAAUUUUUUUUAGUUAUUUUUCUCAUUGAAAGCUAUUUUUGUGACAAAAUUUUAAAAAUGACUAUCAUAAAGAAUUUCUCUUAAAAAUUACAUUAUUUUACUGCAAUACUAUAAUAUCACAUCAAAUUUGGUGUUAUAUUAUUCACCACAUUAAACCAUUCAUUUAUUUAUUAAUUAACUAAACGAUAAAAUAUAAAAUACAUAAAAUAAUAAUUUAAAUAUUUAUAAUAAAAAUAAAAUAAAUGAAUGGUGUAUAAUUAUUUUAUUGUAAUAUAUAUUUAUUUAAUAUAAUUAUAUAAUUAUAAUUGUUUAUAUUUUAAAUAUUAAAUAAUAUAAUAGUAUAAAAAGAGUUUUGGUAUGAAAUUUGGUGUUGUGAUUGAGAAAAAAAAUAGUAUUAAAUAAUGUUAUGAAUUGAAAAUGUCAUUGUCCUUUUAAAAUUUAAGGAAAAACAUAAUAUAGUGUUAUGGAUUGGAAAUGUCUUUGACCUUUUAAAAUUUAAGGAAAAAAAAAACACAAUAUAUAGCCUAACCGAAAAUCAGAUACAAACGGCCGAACCAGUCACAAGUGUCCCAAAUGUUAUCUUUUUCAGUUUACAUUUUCUUCCUUGGAAUUUUGAUAAAUGAAAAAAAGAAUGUCAUACCAAUAAAGGAAAUAAAAAGAAAGACAUGUCUAAAAGUUGACCAAGAAAAAAUAAGGCAAAGAUAAACGAAUGUGUUGUCUUAAGAUAAAGCAUUGUCUAUUCUCAAAGUAAUAUGGUAUCUCUCAUACUUGUGAAACUUUGAUAGCAAAGUAAAACGUAAGGCUGCAGAUAAACUAGUCAGUGCUUACUGCUUAGAGAUGUUCUAAAAGUAUAAUGUGUUGUGCUGUCUCUUGUCUGGAAACUGAGUUCAACUAAGAUGGCUUAUAUAUUAGAGGAGGUAUAACUCGUGAUAUAUGCCAAGAGUAUCAGAUCGGUCAAGUGUAAUAUUUGACCCAAGGAGCCUUUCGCAUACUGCAUACACUAGUACAGACCAUGUAAAGAGUAUGGGCAUUCGAAGAAGAUAUGAUCCCUCGUUAUCUCCACAAAGUACACAUUGCUGCUUCAGUUCUCAAGCCCUCGUCUGACACCCAUAGAUAGGUAAUAGGUUGUCUAGAACGCUAAGCACAAAAUGAAACAACAUGAUGGUAUCUUUUGAGCAAACAAGACCAAUAUUGACCAUUGAACCUGUUCACGAUGUAUUCAAACCAGUUUCCAUGUCUUGGUAGCAGAUAAGGAUGGUUUUCAUCGACAUCGGCAUGUUUUUAUGAGAGAAUGUAUAUCACAUGCACCAGUACUUGGAACUGGAACAGUAAGGAUUCGGUCAAGGAUCCUUGACAUGUCUGAAUGAGCCAUAAUGCGCGAAGAAGUUCAAGAUGGUGCAACUGAAACCAUAUCUGAACAUUUAACACCCAAUGAUCUCGUACCAGAUUCUUCUGUGAUGUCUGUUAACCUUUCUAACUGUGGCCAACCAUCAAGCAAAAAGAUCAUCUCUCCAUCAUAUGACCAAACCUGAGAAAACCGGCAGUUUUGUCCUUGGGCUUGAUAAAACUUUUAUAAAAUCCAAUAACCCAUCCAUCCCUCUUUGACAUCCCAAAAGAGUUAUAGCGCAACAGGUAAUGGCAAGUCCAUGCUAUCCAAGCCAAAUAUAUUUAUUACUUUUUCUCUCCAAAGCAAAACGCAUUGGUAAGUGUUCUUCAAUUUACACUUUCAGUCGCAACUUCGUAAUAUGGGAAACUCAAAGUAGCAUAAUUAUCCCAGUCAAGCAAAUGCAGAGACGGGUUCAAAAAUGAACUGUAGAGACCAUAAAGCUUCCAAAAAUAUAAAUGCAGAUAGCCCGGUACAUUCAAGUAGAGACCGUAUGGUAAUUUGUCCUAACUCAUGAUUAACAGCUUCAUAAAAACCAUACGAAGAUAGACUAACAAAGGAGAAACAAGUAUAUUCAGAAGAGCUAGAGAACGGCCCUAGAGAACCUUAGGUUCAAUCAUUUGGGUUGUUUUUCACCUUUCAUGUACCUUAGAAAAUUAGAUAAGAACAGUUUUAAAUUGUUUAUGAGCUUAUGAAACAAGAUCAUAUCUGAAACACCAUCUGACUUGCUGAAACUGUAUGCACCCAAGAACAGUAGAAGCCAAAAACUUCAUAAUUCAUAUCCCUCACAGUUUCUCAUUGGCAAACUGAAGUAAAACUACAAUCUCUUCUUCAACUCAGCGUAUAGAAGCAAAACCGACAUAGUACUACAAGUGAAGCUUCCCUGUAAUGGAUAAAGUCUUUAACACUUUCAAUUGCUAAGAUAACAAAAGUUGAGCUAAUGAGCAUAACCAAAUCUGAAACAGCAUCAAGUUAACGAAAACAUUUAAAAGCAAACACUUUCCCAUUGCCAAAGUAAAGUACACUACAAUCUCUUUGAGGUUUACAAACAUUACAAAGCGAAGCUUUUGAGAAACCCAGGAUCGCGUUUAGCUCUCUCCUGAAACUUCUUAAACCACCGAUCCAAAAUAUCCAUCGGAACAACCAACUUGCUCCCGUCGACGCCGCAAAACGACUGCAUGAAGUUGAAAAGAUUCUCGCCGACCUUCAUCGCCAGCCGCUCGAUCUUCCUCUCCGCCGCCACGUCCAGCGACGGAAGCGCCGCCGCAUCCUCCACCGAGAUACCGAUUUUGGCCGAUAAAGGAGCGGAGUCCCCCGCCGUGAGCUGCAUCUGAGCCGCGCUCCCCGCCUCCGGCCACUGGAGAGACAAAACCGCCGAGGGGCGAGAUAGGGUUACGGCGCCGCAGAAGGCGAACGCGGAACCGGGAGACUGGACGUAGACGGCUAGGGCUUUGUCGGGUGGGAGGGUGAAGUUGUUGAGGAGGAAGAUGCACAUCUCUCCGAUUUGAUCGUAUGCUUCGCCUGAAGAGAGACGGUUAGAUUAGUGUGGGGGGGAAGAGGAGGAGGAUGAGGGAACUUACCGACGAAGUGGUUCAUGUCGAGAACCCAGUGGAAAGUGUCGAUUUGGGUGAAGGUUGAGAUGUCGAUUGGGAAGCUUCGGUUGGGGAACACGACGCCGAACAUUUGUUUUUUUGUUAGCUGUUUGUUGAUUUUGAGUUUUGCGGUGAUCGACUAAGGAAGGAAGAAGAGUGUCCAGAUGAUUCUGGAAACAGCGAGACUGCAAUAGUUACGCAAGGACGGAGACUGUCUAUCAACCAAAUAAAGACUUUUGGGGGAUUUGGCCUCAAAGCGUAAAAAAAAUCUAAAUUUGACCUCUCUAAUAAUAUAAUUUUCUUCUUUUUUAAUUAUUUACAUAUCCAAUCGGAAUAAACUAAAGCCUACAAGUCAGUUAGAGAUAAUUUUAAAUAUGUUUAUGUUGUAAUAGAAAUCAGUCUUAUUUUCUAGUAUUUAUUAAUUAGAAACUAAACUAAACUUAAAUAUUACUAAAACUUUAGAUUGUCAAAAACCAAUUUAGAACAAAUUUGAGUUAAAAGAAAAAGAAAAAUUAAAUUUUGAUGAUCUAAAGAUAAUUUAUAUAAUAAGAAUUGGAAACUCAAAAUUCUGCAAAUUAUUUUUAUGAUAUUCCAUUCCUUAAAUAUAGUUUUUUAUCAAACCGAUAAAUAAAAUAAUAAAUAUGAACUUUUUCUUCUAAAUGUUCCUUUCAUAUUUUAUUUUUAAGAUUUUGUAUUCUUACAGAUUUUAUAUUAUCUUUUGAACAUAGUUCAUAAAUAUUAAUAUUUUUUAUAUAAUUAUAAAAUAAAUUAAAGCUUUCGAUACCAAUCAAAAAUUUAAAAAUUUUAAAGUAACAACUACAAUCUUUAAAGCCAAAAUCUCUACAGUCAAAAGUUCUAAAGCUAAAGUCUAAAACGAAAGUCUUUACUAAUCGAAACCUUAAUCUUAUUCAUUUUAAAAGUAAAUUAACAUGUUAGGGGUCCAUAUAGAUUAACUUAGGUUAUAUGUAUAUAUAUUCUUCUUCGUGUUUAGGCCAUCUCCAAACCAAAGUUAUCUUUUUCUCUAUAAUUCCUAAUAAAAUAGAGAAACUUUAUUAUAUAGUAAAUUUUACUCGAAUGGUUUAUUCUAUAAUAGAUAGAGUAUUUACUCUAUUAUAGAAAAAAAAAAGUUGAAUUUCACUUUUUCAUUCUAUAUUCCCUCUAUUUUAAUAGAAAUUAUAGAGGAAAAGAUAAAUUUGGGUUGGAAAUGGUCUUACACAAUCUACAACAGAAUUCUUUUUGUGAAGAGAGCACAAUUCAAAAAGACAUCUUACAACUCCAGAUACAGCAUACAACAUCGGUCGCAAACCUACAUUCACCAACAGACAAAAACAUUUUCCAAUUCUAAAACAAAGGCAAAACACAAUUUCCGAAUGUUAUAGGAUCGUUACCCAGAGGAGACGUAGCAAAACUGAUCAACAAAUACAAAAUCAUACUUAAAAUAAAAGGUUUCAUAGAUUUUUACCUAGUGAUUAUUCACAAGUGCACACUUAUAUACUUUAUAUCAAAUACAUAUCCCUUUCGUUAAUACACAUAAGAAAACACUAGAAUUGACUUCUAAGUCCAUCAAUUGAAAGUGACCACAUAGCGAAAACAUAUUAGAAAUGGUUUGUAAAACGCUCACUGUACAUAAUAGAGUUAUAAAUCUCGCGAAAGCAAAUUAAGAAUCCAAAUUCAAAAAGAGAAAAAAGGAAGAUAGCUCAAAGCUUCAACGUUAGAUCUGGAAGAGAACACUUCAUGUCCACUGCUUGUUUGACCUCCAAGUAAUCCAUUUUCCGUUGACCUAAAUCACCAUUACCUCCUUCAGCCGCAUCCGACGCCUGUUGCCUGAAGCUCCCCGGCCAUAGCAGCUCGGCCUCGUCGUCCUCAACCAAAAAAGGAACGAAAUUACUGAAGUACCCCUGGUUAAACCUGGCAAUGUUUCUAAUGAUCGUUUCUUGUGUUGGCCUUGUAAUGCCGAGGUCGUGGGGGGAGGCAUGCGCUCUGAUUCCCAAAGUCCUGAACGACGUCAUGUUACCGUUGUUUCCGCUUCCAUGCAGCGGGAGGCACGAGAGAGCAGCUGCUGUGGCAGCAGCGGCGUAGGAGCUACUAGAUCCUCUGCCAGGGAAAACUCCAGCGAGGCCCAUACGCAUAGCGCGUUUGGCAAGCGUUCUCUCGCGUUUAUGAGCGUUUUGGUGACCGCCAAGAGCCUGAGAGCUGUAAAACUUCCGUUGACAAUAGUUGCAAGAGAAAACCCUCUUGGAUACUGAUGGUUGUUGUUGCUCCGGAUUGCUAAUUUCGCUGGUGCUUGAAAUUGGCAGCGUCAAAGAAGAUGAUUCAAGAUCCAAGUUGUUGUUGUUGUUAUUGAAACAGAGGCUAAGAUCGAGAGAGAUGGGCUUGUAAUCGUCUCCAACGGGAGACAAGUUCGAGGCAACUUGGCUACUGGUACUGUCUGAAUGAUCAUGUUUCGAUGAAGCUUCAAUCUCGAGGUCUAAGAUCGGUCUCAUCAUUUUGGCAGAACCUGACGGUUGUUUUAUCUUUUUCUGCAAUGAUUUUAUCUGGAAAGAAUGUUAAGAAUGUCUAGAUGAGUGAUAAUUGAGAAUUAUAUAGGAAGUAAUAACUUUAAGAACUUAGAUGGAUCACUUCUGGCCAAACAAAGUCGAUAAUGUCUUCAAAGUAUUGUAAUAAAAUUAAUAAUAAUCAAGAAAAACAAGUGGGAGGAAACAUUGGUGUGACUAUAAAUGGUCCUAGUGAGUCAAUGAGUAGACAACAUCAGAAGUGCCAAAUUUAGUACUGACACAUCCAUCGUGCAGUCAACUCCAAACCAAUUAUAUUCUUCUAUUUCUAUUUCUUAAUAAAUCAAAAUUUAUAAUUAAUCGAAUUCCAUUUUUAGCAGUAACUCAAAAAAGCUAGUAGAUUGAAUUUUAUCCAAAUCGUUUUCUACUUCAUUUGCUUGAUAAUAAUCUAAAUAAAAAAAUUCAAAUAAUUGUGUAAAAUGUUAAACAGAAAUAGAUCCAAAUGAUUUUCUAUUUUAUUUUUUUGAUUCUGCGUCAUUGACAGUCAAAAUCGAAAAAUAAAACACUGACAUUUACACAACUAGACAAACAGAAAACAGACGCACAGACACUUAGCAACAAACAAAAAGACAAAAAGACAUAUAUAGCGAAAAUAUCACCGACAGCAAAAUCAAAUUACAUAUGAAGCAAGAUCCAUCAUUUAAAUCAUUAUCUGUGUGUGUUUUUUUUUCUAUAAGAUCCGAAUUCAGUUUUUUUUUUUCUAAAGAUCCUAUCCCAAUAUCAGCUGACAUUUGUGGGACGGAAUACCUAAACAAUACCCAAUGAAAUUUCUUUAAACUUUAAAUUACAUUGUUAACUGUAAUUCUAAAUUGGAUAUGAAAAGAUGUGUAAAUAGAAGGAUUUUUUUUACAAAAAUUGAGGGAUAAAGAAAAGUAAUAUUUUUUGGGUAUUCAAUGUUUCGUGCAAAACGAAAAGAAAGAACGAGUUGGAACUAAAUAACAAUAUUUUACUGACCGAAACCUUUAAUAAAAGUGUUACAAACCAUACUAAUAAUUGUUGAUUAAUCAUCAAAACUUCAUCAACCUUAGAUGCAACAGUUUUGAGACAAAAGUUAAUCCAAGAACAUUGAGGGAUUCAGAUUUUCAAAAGAAAACAAAAAAUAUUCAUACCUCUUAAAAUGAUGAAGAGACAAAGGCUUGGGAUUUGAAGGAAGAACUGAGAGUUAUGAUAAGCUUUGUCUGCAUCUGUCUCGAGAGUUUUUUUAGGUUUUUGAUAUGAGAGAGAAGAAGAGAUGAGAGAUGAGAGAUGGGAGAAAGAUGAGUUAAUUGCGUUUGUGAGUGUUUUGUUCGGUUUGGGAGCACAAAAGAGAGGAAAGAAGUGGGAUUGAUAUAGUGUAAGAUGAUUUUUAUUAUGAUGGGAAAAGCUAAGGUUGCUGUGAGUGGGAGUGGAGGGGACAAUGGUGGGACGUAGGGGUGGGCGUUCGGGUAUCCGUUCGGGUUCGGGUCGGGUAUUUCGGAUUUUUGGGUAUUUCGGUAUAGAGGUGUAGAACCCGUUCGGGUAUUUCUGUACUUCGGGUCGGGUUCGGGUAUUUUUAGUUCGGAUUCGGUUAUUUCGGAUCGGGUUCGGAUAUUUAGAUUUUGAAAAAAAAAACUAAAAUUUUUAUUUCUCAAGUUUCUUGUAUUUAAAAAUAUAACUUUCAAUUAACUAACUUUUUAUUUUUAAUAGAUUGAAUGGUUAAUAAAUUUAGAUAUAACAUUUUAAAACUAAAAAAACAUUAAUUUAGUUAUUUUUUUUUUAAUUUUGGAUGUAACUUUUUGUUAAUUUUUGAAAUAAAAAACUUGACAUGCAUUUUAAGUGAGUAACAAAUCAUUUUUUUCGUAAUUGUAUGUAUAUCAUAUGAACUUAAAGUAUGUGUAGUAUCAAUAUAAAUAUUUUAUAUAAAAUGAGAGAUGUAAACUAGAAAUAUAAGGUUAAUUAUAUAUAUGUUCGGUUAUCUUCGGAUAUCCAUUCGGGUUCGGGUAUUAUCCAUUCGGGUUCGGGUAUCCAAUCUCUCCUUAUUCAAUACCCGUUCGGGUAUUUUGCUACUUCGGUUCGGAUUUCGGUUCGGGUUUUUCGGAUCGGGUUCGGGUGCCACUUCGGAUAUCGGGUAAAGUGCCCAUCCCUAGUGGGACGUCUCACACUUAAGUCAGACUAGAGUUAAAAAAAAAAAAAAUUGGGAUAAUUUUCUUUAAUUUUUUUAUUUUUCUUAUGAUUUUUAUAAUAAUUCAUUGUGUAUGUAUGUGUUGGUUCAAUUGGUUUCAUACUCGGGGUCCAUAACUCUUUAACUUAUUUAACUAAAACUCUGUUAAAGGUGAAAGUUGGCAGUCAAGUGCGGCCAAUCUCAGGCCAAUUAGAUUAGUGUUGCUUUAGUAUCAUGGGAUCUGAGUUCAACUCCAAGAUGUUACACUUUAAAGAAAAAUGUUUUACCAUCUACUGAUUCAUCACAUUUUUAAAAUAUUUACUUGUUAUUACUUUCAACCCAAAAAUAUGGAUAAAAUCAAUUUACAACCGAGAGAAACAAAAUCGGUACAACAUACAAUCUUAAAAGAUUAAAUCUGAUAGACUACAUUGACGAGUUGUUAUUAGCAACAUCGGAUUACACAUGUUCAUCACUUCUCGAUUGAUGUUAAUCCAUGAAAGGAGCUAUAUAUAGGCUUCCCACUUUCCUCCACAACUAAAUCCACCACAUGCUUUGAAGCUCGAAAUCACUAUCGAGUGGACAUGGAAACUCCAUAUCUAAGAACGAAGUCGCAACCACCCCUGACCAAGUUGAAGACGAGCUGAGAUUGGAACCGCAUUGGCAAGAAGUAAUUUGAAAUUGCCAUCUCAAAAAUCACCACUCUAAAAUUUGACCUCUGCCGCUUCCAAGCCUCCCUGACCUCGACUCUACACCGGAGUCAGUCACCAUCAAGCCGAGUGUUCACCGGGGCCCCGAAUAGGAGCUCGAGAUAUCAAUGACGUCGCUAGGGGUUGACAUCUCACAGAGGGGAAAACAAAAGAAAAUAGGAGGCAAAGAGAAAAACAAAGAAAGGGAGAGGAAGUGCGACCUGCUUCGGCUUGUCGAGCACCGCGCCAGAGGAGAACGGUCACCUUAAGGACUACUUUUCUUUGAGAGGAAAUAAGAGAGGAAUUGUUGUCUGAGUUAAUACUCUUUUGAUUCAUCAUAUUUAGUAUCUAUCGAAGUAAAAAAGAUUUCAAAUUAGAAGUCAUAAUUUUUCUCAGUAUAAAAACAUAAGUUGAUGGUGAUGCAUUUACAAGAUCUGAUAAAUUAUGUAAGACAAUUGAAUGAGGAUAUCAAAAUUAAAGGAAACUCAAGAGAUUUAUUGAGUAAAGAAAAUGUGAAAACAAAUAAUUUCAUACAUGUUAGACCAUCGUUAAAUGUAUUCCUUUAUUUUUAUACUAAAAUAAAAUGUGAUUUUCCAAUUAUGCUUUUAAAAUAAUAAAUAUAUUUUCUCUAUAUAUAAAAGAAAAAAUAACAAUCUUUAUUUUAGAGGGUGAAACAGAAGUGGAUUAGAAAAAUGUCAUUUAUGCAUUUGAAUUCAAAUGUAAUAUCUAGGAUUUUGAAUGGAAAGAGAAGAAAACAAUAGCGAUACACACUAUAACGACCGCAUGAAAAUUUCCAUUUAACUUAUUUUACCUACAAAUGUGUUUCUAUAUUAAAUAUAUUAAAAUAUAUAGUUUUGAUCUGCAUGUAUAUUGCCAAUAUGAUUAUGAGUGGAUAUUCUAGUAUUUGUUCGGAUUUGGUUCAAAUCUAUUCGAAUUUCUGAAAAAUACACAUUGUUAACUAAAUACAAUAUAAUAUAAGAAUAAGUAGUUUAAAUAUUGAACAAUAAAUUAUUUGUAUAUAUGUAAGUAAGAAACAAUCCAAACUCACAAAAUAAAAUUGGUCAACUAUAUUAUCCAAACACAUUAAAUUAUAACCAUAUAUUUUAUUUUCUAAAAUAUAAAUCAAAGAAAAAGAAAGAAGACGUAUAAACGACUUUUAAAUAAAGUAUUCUUUUAUAUAUGUUUAAAUUAAUUUUCUAUUAAAUUCUAAAUACAUUUUAUAAUUAUUGUAUCUAUACAUUGGUUUUAAAAUAAAUAAUAUUAAUUCUGAAAAACAUAUUAUUAGAAAGUUUUAUAUUAAAUCUUUAUUGUAUUUUGGAUCGCUUUAUAUCCACUUUCACCAUUCAAAAAUAAUUUUCAGACCGUUAAAACCGUUUGAUCCACUCUUGUUACGUUAGAUCCGUUUGAUCCGCUAGAUACACAACACUUUGUUCGCUUUUUCCAUUCGAAGACUAAAAUUGGCAUAUUAGUCUUAUACAAGCAAAAGAUUGAAGAUGGAUUUGAAUGCCUAAAAUAGGGUUAUUCAGAACCCGAGAUAUGUAAACGAGCUGAAUAGAAUUGACAAGUUUAACUUAAUAUUUUCAUACCAAAAUAACAAAUAUUCUUACUACAUAAAUUUUUAGAGAAGUUCAGUCGUAUUUCAAACAAGCAAGAUUUAUGUGUGUUUGUGCCAUUCUCUUCGGUCUCGAUCAUCUUUAUAUAUUCAUCCUUAGGUCGACCAUUUUUCCAUUUUUUUUGUAGAUUUGUAAUUUUGUAUCUAUCUUCUUUCCAUUUUCAAUGAUAUUUCCUCAUAUCCAAGCUUCGAUCCUAUCUUCUUUGAAAGUUAUCUUUUCUCAUUUUCUUUUUAUUAUUUUCCAAGUAUGUAAACCAUCAUUGAUUUGGGAUUUUUACGGUUUAAAUAAUUGCGGAUCGUUUUUGUGUUUUAGGUCAUUUCAGACAGUUUUACGAUUUAGGUUUUUUACGAUUUUCCCCAAAAUAUUCUGUAUCACUCCAAGUCGUGUUAUUUGUGCCAUUAGUUAUUCGAAUUGAUGAAAAUAUUUUUUGUCGAAAAACAUAUUUGGUAUUUACGUUUAACUAUUUUUGACUCAAUGUUUAGCUAAUUUCACGGAAAAAGGAUUUCUAUUUUUUUUUCGUAAAAUUUCUCAACGGUAGUUUCAUUUUUUUUUGAAUGAACGUAAAAUUUAUUCAGUCAAAACUGUAUUACAUCUGGUGCUACUGUUUUAUUUUGUACAAAGAAUAAAAAAAUAUGAGCAUCUAUCACAAAACCUUUUUCUCACUCUCCUCGCGACCCAAACCAAGCCAUGAGGCCCUCUGCAAGAUGUUUGUGCCCUUUUCCUUUCACCGAAAGGAGCUUCAGCCUGAUUGCCUUAUAUAUGAACGUGAUCAAACAAGCCACAUCAUGUGGUUGUUCACCAUGACUACGCGAGUUUCUCUCCCUCCAUAUUGUAUGCACAGUUGCUUGCAAGCUGUAUUUGAUGAGAAACGUCUCUGUUGGAUUGAACCCGGGAUUUGCUAUCAUCUCAAUAAGAUCAUUCCAGUCUGCAGUGUAUCUGUCUUUCAUAAUACCCCCCCCCCACAAGCUUCUUCCAAACCUUUUCUGAUUAGCGACAUCCAAAAAAGAGAUGGGAGCAUGAUUCUUGAGCAACAUUGCAUACAACACAGGUGGUGUUGAGCCCAGCACACCACUGUUGCACUAGAUCAAGCGUUUGAAGCCUUCCACGUAUGGCGAUCCAAAGCAAGAAGGAGUAUUUUGGAGUUGAUUGAGAGAACCAGACUCCUUUACUUGAUUGAGAGAACCAGAACCAGCCCAGCACAACAGUAGUUUCAUUACGCUGAAACAAAGAUAUUAUUGGGAAAUAUUAGAACUCUUCUUAAUCGACUGAGUACAUUUUCAAGUUGAAAGUACUGAGAAACGGUUCUAAAUAAAAUUGUGUUUGUUUUAUGUCAAUUUCGUCCUGGUAAUAUUAACAAGUGACAUAUCUACAAAGGGUGAAAGUCGACUUCCUGGUCAGUUGUUGGAAUUACUCAAUCAUAUUUCUAAGUUAAACUAUUAUUGACGAGAUGAUUACAUAAACUUACGAAAUAUAUUAAAGCCACCCAAUGGCAAAAAUCUCAAUGAGCAAGUUUAAAACACAAACUAAAUAGAAGCAUAAAAACAAAAGAGGGGUGAACGGUCUGUUUAUUGCCCAUCUUCUCCAGGAUUGAGCUCAUUAGUCUUCACAAUCCAGACCUUUUCAGUUUGGCCUUCCCCAGCUUCAUCCUGAAUCUUCUCCGAUUCAUACAGAUAUGGUCCCCUUCUCAACAGUCUCCGGUUUACUAGUCAAUCCAGUUAAGAUUCGCAGCAUCUAACAACGAAGCUGAAUACAAAACUGAAUAUGAAGCUCUCAUUACCAGACUCUUAAUGGAAAAGACAACUAGAGAAAAACAUAUCCAAGCCUAUUGUGUAGUAUAGCAAAGACUACUAUGCAAAGAACAAAAGAAUAGACACUUAUAUGAAAGUCGUCCAAGAUCUUAAAGAAUUCAGAUUUUUCAAAUUAACAAAGGUUACCCAGGGAAAGAACACACGUGCAGAUGUAAUCAUUGCGUUGGGCGAGUAAUCCUAAAGAUCAAGUAAAGAGGAAAGUCCCGGUUCAAAAGAUAAAGAUACCGAGCAUCCAUUGGCUUCUGAAGUUGUUGUCCCCAUCACGGCUAUCUGAUUCUGAUGUAACCAAUAUGGACAUUCACUCCCCUGACCUUGGUGCCAAAGUCCUUAUCCCUGAUUAGAGGCUUCCUAUUCUACAGUACUUGGCCAACGGAAAGUUACCAGAUGAUAGAUGGGAAGCACACAUGCUCAAAUACCAAAGCACCCAUUACAUCCCAAUGGGUGGAAACCUUUACGGAUGGAUGGCUAACAAGUUCAUGUUACCAUGUGUCCACAACAAAGAAACUAGAAUAGUCAUGGCUUAGACACAUGAAGGAGAAGAAGGGAACCAUUCCGGUGAACGAGCAGUUGCUCUAAAAAUCAAAGGCCAUGGACAUUUUUGGCCAACAACGGUAGCAGAUUGCAAAGAGUGUGCAGCAAAGUGAAAGAGAUGCUAGAGAUGUUCCAAACAUUCACUAUCCUAUCAAGUUGCUAAGACUGAUCACCACUCUGUAUCCUGUCAUGCAUUGGGCAAUGGAUAUUGUUCACCAUCUGCUGAGUUCAUGGAAGCGACGCUUCUUACUUAUGAUUACAGACUACAUAAAAUGGUGGAGGAAAAUACAUUUAUUCAAAUCACUGAUCCCAAAGUACAUAACUUUUUCUGAAAAUACAUCAUAUUCUGACACAGACUCCGCUACGAUAUUGUCACCAACAACGAUUCUCAGUUCACCUCUAAUAAUUUUUGCGGUUUCUGCGAGAGAUGGCAGAUCCGCCUAAGUACAUUCAUACCAAAAUAUAUUUAAAGGAACGAAAAGGCAAAAGCCACCAAGAAAAUCAUCAUAUACAUAAUCAAGAAACAUAUUAAUCUUAAGAAAGGUUACUGGGUAGACGAGAUCAUAGAAUCUAUGAACCUCAAACGUUACUUCAAGAAAAAAAACUACAUAAGGUUUAAUCUUUUUCAGGGGUACGUAGGCAGCUUUAACAAGUUCAAUUAUGCAAAAAAGUAAUAUGUAAGCUGUUUCAUUGGCUAAAAACUCGUGUUGAAAGAUAUUUUUCAUGUCAUGGUAAAUUCGCCGAGAUGAAUCACUCAUCUCAAUUUCACAGUCUUACUAAUCGUGAAAGCCGAGUUAAAAAACAAUCUUGACAAUGACACAGUAAGCUUGUCGAGUUGAGUGACAUCCUUUUCCAUGCUUAACCCGUUUAUAAAGUUAUGCCGGGUUGAAUGACUUAUACAUUUGAUAUAGUAAACUCAGUCAGAUAGUGAACAUAAAGCAUGUUCUACUAAACAAAAAGUUUGGUGUCAUGUGAAGCUAAGACAAAUACCAAAAAAUAUUUUGGAUAAACUAUGUUCACAACAUGUCGACUAUGUCCUAAUCAAACACUUAGUUGACAUAUUCGUUUAUGAUUCAUCUAAGCGAUAAAUGCUCCAAUAUAUUUUCAAAAUAACUUCUGUCUGACGAGAUGGAAAUUUAUAAAGACGCAGCGGCAUCACAGCAACUUCGCCGAAUUGAAUGAUACACACGUGUCACGUUCGUUCGAGGCCGAGUUAAAAUAUAUUGCAGCAUCACAGUAUAAUUCGCUGAGUUGAAUGACAAAAUAUGUUAGAAUUAACUCAUCGUCAUACCGAAUUGAAUGACUUAAAUCAGAGAAUCCACGGAAAAUAAUGAUAAAUUUCUUGCUUCUGCAUAUCUUAGAAAACACUUUUAUUUUAUUUUUAUCUCAGUAGACACUUUCCAAAACAAGUAAUCAAAAUUCGUAAAAGUUGAUGGUCUUGUUUUUUACGUUAACGUUUACGUUCUACAAAAUAAAUUUUCUAAAAUAUGUAAACGCUAACAAAUAUUAUACAAAAAGUAAAAUUUUCUUUCAAAUUGCGAAAUGCGAAGUAUAAGUUUUGUAUCCUUCUUAAUAAAAAAAAAGUUGUGUAUCCUAUUCCGGACAUUGAUGUGAGAGGUGAGAUUACUGACUGGGAGCUGUCCGCAAGUAUAAGAUAAGAGUCCACAAAAAAGAAGAAAAAGAUAAUCGUCCAGAGUUGAAGUGAAUAUCAUCACUACACAGAAAGCAUAUCCAUGUAGGACCACGACAACUAGUUCCAUUGUUUUUUUCGCAGUCUCCACUAGCUACGUAUGUUCUUGUCCGAUACAUAUAUUAUUAUAUUCUCUUUACACAAAUAAUUCGUCAACUUUAUUAAUUGUUCAUAAGGCGUACGUAGUUUCAUGUGAAAUUUCUAAAUAGAGAAUCGGAAGGUUUUGGAUAGUAGAUGUAGGGUUUAGAUUCCUUCUUUAACAAGUCAACUAUUCUUUCUAAGAUGUUUGAAGUGAUUUUGAAUCUUUUUUUUUUGAGGCAGAAGUUGGCAGGUUAUUUCCUGCCGCUGCAUUUACGUGCAUCAUGAUUUGAUAUGUUCAGAUGAUACCUUUUCCAAAUUACGCGAGAUCGUUAGUCUAACUAGAAAGGAAGAAAUCUUCAGUUAAUAUUAUAAGACGUGGUGGCUUUAUAAAGAUUGUAAGAUUGAGCUCCGAACUUCUUCGAAUCUUCGUAUUCAAAAAAAAAAAAAUUCAAGUCAAUUCGUAUUUACUAUGGUUAACAAAAAUAAUUGAGACACAGACACACAGUUCACUGUAUCAAAGCCUAGAAACACAUCUGCAACCGUUAAAAAAACUGAAAAUAUAUGUAUUUUCCAAAUUAUGAUAACUGAUAUUUUGAUUUUUUUUUUAAAGAUUUUUGAUAUUAAAUGCAUAUAAGUUCAAAUGGUCCAAUAAAAACAAAAAAUUUCAGGAGCAUUUGAACCAUUUUAUCUUUAACCAGAAGAGUUUUGGUAUGUGCAUACCGGAGAUGCAUAUUUUAUAUUACUGUAAUACUAUUGAUUUUAAGAAAUGGUAUUUUGGUUUUUAAUAUUAAUAAACGGAUAUAAUAUUUGUUCGAAUAAUAGUGGAAGAAAAAUAAUAACCGAGAACAAAAUAUGUAUAAAAUUACUUGUUAAUCACAAAACAGAAAAUAAUUUAUAUGAAUGUAUUUAGAUAUCCAAUCGAAGAAUUACAAGGAUGGUGAUAGCAUCCCAACAAAAGAUUCUUUAUGUUAUUGUGUCUUUUUUUUGUUCCUUUCCUCCUUACAAAAGGAAAAAGGAAAGAAAAAAAGUGAAGUAGCUCCUCAGUGCAUGGGGAGGACAACUGCAAAUUUUGCUUUUUAAAAAAAAAUUCUGUAAUUAUUUUUAUGUUAAGAAUAUUGAAGUCCCAGAACACUUCUGAUUAUUGGAAACUACUUGACCUUUGCUGUGCCUUGGUAGCCUCUCCUCGCCCAUUGGACCUUAGCUUCUUUCAGUUGUUUUUGUUUGUUCUUUUCUCUCUUUAAUUAUUUUUUCUGACCACCAAACUGCUUUUUCAUUUCAUGUCUAAUCAAAUAAUUCGAAUCUCUUUCCCCAUUGUGUGAAUAAUUGACAUCCGCCGUUCCCUUCUACGUCCAAACACAACUCCGACCUAACUAAUUGUUUUCUUCUACAGCAGAUACGAAAAUGGUCAGCAUUUUUUUUUUUUUUUUUUUUUUCUUUUUUUUUUUUGAUAAAAGAUUUUCUAAUGUUAUUUCUUUUUGCAUCCACAAUCAAUUACAUAACCCUUUCUUAAAAAACUAUCCGCUAUUUAUAGUUCUACCAGUUAAUCCUUUGUCAUCCAGAUAUUAUGUUUUGAUUUAUACGGAUUUAUAUAAUUCAGAUAAUGAAAAGUGUUAAAGCGGAUAUUAUACAGUGUACACGAACAUUUGGACGGAUUUUAAGUAUGGACGAUAUUCAAAACCUAAGUUAUUAAUAUUAUUAUAAAUUUUAUUAGUAUUAUUAAUUAUAUUAAUUAUUGUUUAUUUUAUGUAUUUAUAUGAUUAUAGCUAGUAGUUUGAUUGUUUGCAAAGUAAUUUAAACUUAUAAAUUCAUCAUCUUAAUAUAUAUUUUAUAUCAUUUGAAACUAUUUAUAUAUAUUAAACUAUAUUUUAUACAUAAAAGAUAUUUCUGAAAUAUAUUUUUUCUCAAUUUUCUAAAACUAAUGUGUAUAUAUAUUAUAUAUAUAUUUUAAAUAAAAUUAUAUCUGUCUAAAUCUUUUUUAAACAUUCACAUAUAUUGUUAAGUAUCAAAAAUUCAUCGCCACGUAAGAACGUAUUUAGAAUACAUAAAACCCCAAAAAAUCUAUAAAUUUACGUUCUAUGUAUGAUUUUUAAUCGAUUAAUUAUGCUAUCAACAACGGCAAUACCGAUAACCAGUUUUUUAAACCCGAUCACGACACUGAACCGAACGACUUACCAGGUGGCUGGAUCACUGAAUCGACCGCGGGUGAACAGCGAGUUAAUAAAUAAAAUAAUUGUAUUAUAUAAUAUUAUAUUUGCUAUGAAAAUAAAAAUAUGAAAACUAAAAUUUAAUAUUUUCUAAAUGUUUCUUAAAACAUAAAAUAAUAGUUUGGAUAAGUAUAUAUUUUAUAAAGGAUACAAAAGUUAUUGUAACAUCAUAUAUUCUGUAAAUUGAGUUUUUAGAAAAUCAAUAAUAAUGAACGAAAUGUUGUAAUAUAUUAAUUGGAAAAUUUAUGUAAUAUCAUCAAAUCUUUAUGUACAUAUUGAAAUAUUUGGAAGUUAUACUGUAUGGGAAAAAUAUUUAUGUCACCUAGUGUAUUAUUUAUUAUUUUACUAAAUUUUUCGUAAUAUCUUGUUUAUUAAUGUUUUUCGUUAUUGCAAAUUUAUUUACCAACAAAUAUUUUUAAAAACAUUUCUUAAGUAGAAUAACUAAAAUAUACUCUUACAUAUUUAUAAAAUUCAUUUUAUUAAAAUAUUUUAAUAUUUUUAUUAUAUGUAAUCAAAUAUUAUAUAUAUAUAUCGAGUCACAAUUAAAACUAAUGCAAGAAAUGUUAAAUCAACGGAUCAAUUUUUUAAAAAAUAAAUCAUGCAUAAAUAUGUAAACAUUAUUUAUGUACAAACUUUAGAAAUGCAUAAAUUAUGCAUACAGUUGAAUAAAAUUUGGCAAUCAAAAAAUAAUUCCACUGUGUGAAUCAAAAUCUUGUGUAAAAAUAACUAUUCAAGCUGUGAAAAUUUUGUUUUUUGUAUUUUUCAUCAAAAAAAAUUUUUUCUGUUUGUCAACAUAUGUAUUUUGGUUUUUCUGUAUGAGUUUAGUACUUAAUAUAAAAUAUACAUACAUAUUAAUAGGUUUUGUAAACAUAUGAUUUUUUUUUAUGUGUAUGCUUAACUUUUGUGCAGAUGAACAAAAUAUGUAGCCACAUGCUUGUUCACUUUUAGUAAAACGUUCACUAUUUUAUUUGAGCAUAUUUGAUACUUUUUUCUUUAGUUUAUUAUUUGUCUCGUUUCUCUCCGAUUCUUUUUUCCUCAAAGUGUUUUCAUCUUCCACUUACUUUUAAAGAGUUUUAAUAUUACAUGCCUAGUAAUAAUAUUCUUAUACAUGAAAGGUGUGUUUUUUUGUGAAAAUCUCUUUUGGAAAAGAUGAUAAGACGUGAAACGGAACUUUCGAAGAUUUGUUUUUAGAUGUGAAGAUUUUUUCUUACAUUCUUAAGUUUCAGGCUGUAGUGUACUACUCAAAAGAUGUCCCAACUAUGAUAGAAUAAUGAUAAUAAGGUAUUUUUGGCUUUAAAUACCAACAAAAUAUAAGUAAAGUAUAUUUUUUUUGCUAAAUCAUAUAAGUAAAGUAUUGCUGCAUGCUCUAUGCAAUUUCACAUAGCACUCUUUUUAUUGCAUGUGAUUCUUGGUAACUGUCUUAAUUUUCAGAGCCAUAUACGACAUCCUCUAGAAGUAGCAAAAUAAUAGUACAAUGCACAGGCAGUUUUAUUUUUAAAAUUUAAAUUGUUUAACAUAUCGUGAAUGAACAGAUAUACACAGACAACAAGGAUUCAAACAUUUAUUAGAUGAUGUUGAUAAAACAAGAUUUUUGUCUAAAUAUUAAAAUAUAUUAACAAAAAUGCAUAAAAGAGUUAAGAAGGCCAACUUCCAACAAAAGAUUUGGACGAUCGCUCUUGGAAUCAAUUCUAAAAGUCACUCUUGGUUUUCCCUUGUUUAAGGAGUCGAUUUGUAACACACAUUUUUUUCCUAAAAAGAAAAGAAUGGUAAGAUUAACCCUUAGGGAUUUAACUGAAAGAAAACAAAUAGUUGAAGACAAAGGAUGAUGGGUUGGGACUAAGGAGUUUAAACAGAGAAAUAUUUGUAGCCUUAAACACCUAGCGAGUAGGUGAUCAGAAGGCUAAGCACGUGGAUGAUGGCUAUCUCUCUCACUCUCUACCUAGGAUUAUUACACGACAAAGGAAUAAAGUUUAUCUUAAUUUAGGCCUAGUCUUAAAUAUUAGUGAUUUUAAUAAUUUGCCAUGUGGACAUUGUCAUUUUUGUCUGACCAAACUAAUGCACUUGGGAGCAAUGAACUAUUACAGUGGAGCAAAUUUAAAACCGCAACAUCAGUUUCCAUAUAAUGAUAUAAUCCCACAACUCGCAUAAAAUAGUACUUGUAUUUAGUUAUACUUAUAAGUAUUGACAUAGAAAGUUUAUUUAUGUAUAUUAACUGAAACUAAAAACCAGAUGAAAAAGAAUACCAACAAAAUUUGGUUUACAACAAAUUUGUUAAAAAAUUCAGAAAUAAUACUAUCAUCUUCUCAGUAUUUGAAUUAGAUGGCUUUUUACUCAAAUCAGCAUUUACUCUACUCAUCUGAUUUGUGAUUUGUAAAUGUCACAUACUAUAUUAGACUACCACAUCAAUCUCUUUUACAUAUAUAAAAAAACUCAUGACUUGGGGAUCAUUAUAGAGCACAACCGGAUGAGAUCCUAGCAUGUUGAUCAAAUCGCCGAGUAUAAAUCUUAAUCUGGUACCUUAUUGUUAGUUCGUUAAGUAGUGUUCUGAAACCAGUCUUAAACUCAUCAAAAGUAACAUUCCAGUCCUUUUUUUUUUUGAACACAAAGUAACAUUCAAGUCUUUUUUUUAUCAACAGUAACAUUCAUGUCUAAAACAAGUAAUCUACCACGUUUUACCUCGUCAACAAUAAACACCCACCCUUUAUUGUCAUCUAUUCUCCAUUCACCACAUAUUAUGUAUAUGAAAAUUAUAUUAACGUAGAAGAACCGUGAAAAAAAACAGUAGAAAAAAGAAGGGCAAUUCUUCCAAAUAGACUUUUUUUAAGUUUUAUAAGAAAUAAUAAUUAUUAUUAAAUAAAUAAAUAUUUGUAAAAAUUGUUUUAAUAUAUGUCAUAAUCUUAAAUUUUCUUAUUGACACAUUUUUAUAAUCCUAAACAAAAGACAAUUGUAAAAUAUAAUUUCUUCCUAUAGUUCGUAUUCAUUUAUGAAUUUCUUGAAUUCAUUGUUUCCUUGAUAAUUCAUGUUAACCAAUUAAUUAAUAAUUUGGGUUAAUUUUUUUUUUAAACGUUAUCUUGUAUUUUUCUUGAUUGGAAAAGCGUUUAAUUAAAUCAUAAUGACACAGCGGCUUUGAUUCUUAAUAUAUCAAAAUCAUAAGAAUCAGUUUUUAUUUUCAAAUCACUAACAAACAUGUAUUAACGUGAUAAAGUGACGUUAUAACAAAGCUACAUUAUUACUAAUGAGGUCAAGGCGUUCUUUAGAGCAUCUCCAACCCAUUGCUAUUUUCACCUCUAUAAUAGUAUUUAGAGGUGAAAUUGCUCUAACCCACCUCUAUUUCUUUCUCUAUAAUAGAAAUUUCUAUUUUUUCCUUUAUUUAUAGAGGAAGAAAUAGCAUUUCUCUAUUUUUUACUCUAUAUUUUAGAGAUUGCUAUUUUAGAGGAAUACAUUAGAGCAUAUCUCACCUCUAUUAUAGAGUUUCCUUAUUUUAGAGGUGAAAAUAGCAAAAUACAUUGAAGAUGGUAUUAGGACAUUAUAAUUAAUGGUCUCUAUGUACAAAAGCAUAAGUAUAAUAGUGACACCUUAACUGUAUGACAAUUAUGAUAUAAGAUAUAGCAGUAUUAAUAGUAAAUAAAGUUUAGAGAAGUUUUAAGAAAGAAAAACUUAUUUCUUGUAUUUACUAUUGUGUUUGGUUAAAUAAGUAUGUGAGAGUUUAGCACUAUAUAAAUGUUAAUAUUUGUCGUUUUUUUGUUUAUGAUUUUUAACAAAAAAAACUACUAUUAAAAAGGAAUAAUGGUUAUUAUAAGGAAAAUUUUAUUUUUGAAAAUCUGUUUUAAGAUUUUUAAAAGCAAAUCUACUAUCAAAUACUCUUUUACAAAAAUUUUAAUGUUUAUAAUUUUCGAAAAGGAAAAUUACCAUCACUUAAACAGUUAAACUUAUACAAUUAUCCUUUUUUAAUUUUAGAAAAAUAAAAAUUUCAUAUUACUAUCAAAUAAUUUUUAAAAUUAAUUACUAUUUUACAAUUUGUUUUUAUUUAUGUCAUUACUAUUAUUUUAAGUAAAUAAUUUUUAAUAUAAUUUUCUUCACGAAAUUAUUUAAAAAAGGAAAAUAAGUAUCAAAUAAGUUUUAUAAUUCUCUUUUCUUAAGGAUUUGUAAAAAAGAAAACUAAUAACUUACAUCAAUUAUGUUAAAUAAUUAUAAUUAUAUAUUUAUAAAUAAUUCUAACACAUGUCACAAUCUUAAUUUUUAUUGACAUGGGUUAGAUCAUGUUAAUUAGUAAUGUUGAGGUACUAAACUCUAUAUAAUAAAAUACUCCGUAUUAUGUAUUAGCUAAAUUCCCAAGAAAUCAAACUCGGACUUUUACAAUUCCCUAAUUCUCCUUUAUCCUAUCACAAAAGCUCUCCGGUGAUUUUAAUGAGCUUCUUCUCCUGCUCUCCGCUUUGUUUCCUCCUCUCAUUCUCUCUGUAAUCAUCAAUCGUCUUUUUUAUUAUUUCUCAGCAGGUUUCUAUUUCGCUUUCUCUUCCUCGUAAUAUCAGUCAUCUUUCUCUUCAACGCGAAGAAAAAAAUCAGAGGAAUUUAUGAAAAUGACGCUGAAUAUAUUUAGUUACGAUUGUUUUCUAGCUUUCCUCAGAUUUUGGAAAAAUAAUAACUACAAAUAGAAUACACGUUUCAAUCGAGGUGGAGCACUGACAUUUUGUUGGAAUAGAAAUUAUAAUAUGUUUAGAACAUAGCAUAAAUGCUAGAACAAACUAAAAUACUUGUUUUAUCUAGGGUAGAUAGUAGAGUAAAAGUUAGGCUAAGAGUUUUGAGAUUGUGGCUAAUAUUUGAAUAUUUUGGUUACACUUUGAGAAUCAAAACAAAUAUGUUUCGAAGGAAAAUAGGACAUUUAACAAAAUGUAUCUUAAAUAAGAAAAUCACUAUGACAACGUUUGGCGACAGUUCAACCAAUUCUAGAUAAAAAUAAGUCUUGGUGUUAUGAGUUAUGACUGCAAUAGUUCCAUUAUUUUAGGAUACUAUUUUUUUCAUUAGGAAAUACUGUUAUAAUUUACAAAGCAAAAGUACCCGUUUUGAAACUUUCAUAUUGUCGAUUCAUAAAAAAAAUAGGUAAAUGAAAUUUGAGGUCCUACGAAUCUUCUAUAUCGCUAUCGACCAUUGCAAAAUUUAGAUUGUUCUUGAGAAAAGAAAGAUGAAAUGUAAGAGUAAUUGUAGAAAUAUUCUUUGUUAUACAAAAUUUUUUUAGUAACUGUUAUAAAAAGAGUCAUGUACUGUCGUCUAUUUUUUUUUUCAUUUUUGAAAAACUAUUCAGUUAUAAAGAUAACUGUAAUGACGACACAAUUUGCAUAAAAUAUGAUCUGGCUAUGACGUUGAUCGGAAGUCUAAAUGGUGCGUCAAAAAGAGUUAGAUGGUAACCAUUCAUAUUUGUACAACAACCGUUAUAAUAUGUGAUUUUUCCGUGAUUAUGCUCAGAUAUAAAUAUUUACAAAAUAGAUACAUUAAAAAAAUUUGUUAAUAUUUUAUUUUUAUUUCAAAAUUAUAUACAUUGUAAUUUUAAGCAUGAUUUAUUUUAAAUAAUAUAUGUUAUUUUCUUUAGACAUAUGAUUUUGAUAUAUAAUAUCUCAUUUUUUGGUUAACAUACAUUUUUCCGAUUCAAAAAUAAUAUUUUUGUUCUAUAGAUUAAAAUUUGACUAAUUUUGUUAUUUUCAUUUAGUUUGAUUCUGGUCUUAAAUUUUUAAAUAUAUUUAGUAACAAUAUAUAAAAUUUAAUAUAUGUUAUUUUGAGUACCAGAUAGUAAAAUAAACUAAAGUGUUGAUUGAUUUGAAGUUACAUAAAUGAAAAUAACAUCAAUAAUAUUUUGAGAUCUCAUACACACAUAUAUAUAUAUAUAUAAGUUAUACAUAUGAACUUAAUUGUAAAAGUUGGUUAAUGUCUUCAUAAUAUUAUUUGAGAAUUUAUUAUUUAUUUAUUGGUAUGUUAAGUCGUUAUAUAUUUAUAUAUUAUUAUAAAUAAUAAUAUAUUAUAAUUUUAGUUAAUUUUUUUGGUUUUGAGUAAAAAAUGGGAUUGGUCUAGUUACUCUUUUGGGAUAUCUUGUGUUAUAUAUAUUCCUUCAAAUUAAAGAACAACUAUUUUUCAUUUUUUUUACAACUAUUAUUCAUUUAAUAAGUCAAAUUAAAUUAAUUGCAGUCAUUAUAUUAGUUUAGUUCUUAAUUUUAUAUGUGUAAGUAUAUUUUCAUUUUAAAAUAAUUUGGUAUAUGUUAAUUUGAAAAAAUAAAACUACAAAAAAUAAAGUGAUAAUCGAGACAAAUUUACAUAAAAAAACAUAACCAAUUUUUUUAAAAAGGGAAUAUCAUUUUUACAAUUAUUAAUUUUUUCUGCCAUAAUUAUAAAACUAUAUUAAAUUUGAAGCAAAACUUAUUUUGUAUUAUAUUCUUGUUAAAAUAUUUGCUCAUCUUUGAGAAAAACUCCUUAAUAUGUGAAAGUGUAAAUUGAUAUAAUAUAUUGAGUUGUAAGUAUAAAGUUAUAUUAUAUAAAUCAUUUGCUAUUUAAAUGAUGAGGCCACAUUAUGUUAAUGUGCUUUAGGCCAAAAAUUAAUAGUAAAAAAAAUUAAUAGUAUACAUAUUAUUACUAAACCUUAAUCAUAUAUACAUGCAUGCGUACAUAUGCUAAGGUAAUAUCCAAGAGGACGAAUACAAAAACUAUACAAUAUAACACUGAAUUUGCUGGAAGGGCAGGUAUGGGGCAUUUCAAAUUGGGAGUUGGAGUUUGGUGUUUCUGAUCUACAAAAAAGAAUAGUAGUGUGAAAAAAUGAAUAUGGACAGAGUGAUUUCUCAAGAAAAAAUCAAACAGGUUAAACACGUAAAGUAUGCGCAUGGUAGCGUUUUCAUGCACCGACCAUUGACUGACUUAGUCAAUCACUAGCCGAUUUCACAUUAUUCAACAUUUAAAUAUUAAUUUCUCACUUAUUUACUAAAAACAAAAAUUAUACUAUUGCGUGUUGUGUUGAAAAAAAACUACUACAUGUAAAGUUACCCAAAGAAAAUAGGGAAAUUGCCAAAAAUAUUGUAGUCAUAGUACUAUUUUUCAUGUUUACACUAACCAAUUUUACCUUCACUUUUAACAAAGAAUAAAAAACAUUUAUAACUCUAGGUUUAACUAAUCUAGACUUAGGGUUUAUAGUUAAGAGGUGGAUAAAGUUUUUUUGGAAUGUGAAAGUUAUGAUUCUAAUAAAUAUAUAAUAAAUACUUAAAAUAAAUAAAAAAUUUUAAAAAUAGUUUCAAACAUAAUUUUCAAUUUUCAAAAGAAAUUUUGAAAAAAACAAAUUUGAAAAAAGUUCAAAAAAAAGAAUUAUAAAAAAUUUCGAAUUUGAAAAAGUAUAAUUCGAAAUCAUAAUUUUUUUUCUUUUUUUUAUUUUAAAUAAUUAUUUAUUAUAUAUAUAUAUAUAAAUGGUAUAAAAGUUUUUUUCCACUUAAUGAAAAAAUUUAUUUUUAGAAAUAUUCAUUUAGUGGUGGUAAAGAUGAAUAAUGGUACCAAGAAAGUGGUAAACAUGAAAUUCCCUCAAAAAUAUAUCAUUUUAAUUCUUAGGUAUAUGUAAUAUUUACACUUUAAUAAUACAUAUAGAGAAAAACUCUAAGAUAGUCCUAAAAAUGUUUUUGUCACAAAUAUACCUCUAACCAAAAUGGUUCAUCGAAGAGAUAAAUAUACACUUAGUGUUAAAAAAAUGUAAAAAAAAAACAAUUUUUAUCUUGGUAAAUAUAUAUAUAUAUAUAUAUUUUUUUUUUUUUGACAUCGGUAAAUAUAUAUUUAUACCCUUAAGAUUAAUCAAUCUAGAUUUACGGUUUAGAGUUAAAGAAUGGGGUUUGAGGAUUGAGGUUUAAAAUUUUUAACAGUAAAUAUUAAAUUUUUAAAAAUAAAAUUUUUAAAUAUUUUAAAUAUAGCUUCAAAAAGCAUUUUCAAAUUUCAAAUUAUUUUUUGAACAACUAAAACAAAUUGUUUUUAAAAAAUCAAUUUUUUUUAAUUUGAAAGUUCGAAAUUGAAAACAUAUAAUUUGAAACUAUACAAUUUUUAUUUUAUUUUAUUUAUUAUUUAUUUGUAUUUAUAUAUCUAUGGUAUAAGGGUCUUUUCUUUCUUUAAUAAAAUCUAGUUUGGUCAUUUUUUUUCUUUUGAGGCUUUUUAUGAUAAAAUUUUUAAAAAAAUUCUAUUUAAGAGAAUUGCCCAUAUAUAUAUACCCGUAUAUUUAAUCAGCAGAUGUCUGAUAAAUUUUUAAUUUUUAAUCAGAUAUUUUAUUGCAUGCUAAAAUUAUUAAAAGUAAUAAUUGUUUUGUGAAAGAAUAAUUAAAACACAUAAAAACCUUCCUUAAAUUUAUAGUUAUAGAAUUAGGAUGACAAAAGAAAUACUUAAUAUACACAUAUAUUUGUUUAUUUAUAUUUUAGAAUAUUUUCUCUGAAUAUUAGUAUGUAAGUUUUUGCUUAAACUCGUUAGUGUAAAACUUUUCUUUUAAGUUCAGUUCUGUUUUUUUUUGUUGCCAUCAGUUCAGAUCUAAAGCAAAGAACUUAGUGAAACAUAUUGCAAAAAGUACUAAAACAGACUAUAUACUGCUCUGAGUAUUAGUAUGUAUGUAAUUUCACACCUUUAAAGAAAUAGAAAACCCAAUCCUAACCCCAAAUAAUAAGUUAAAUCUCGAACUUAAAUUUUUUUCCUCUUUCCGAUUAGUUGUCAAUUUAUCAUUCAAGAUUUUCAAACAUUCAACGGUCAAUUUUUCCGAUUCCUAACAGCUAGCGAAUAAUCAAAUCAUAUGACAUAAAAACCUUCUUCAUUCACUUUGACCCACUCGCGUUUCCAGAAACCUAUGACCAACCAUUAUCAUCACAUUACAAAACAUAUAUAAACUCUUCCCAACUUGUCUCCUUCAUUAGUAUGAGACAGUCAAAGAAAGUUUAUUUAUUUUUCCUUAACCUCCUCUUGUUAUGGGACUUUCGUUGAGAAUGAGACGGCGAGGAGGAGCCAAGAAGGACAUACUAACUCCGGCGAUGAGUUCCUCGGAGGAAGAGGAGGAAGAAAUCGUUAUUCCGUCGCAGUUUCAGUGUCCGAUAUCGUACGAUUUAAUGAAAGACCCGGUGAUUAUCGCCUCGGGGAUUACCUACGACCGCGAAAACAUCGAGAAAUGGUUUGAGUCAGGUAACCAAACGUGUCCGGUGACUAACACGGUUCUAGCCACUUUGGAACAGACACCGAACCACGCGAUUCGGAGGAUGAUCCAAGAAUGGUGCGUCGCUAAAGGAUCAUCGUUAGAUCGUGUUCCGACCCCACGUGUUCCCAUUUCAAGUCAUCAAGCGAUCGAGAUUUGCGGGAAGCUAUUGUCUGCGACGCGGCGUGGAGAUCACGUGGUGUGUGUGGAGAUGGUCGAGAAAAUGAAGAGGUUAGGGCAAGAGAGUGAGAGGAACACGAAAUGUUUUAAAGCAAACGGCGUCGGAUUGGUUCUUUGCGUUUGUUUCAACGCGUUUUCCGAAAACGCAAACGCGUCGGAGUUGUUGGAGGAUGUUUUGCUUUUGCUGACGUGGAUGUUUCCUAUUGGGUCGGAAGGUCAAGCGAAUUUAACUUCCACGACGUCGUUUACGCGUAUAGUGGGGUUUCUGAAAAGCGGUGAUCAAAACGCCGCGUUUUUGGUCAAGGAGCUUUUAUCUCUCGACGAAGCAAUCGUGCACAAGUUAGCCGCGAUUAACGGCGUUUUCGACGCGCUGGUGAAAUCGAUUCGCGAUUCGUCGUCCCUGACUUCGAUCUUCCACAUGAUCUCCGCCAAACCAGAGACUACCUCGAGAUUUAUGGAGCUGGGUCUGGUUAAUUCAACGGUGGAGAUGCUUGUUGACUCAGAGAAUAGCGUUUGCGAGAAAGCGUUACUGGUUCUAGACGCGAUUUGUGAAAGUAACGAAGGGAGGACGAUAGUGAGAGGAAACGAGCUAGUGAUGCCGAUUCUGGUGAAGAAGAUUCUGAAGAUUUCAGAGUUUGCGAAGAAGAGUUUGGUUUCUGUGAUGUGGAAGAUUUGUAAAAGUGGAGAUGGGUCUGAGGUUGAGGAAGCGUUGCGAUUAGGUGCGUUUAAGAAGCUUGUUGUGAUGUUACAAGUUGGAUGUGGAGAAGGGACGAAGGAGAAAGUUACAGAGUUGUUGAAGAUGAUGAAUAGACAUAUGAAGAUGAAUGGAUUUGUUGAUGUUUCUGAUUCUUCAAUUGAAUUUAAGCAUUUAAAGAAGCCUUCUUAAUUCACUUUUAUUUGUUAAAUAAGUGGAAACAACAUUUGUUUUCUAAAUCAUAGACAAUUUUGAUUCAAAAAAACAAGAGUUCAAGUUCCAGGUCUGUUUCGCGUUGGGAGGGAUCUUUAUUCAGAUUAUUGAUUUCAGGUUCAUUACAAAAUGAUUCAUUUUAGUGGAUGCUUGUCUAUAAGGGGUUAGUUCAUUUUGAUUGUUUCUUUGCGGUAGUGAGUUACAUUUUCGGGUUCUAAAUCACUAAACUGAUUUAGAAUAGAGACAUGGACACGGUAGUGAUGUAGUAAUAACUAAUAAGCGAUCUUUUCAUUUAAAAGUAUGUUACAUCAAUCAGUUGGAAAAUAAAUACUUUUACCUUGAUAUGCAAGCAAUCCGAACUCUAGUUGGAUUAGAAGAAGUCUAAACAAGUAUAGUAAAACCAGAGACCAAAUGGUAACAAAUGCAUUUUGCUUCGUUAACACAAAAAAUGUAUAUACAGGUUUUUUUCCCCCUUUUGGGUUCAUUACCAAAGAAUGAUUUAUCUACAAACAAAAAAUCAUCAGUGUUUGGUUUGACACCAAAAAAAUGGUUUACAAAAUGAAUUGUUCACUAACGAAACUUUCUGAAGGAAACAUCAUCAUUCCAAGACAUCCCUCAUCUUCUUCGGCGAAGUAAUCAUCCGCUGCUCCAAGCAUCAACAUCUGACCUGGAUUCUGAAACUCGUACUUGGGCUGCAAAACUCUCUUCUGUUGCUCUGCAAAUUCAUCACAGCAACUCGAACAAACAUAAAGUGGAGGCAAAGUAUCUGAAUCAUCAAUUCCGCAGCAUCUUGUGUGCUGCCAAACCUCACAGACAUCACACGAAAUCAUCCUCUCCCCAUCGUCAUCUCUAGCUCUGCAAACACACUUCACCAUCCAUGUGUCGCUUCCACCUUGGAACUUGAGCGUUGAUUCCAAAUCAAUCCCAUCUCCUCUCACAGUCAAAGCAGAGCAAGGCUCGAGUUUUCCAAACAGCAAGUUGCUAUCAUCAUCAUCAUCUUCCUUAAGCUCAUCGAUCUCGUUCACCUCAAAGUUUGUCAAGAUGCAGUAAGUGUCUCUGAAAGUUUCUUCGAUGGCUUGCUUUAGAUCAAAGACUGUGGCUUGUAACGAGACUGUGACUAGCUCACCUGGAGGCAGCUCUGUGACCUGUUCUGUUCUCAAAUCAAUCAAACUUGGGUUAUUGAUACGACAAACAAACCGGAAGAUUUUGUCAUCGUUGUCCCGUAGAGGCCACUCCUUUACGAAGUGUUUGCUGUCUAGGACUACUUGAGCUGCAGAUCUCACUGACUCGGACUUUGGAUAGUUCAAGAGCACGUUUGUGUAUAGUAACAACAGAUCUCCAUGAACAUGACCUCCAGCUUUUGAUUCACUGACAACCCUCAAAGGAACCGCCUCUAUCACAGCAUCUUUCUUCUGUUCCACCAGUUUAGUAGCAUCAUCAAGCUCCUGUAUUGUGUAGUGAAGAAUCCUUGUAAGAGGAUCCACAUAACGUUGAACCAAAGCAUUCCCAACAAUCACAUUGUUCAUCGACUUCAACACGUAGUCUAGCAGACCCGUAUCUCCAAUAUGCAAUCUAGCUGAGUCCCUAACAUCUUGCCGAGUCAUACCACUCUGCUUCAGUACUUUCAUCUCUUUUAGUGCCUCCACGAUUACUUCAGCAGCAUACUCCAGUCUUCUCACAGGCCAUCUACUUCCCAAAUUAGCUGCCACAGUGCUGUAACUCCGGUACCCCUGAGACUUCUCACUCUCCACGGCAUCGCUUUUCUUCAUAAACAACCUGUUUGAUCUCUUCUUCGGAGGAGAAUCAGUUGAGAGAGUAGGAGGAGGAGCAGAGUGAAGCUUGUUCUUUUUAGGAGCAUGAGACUUGAUGAUGAGGAUAAACCGCAAGAGAUCCUUGAAUGUCUUCAAAUGCCCUUCACUCAUUUCUCUGUAGUGCCGGAAAACCUGUUUGAUCCGUUUGCAUUGUCUAUGCUCUCCAAAAUCAAACUCAAUCUGAUCAAGCUCAAGGGAACCAAGAAGCUCUAUAGCAUUCUCGUAAUCAUUCUUGGUCACACCGUAGCUCCCACGACAGAACUUGUAUCCCCAUCUCCCAAACCACGAGUGUCCAUAAGCCACACCGUACAACAACCGAAGAUCCAAAGAUCUCUUCUUUGACAAAUCCUCAACAGUUAUCAUCCUGCAAUAUAACACAUUCAUUCAAUCUCCAAUCAAGUCAAAACCAAAAAACACAAAAGGAUAAUAGUUUUUUCUAUUACCUUGCUCCAAGGUUGGUACAAAUUCGAUCCCAAAGAUCAACCAUUUCUCUUCCGCACAAGUAUCUGGACCCUCCUUCAAGACCAUUGACGCAGAUCAAAUGACCAAACCCAUUCGUGUGAAUCAGUCCAUGCAAAAGAUGAGUCUGCAGAUCGAAUACAUCAUCCUCUAGAGGCAAAUCCCACUCAGCAUCAACCGGUAUGAUAAAAUGAUACUUUCGUUUUGACACAAAGUGAUUGCUCCAUCCUGUAAAAGAAACAAACUUUCAUUCAUUUUGACAUCUAAAACACAAAAUCAAAC
rnacentral:lncRNA from 1 species